rnacentral:lncRNA from 1 species
UUUAAAAUCUCUUCGUAACCUGAAGGAACAUUGUCACUUUUAAAAGCCAUCCACCUCAACAAUUCAAGAGCUUCUGUCCCAUACAGCCCUUCCACUUUAUGCAUACUUUUUAUCCCAUGACAGGUUAGCAAGUGUUUGUCUCGAGUGGCAAUGAUGACUUUGCUUCCACGGCCGAACCAAUCAGGUCCUCCAGCCAAAGCAUGUAGUUGCUUCAUAUUGUCAACAUCAUCAAGAAUCAAAAGAACCUUCUUUCUAUGUAGCCUUUCCUUUAUAUAAGGAAUUCCCUCACUAACACCUCCAAACUUAAUUUCAAGUUGAAGUGUUUUUAAAAGGAGCUCCUCCUGAAGAUGUUUCAAUUUAUUUGAAGUUGAAUUCUCUCUCACAUUUUCAAGAAAACAUGAGCAUUCAAAUUGAUCAGCAAUAAAAUUAUAAAUUGCUUUUGCAAGUGUUGAUUUACCCAAUCCUCCAGUACCAUAAAGUCCUACCAUGUGGACUCCAUCAUCAGAUCUUUCAUCAAGAAGCGAUUUCACUUCUUGUACUUGAGACUGCAAUCCAACAGGGUAAUUGGCAACAUGUAAGGGUUGACGACUGAUCUUGUUGGAGAUGUAUUUGACUAUCUCUCCAGUAAACUCGUAUUCAUAUCUAUUCAUGCCCAAUAAGAUAAGUUAGUAUGUGACAACAUCACAAUCACAUCCAUGUUAUUCUUUAAGAUGAGAUUAUUGUGAAAUUUAAAUUAAAGAGAGAAAAUAUAAAAAAAGGUACCCAGGAGGACUAUCAUGGUAGCCGGAAAAGUUUGCAGCCUGGCUCAGAGCCACUUUCCAUCCCUGCAACCUCUCCAUGUUAUUCUUAUCAUUUUGAAACCUCUUUUCAUGCUCAGCCAAUGCUUCACCAUAACUACCUUUCUGAUGUCGCACUUUAGUAGGUUCCACGCCGAAGAAAACAGGCAAAACGAGGCGACCCUUUGUCUUGUAGCAGUGAAUUAUGUGGACAAGUUCGUCCAAACAAAACGAAGAAGAGGCAUAGUUGAUAGAAAACACAGGAAUAAAAAUCCUAGAUUCAUCAAUGGCCUUGAGGAGUGAUGGUGUGAUUUCAUCUCCUCUUGGAAGAUCAUUGUCAUCAAUGAAGGUAUGGAUUCCCUUGUCAGUAAGAGCCUUGUAGAGAUUUCCGGUAAAACCGUGGCGAGUGUCAGUGCCCCUAAAACUGAGGAACACUUGGUAAGUGAAUCCAUAGGAAAAUGAAGAAGAAGAGGAAGCUAAUUGCAUAGCCAUGAAAAUUGAGAGAAAUUGGAUGAAAAAAGAGUUUGAGAAUGCAGAAUAUGAAUGACUGGUCCGUGAUGUGGAGUCUUUAGUAUGUAACUAUAAAAGGAGAAAACUUACGACAAAAGUAGUAUGUGAAACUUCCUAGCCACUCCUAUAGCCGCGUGUACUAACUAUAUUUUAAAAUUAUAAAUGUCGGAAAAAGAAAGGCAGCAUCAAACAGCUUAAUAAACUAAUGCAUCAAAAGAGCUUAAUAUUAUCUCUUACUUUUAUGAGACUUCUUUCUCAUUUCCUAUCUUCUGUAAAACAAUGUGAAUGCCUUAAAAAUCAAACUUACAUUUUCAGGUGGGACCCUAAAAAUGAAUUAUGAGCUUAAGUGAUACUUUGUUUGGAGUUUGGACCUCAAUUGACAUUUCCAGCUGUAAUUCCAAUACAUGUUGAUAUUUCAUUACUUUGUAAACUAGUCUCUUAACAAGAAUAACACACUGAUAGACUAUAGAUAUGAUACUAUGCAAAAAGUAAACUAACUCCAUUCUGUUUUGCUAACUAACUCUGCUUAAUAAAUAAAACCAAUUUUUGCAGGAAAUUAGCAACAAUGCAAAUUGGGUAGAGUAACUUUUUAACAGACUUUUGAAUGCUAAAACCAAAGCAUCAUUUUAAACAGACUUUUUUUUAACACACUUUUGUGUGUAUUAGUAACACUUUUGUAUUAUAUUUGAACACAGAACAGAUUUAGUAAAAACUAAGCAAGGUGAUAAAUAUGGAGUAAUAUAGUUUGCAAAAAGCAACAAAUGCAUUCAUGAAAAGGCACUAUCAAUCUCUAAAGCUUGGUGCCAAUUCAUCUAUAAAACUAACAUUUCCAGCUGUUAUUCUAAGUCAAAACUUGUUUUUUUAAUAACAAAGGUUAAUUAAACUUUUUUUAAUAACAAAGGUUAAUUAUUAGUAUUUUCUUUUGUUAGGACUUUAACCCCUGAACUUUUAACUCCUCAACUUCUUUAAUCUCUUAGCUCAAAAUUGAUUUCAAUUCAUGUUGUACUUUAAUUGAGUAACUUGAUGUCUAUAUUUGAAAUUAGACUCACCUCUUCUAAGUUUUUAUUAAGUUCUAAUGAUAAAUAAUUCGUUUUACAACCCAAAAAAAAAAAAUGAAUAAAAUUAAACAUAUAAAGUAUAUACUAGCAAAGGUUCAUCCACAAAUUAUAAUUCAAUUUAUAAAAAUAUCAAAAUUGUUAAAUCGGACAUCAUGAUCGAGUUCAAACCACGACUCUUUUUUAUCAAAAAAAUUAAAAUAAAAAAGGUUGACUAAUAAAGUAACUCAUUAAGCUUGUUCCAAAAAAAAUAUACACAUUUGCUCCGGUCUAAAUUUUGGCAUAUUUACUGCAAUAUUCUCUUUGCUUCUUAUUUUACCCUGUAAUUGUUUCAUGGCACCCACCCAUCACUCUGCCCCAUGUCAUAUAUGCUCAUGGGCAGUAGGCAUGUCACAAAUUUUGGAUCUUUUCCCUAACUGCACCGGGUUUAACAUAAUUCGCAUAGUUUUCAAGAAAUGAUAUUUGAACAAUUAUUUUAUAAUAAUUUUAUGACAAUUUUCUCUCUCAUAUUCACAUUAUAUUUUUAUUAUCUUUUUCUAUUACUUUGAUUUUCGUGUCAAUACAUAUUUUUCUUUGUAAACAUAUGGUUGUCCAUUUGAUUGUCAAACAAAUAGAUGUUCAAAUAACACUGCUGAUAUUAAAUUAACCAUGCUACAAUAUAAAGGUAAUCAGAACUUUACUUUUCUUUUUCAAAAAAGGUCAACCAUUUUUUUAUGACUAGAAAUCUAGAUAAGCGUUCAAAGAGCCUUUCACGACUGAUAUCUCUCUCGAGCAUAAAAACGUAACUCAUUAAAUAAGUAAAUUUGUUCCUUUCCUGUCGAGCUCAUGGAACUUGGGAAGAAAAUAGUUGAUCAAUAGGGUUGAGAAUAGGCCAGGUCAAGCUUUGAUAGGCCUGAGCCUGACCUACGAAAAAAUUUGCAGGCCUGAGCCUGGCCUAUGGCCUUUCAUAGGCCUAUUUUUUUGGCUUGGCCUUGCCUAUUUAAAAGUCUGGCCUGGCCUGAAAGCCUAUUUACAGGCCUACUUACUAUUAAAGUCACUAAACAUUCCAUUUUAUCUACUUUUAAAUAGGCUUAAUAGACCUCAAAGCCUAUUUGAGUGUAAGACUUGUCUAUCACUAUAAGGCCUUAAAAGCUUAUUUUACUAUAAUGAUUUAAAGCCUAUUUAAAAAGUCCACUAUGAAGCCUAACAUGCAUAAACAGGCCGGCCUAUUAGGCUUCAUAGGCUUUUUUGAUAGCCUAAGUCUGGCCUAUUUACUUAAAUAGGCUUUUUAAAAAGCCUAAGCCUAACCUUUUUAAUAAACAGGCCAGGCCAGGCCAGGCCAUAGGCCCCUGUAGGCCGGCCUGACCUAUUCCCAACCCUAUUGAUCAAGUUACAUUUUAAUGAUUUUGGAUAAAAAUAGAAAUGAAAGAGAAUAUGGAUAAAAACAUAAUUGCAUAAAUUAAUAGAUAUAAUCAAAUUUUACAUAGGAGAAAUUACAAUCAAAAUGAAAGAAAGUGAACUCUUUGCAUUGUUGACUCAAAAUACUCAUAUUGCUCCAAAACUCUAAAAUACAUUUGAGAUGGGUGAAGGUUCAUAGUGUAAAAAUACAUUUGAGAAUAAACAAAAUGAAGCUUCAUUACACCAUCAAGAUACAUUUUGGUUACUUCUAACCAAAGAAAAACAAAAGGCAAAUUUACAUUUCAAAUAUCAUCAAAUGACAUGUUAAUUGAGUCUCACAUUUGCUUUAACUUGUGCUUCCAACACUAGUAGUAUCCGCAGGACCCGGAUUCCGUGCAUUAAUAAAAGUCCAUAGUUCCAUGCAGUUGUUAAUCUCAGGCAUUUGUGAUCGGAAGGUUCAAAUUACAUAUACACUAAUUUGGUUUACAACCAUCUCAGUUGUAGAUUUAAAUAAAACAGACUAGACUGGUGCAAUUACUAGUGGGAAUCCAUUUCCAUAUCAACUAAAUGAAAAACACUAAUAAAUAGACUAAAAGAAUUAUCCCACAUCGAUGAUAUCAUGUACAACCACAGUUGUCAAAAUUAGGAAUUUACUUCAGGUCGAAAGGGAAUAGUAAAAUCGGGACUCGUAAAAUCACAAUCAAAAUCGAAGGAUUUUACUCAAUGACUUGAGUAGAAACAAUAUAGGAAAUUGUAAAAUCAAAAUCGAUAAAUUUUUCCAAAAUAAUAAUAAUAUGUUAUAAAUGGUAUAUAGUCAUAAAUGAAUUAUAGUUUAUAAGAAAUCGUAAAAGACAACAAUGUUACAACCAAUUUUUGAAGACUUCCCUUUCCAUCAGAAACCAAAAGCCUAACAUUAAAUCAUAUAUUAUUGUUAUAAAUCACAUCCUGUUAACAAUUUGGAGAGGGAAGGGAAAAAGACAAGAAUAACCCACAAAAUAAAACUUCUCAAUUCAUUAUGCAGGAAUGUGAAAGUGCACAACUCUUUCCAUAUCAUCUUUAAAAUUUUGAUAAUGAAAAGCAUCAUGGAUGCAAAGGUAGUGCCUUUCCCUUUCAAUGAUUAACCUAAUCAACUUAGGGUAAUAUUGACAUCAUCACCAAGUGUGAAAAAACCGAAGAAUACUUCAAGAUGAUAUCGGUUCAUAAGGGUAUGAAAACCAGGGGUGCUUUAGAGCUUCAGAUGCAGAAGGUGCUUCUUCGGGUUAACCUCGAGCAAAUGAGAAACGAAGUCAGUGAAGCCUUGGUCCCCCAUUGGUAAUCUAUGCCUCAAAGAUGUCUUCUUUGGAAUCAGGUAUUCUAGUCUGCUGCUUUCCUGCAUAUCAAUACACAAUACCUCACUGAAUAAUUUUCCUAUGAUAAUUGAACAUACAAUGAUAAGUGUCUUGUGAGACUGAGAAUUUAUGGAAACAACUUAUGACAUGUUCAUAAGCUAUUUUCAAGUAAUUUCCAUAAAUUCUCUAGAUUUGCAAAUGAUAUCAGCUUACAGCUUAUAUGAAAAGAAUUUGACUUUAUUUUAUCUAUUAUUAUAGAAAAUAACAUAUAAAAGCACUUACAUGAUAAGUGUCUAUGAUAUAAGCUUAAUUAAUUUGUUUAUCCAAACAUGGAAAAUACAAGCGAACGAAAAUAGUCAAUUUUAGAAAGCUAUCUCAUGUUUUAAUUUUUAAAGACGAUGCAAAUGAAAAGAUAUUGAAAAUUUUAAGAUUGUUCGCUGAUGCAUUUCAUAUGCAAAGACACUUUAGAAAUGAAUUUCUUACCUGAUUCCUCUCAUAAAGCAUAUGAUUUUUUGUGAAGUACUUAUAAGUAUCCCGUUCUUUUGCUAGCAUACUUUGACCAAUUGAACCGAUGAUCCCAAUUACCCUAGCUAGUAAUGUUGCCGGGGAAUCGUUUUGGAAUAAGACCUACAAUAAGCAUAGUUGAGUUCAUUAAGAAUCAAGAUUUAUGAGUGUAUUCACUAAAACAGAUACAGAUUUGACAUCCGCUUUCACACAAAAAUGUAAAAACCCUACAACUGCAAGAACAUAUAACUUAAAAGAAAUUCACAGUACCAAAUAUGUCAAAUCAUUUUCACUUCUAAGGAUACUUCGUCAAUUUAUUUAAGGCAGCUUUUGAUGCACAGAUAAAAUGAAACAGGGCGACUCGUUCUCUUCUAUUCUCUAUAGAGUUCCACUAAAACAACAAAGAAACUCCAAGCGUUGUCAAUCGCAGAUCGCAGAAAAUAGUGGUUUGUUCCGAUUCUGCUACACAGGAGUUCAAUAGUGCCACUAGAGGAACUAUUUGACAAUAUUUUGUACUAUAAUGCGUGAUAAAGAACAAAAACGAUUUUUUCAAAUUCCGCUACGUUAUAGCCGCUAUUUAACAACACCCAAAUCAUUUUCAAAUUUAAAAUAUACUUUAUUAGUUUAUUUCAGGUAGUGUUCGGAACACGAAUGGAAUUAAAUGGGACAACUUAUUUUUGCUUCAACAAUUUUUCUGUUCUAUUUUUUAUUUGCUUCGAAAAUGUAGAAUAUAAAUUAUUCUAUGCUAUUUUAACCUGGCUACCAAAAACUUCCUUAAGACUAAGAGUGAUACAAUACAAUACAAUCAUACCCCAAUUUUUGACCUAAGAGAGCACUAACACGGGUCAUUUAGCUCCGACUGGUCUCAGCCUUUCGAGCAAAAAAAUUCGGCAGAAAGGUAUUUUAAAAUACCUCAUAUUUGAUUCCGAGUCGGGUCCUCUUCUCUCAAUUUUCAUUUAAUUUUAAUUUCCAUCUUUUAUUAACUUUAAAUUCAUUUUUUUAACCUUUAUUUUAUGAGAAUUGCUGUUCCCACAUAUAGUAUGGCUGUGCCACACGAGUAAAAUACCAAAAUGCCCUUCGGCAGUUUGCUACCGAAGUUUUAAGGAAACCGGCGGCAGUUAACUGCCGAAGAAAACCUCGGUAGUUAACUGCCGAGGAAAUCUGAACAUAACCAGAACGCAGAAACUCAGUUUUCUUCAUUCUUCAAACUUCUUCCAAACCAUCCAACUUCUCCAACUUCUCCAAAUUCGUUUUUUCAGCAAAAUCAAGUGCAUCAUCUUCAUUUAAACACAAGUAAGUAUGUUGACUCAUUUUUAAUCAUAAUGUUAGUUUGGGUAGGUUUUUUUUUUAAAAAAAAUGGUAGUUUUCAUGUGGUUAGGGUUGAUGUAGGAAUUGAAUUUUUUAUGAGUGCAUGUAGUUUAUAAUUGAAUGUAGUUGGUUUAAUUGAUGAUUGAAUGGUGUUAGGGUAUAAUAUGGUUUUGAAUGGUGGCAAAAGAAUACAUUUUGAGUAUGUUUGAUACUUUGCACACAAAGUGUUUGAUAAAAUGUGUCAAUGACAAAUUUAUUGAUUAUUUAGUUAGUUUAGGUAUUGGAUACGAUCUUGAUUGUAAUUUGAAAAAAUGUAUGUUGAAUUAAGUUGAAUGCAUAUUGAAAAACUGUAUAUUGAAUUAGGUUGAAUGUGUAUAUUGAAUUAUGUUUAGUUUAGGUUGAAUGUGUAUGAUAAUGCAUUUGAUUUUUUACGUUUGAAUGUUAAUGAUAAUGUGUAUGAUAAUGUUUAGGUUUAAUCAAUGUCUUUAUUUUGGUAAAGUGGUUUAAUGUGAAAGCGGUUAAGUUUAGGUUAUGUUUAGGUUGAAUGUGAAAGUCUAGGUUUUGUUUAGGUUUAGUGUUUGUUGAUAAAGUGGUUGAAUGAUAUUAAUUUUUUAUUUUUAUUUUUUGUAGAUAUGGCCGAUCAGGACCCCAUUGAUCCAUCGAAGAUGAUUGGUGGUAGGCGUGCCAUGACUCAGAGCCACCGUAGGGAGAGGCAGGGCGGCCACAUCCCAAAGAGGGGUAGAGGUCGAAGAGGAGAUGGCUCAGGAAGCUCUCAGGCUACACAGCCUGAGGAGUCACAGGUUGUUGACCCGCCACAGCCUGUUGACCAGACUGGGGUGGAGUACCUGAACUAUCAGAAUCAGGUACAGCAUGAUGUGACGGAUGGUGGAUAUGACCAGGAUCAUAUACCACAGCAGCAGGAUGCAGGAGACGAGGAUGACAUUGCAGCAGCUGCUGCACCGGAGGUGUUACCUACGGACCCUCCAUUUCCUGGUGGACCGGAGGACCUGUCAUUGCUCCACUCUUAUGCCGAUCAUGUGGCUUUGCCACUCUGGUAUAAUUCAAAUAAUGUAAGUGUAUUUAUUUUAAAUGUUUUUUCUUUAUGUUAAAAUAUUUUCUUUAAUUUAAAUGUGUGUUUGUUUAAUUAUUGUUAUCAUGGUUUUUGGGUGCCAAGCCAUUAAUUGGACUUGAACCUUUUGACCGUUGAUAUCUCUCUUUUUUCUUGGGAAGGGUAAAAGGAGAAAAACCCUUGAGUUUCCGAAUUCGGGGGUCGUUUUCGCUACGGGAAGGUGUUAGGCACCCGGAGCGAUUAUGGUAUUCCAUAAGAACCGCUUUCCUAAGUUUAUUUCUAUGCUUUAGUUUUAUUGCUUAUUUGUAAAAAAAGAAGGUGUGAUUAGUUAAGAACGGGGGUGAGAAGGAGUAGAAUUUGAUUUUUAUUUCGGCUUGGAUGAGUUUUGACUCAUUGCCUACGUACCGUUUUACGGGAUCAAAACCGAUCGUAGUUCGUUCUCAAAAAUGGUUUUUGUUUUUGUUGAUUGAUUUUAAGUUUGAAAAGAGAUUUUGAAGAAUAGAGAUGAGAGGCCUCAAGGGCAUAAGAUUUGGAAAAUGUGAGGUGGAAUUAGUUACUUUGCAAAAUGACGUCUAAGUAUGAUUAAAAUUUAUUAGAAAUUUUACUUAAGAAAAUAAAAGGGAAAUAAGGAGUUUUGACUCCUAUUUUAUUUUCAAAAAGGUUUUCAAGUGAGGUUAUUUGCAUGUUUUGGAAAAAGUUGGAUUUUCUCUAAGUGUUCAAAACUAAACGUUCAUCUAAUCAUGCAAUCCUAGCCAUACAUCUAUGCAUACAAUCCUAAGCAUACAUCUAGGGUGAGUGUGUGCGUGUCGGUGUGUCAUAGUGUCCAUAGUCCAUAUUACAAAAAUUCCCUAAAUACAUUCUAUGGCCCCUUUGCCAAGCUACAAACCAAUGGUAAAAUAUUACAUCACCGAAUGAAUUACAAUUUGCAAAAAAAGAAAACUAAACUAAAGGAGACAAUAGUGAAGAUGGUGAAGUGCUAUGAAGUGAUCAAUAUGAAAGGAAAUGUUAGUAGAAAAUGGUAAAAAAAGAAAGAAUGUGGCAUGAAGCGAUGGAAGAAAGUAUGGCAUAAAACAGUAAAGUGACGAUGAAAAUAAGCCGGAAACAUGUAACGAAUAAUGCACAUGAUGCAAGAACAAAACUCAACACAUCAGAACAGUGGCGUAUGCAUAGCAAACAGUAGCAAAAUUCAUAUGGAAUAGUAUGCAAAUCAAACAUGACGAACACGAUCAUCAUGCACAUGAAGUAACGGGUAAAAAUGCGAGAAAAGUGACUAAAAAAAUAGUAAAAACCCUUGACAAAACAACACUAAAAUUUUUACCAACUUUUCCAAGCAAAAUACCACUGAAAAUUACCAAGAAAAAUAGUAAAAUGACAUGGUAAAUUUCUUGGAAUUUAUUGAUAAAAAUUAACAUGAAUAAAGGGUGCAAACAGCAGGCAAGUAUGGUGCAAAUAGCAAAAAAUAAACAAAAACGUGAAAAGAAAUCUAAGCCCAACCCAAAGCCCAAUGCAGACUGGACCUGGAUCAUCCAAAGGCCUCAGAGGCGUUAGAUUGAUCCAGACCUAGAUCUGACGGUUCAAAAUAAGCAGCGCAUGGUAACACAGAUCAAGCACAUGGAAACAACGCAUCAUAACCAUUCAAAUGAAAAAACCCUAGAUCCUACGGUUCAAGAUGAAAACAAAAUAAACCGGACCGGUUCAAACGUCUAUAUAAGGACGUGGACACCGGUCCAGUCCAUUUCUUUCAUCUCUUUCUCUCUCUAAGCUUCCCUCUCCUCUCGCCUCUCUCCAGAACCUCACCGCCGGUGAGGAUGAAGCUACGGCGGAGACCUUGAAGGUCCGCCGGAAACUUCAUCUUCUCCGGCGAGACUAUGAACUUCCGGUGACCUAAAAAUUCCAGAACUUAAAGAUUUUUGCAUAUUUCGAUUCGUCCUUUAACCCUAAACACGAAUCCAGCAAUUAUUUUUUCAAAUACGGCCUGAAACGACGUAGAUCUAAAACUUUUCAUACGGUUUUGAAAAUGAUUUUGAUCUUUUUGAAAUAAAACGUUUAGAUCUUUAAAGAUCUACAUCGUUUCGUUGUUUGAUUCCGUUUCUGGUACUCGUUCUUGCUUUCAAAAUUUAGAUCCUUAUGGAUCUAGAUUUCGUGCUUACGGUUACGGUUUUCUCUUUGAAUUCUGGAAAUUUUUAGAUCUGUUUCUCGCGUGAUUUUGCAGGUUUAAAUUAUGAUUAUUUUCUGAGAAAAGAUUCUGAGUUUUACCUAAGGUUUUGGUUGAAACCUUUAAUGGAGGAAAUCUUUGGGAGAACUUGAAUCUGUUGUUUUCUGAUGAUUCUUGAUUCUUCCGCUUGCUUCACCGGUCCAGAUUCUGCAGAUUCUGCUUCUUUCCUUCUUCUUUCUCUUCACUGCUUCCUCGUGAUCAGUGCUUGAGCUCGUCGCGUUUCAGUGAUGAACUCGCACUUUGAAUUGCGAGGAAAUUGGUUCUGUGAUGAUGAUUCCGUAUUGAAUCUCUGAGAAUCAAUGAGUAAUCAAAGAAACUUUGUUGAAUUCUGUUGAAUUUGGUGUUUUUGUGUUGAUUCGGUGGAAAUCAAUGGUGGAUUGAGGUGGUUAUGGUUUCUGCCAUUGAUGAAUCUUUGAAGCUUUUUUUGUUGAUUCUGUUUUGGUGAGUUGGCACUUGGUGAAUGAAAAACGUCUGAAAUUCAUUGCCACUGUGUUGCUUUUAUAGCUGACAAGUGUACUGUCUGGCCAAUGGAAAACUGACACAUGUCCUGGACUUGUGAUUUGGGCGCUGCCUUGUAAUUUAGGACUUUGAGGACCUCCCUGCAAUUUUGUAAAAUAUGGAACUGGACUGCAAUUUUAAACAGAACUAAAAAGUAUAAAAAUUGGACAAUUUGGACUUAAAUGCAAUUUUAACAAAAUUAAGGGACUAAUAAUGCAAAAAUAAAAAUAAAAUGAAUUAAAAUUUGUAAUUUUGACCAAACGUAAAGCGAAACAAAAAUAAAAUUGACAAAACGGACUAAAACGAACCAAUGGCCUAAAUGAGGUACUUCAAAGUAACCUCUCUAUGCUAAAAUUUUAUGUGAAAUGACCAAAAUGCCCCUAGGGCUAAAAAUGACCUAAACAGACUCAAAUUGACUUGACACUGACUCAGAUGCAAGUUUGAAAUGAUUUUAGCAAGGUUUACUGAUGAAAUGUAAAAAAGAAUCAAUUUGAAAAGACUCAGAGACAGUCACAAGGAUGAAAAUGGGUCCCACUGCGGGAAAUGACCAAAAUACCCUUCUGUACAAUUUUUGCAAAUUUUGAAAUAAACUGUAGAAAAAGCAGUGUAAUGAUUCAGAGACACUUUUGAAUGACUUACAAGACAAGUAAAGACAUUCCGAAAGGUUUUAUGCAAGAAAAACAUAGGUAAAAUUGUGAUUGAAAAUACUGCGAGGCAGAGACAAUUUGAACUGUGCAGUUGAAAUUUGAUAAUUGACAAAGUUUGAAAUGAAAUUGGGCCCAGUAUUUUUAGGUCCAAAAACAGGGUAUAACAGCUGCCCCUAUUUAAGUUUCUUCGUCUGGAGAGUCAAGAGACGGAGUCUUUGGCUUGACAGGACGAAGAUACUUAAAUAUUAGCAUUUGCACUGUGUUUGGACGUAAAAAUACGCCUACCCAUUUUCAAAUAAUAUGCAUGCCAUGCAUCAUUUGGAUUAUGAAUGCAAGACCUCAUGGGGAUUGGAAUUAACAAAGUAUGUCGUAUCCAUUGCGGGAUUGGUAGACAUUGACAAGAUAACAUAUAACAGGGUAGACAGCAGACUAGAAGCAAAUUGACGGGUACAAGCUGCUCUUGGAUUGAGCUGGGCACUUGACCAAACAGAAACAUGUUGACAGGUACAAGCUGCUCUUGGAGUGAGCUGGGCACUUGACCGAUAAUGUUGAAAAGUAAACAGAUACAAGCUGUUCUUGAAUUGAACUGGCCACUUGAUUGAAAAACAAAGACACAAAGAUAGGUACAAGCUGUUCUUGGAUCGAACCUGCCACUUGACCACACAGAAACAAAGGCACGAGCUGUUCUUGGAUCGAACCUGCCACUCGACCAAAUAGAAACAAAUUGAUGGGUACAAGCUGUUCUUUGGAUCGAACUUGCCACUUGACCAGACAGAAACAAAGGUACGAGCUGUCCUUGGAUCGAACUUGCCACUCGACCAAACAGAAACAAAUUGAUGGGUACAAGCUGUUCUUUGGAUCGAACUUGCCACUUGACCAGAAAGAAAGAAAUUGACGGGUACAAGCUGUUCUUUGGAUCGAACUUGCCACUUGACCAAACAGAAACAAAGGUACGAGCUGUUCUUUGGAUCGAACUUGCCACUCGACCAGACAGAAACAAAGGUACGAGCUGUCCUUGGAUCGAACUUGCCACUCGACCAAACAGAAACAAAUUGAUGGGUACAAGCUGUUCUUUGGAUCGAACUUGCCACUUGACCAGAAAGAAAGAAAUUGACGGGUACAAGCUGUUCUUUGGAUCGAACUUGCCACUUGACCAGAAAGAAAGAAAUUGACGAGGGGAUUGGUUUGUUUUGACAAAAUAUAUAUUGAAAGUGACUUGACGUCGAUUUAAUUUGAAAAGUAGAAAUUGACCAAUAUUAUUGGCUCACAAGAUAACAGGGGUGUUGGUUAUUGACUUGAAAUUGGCAUUGCUAUUUGAAUUGAAAUUGACAUUGAUACUUGAAUUGAAAUUGACGUUGACAUUGAAUUUGAAAUUUGACAUUGAAUUGAAAUUGACAUUGAUAUUGACAUUGAAUUGAGAUUGACAUUGACAUUUGAAUUGAGAUUGACAUUGAUAUUGAAUUGAAAUUGACAUUGAUAUUGAAUUUGACAUUUGUAUUGGAAAUUGAAUGUGACAAUUGACAUUUGAACUGAAAUUUGACACUGACAUUGAUAUUGGAAAUGCAACAUGUAUGGAUGGUAUAACAAUUUUUAUCAGAUGUAUAGACAUGUAAUAUGCAUGAUCAUGCAUGUAUGAAUGAUUGAAAUGCAUGAUGGUUGACAGUUUGUAGACACGACUUCACGGGGAAGACAAGACAUUAGAGUAUUGGGCACGUAGUGGCUCGUGCUACAUCAUAGAAAUCCUCUUUGGAGAUAACGCCGUUGGGAGACGUACCAGAACCAUGGCUGAGGGUAGAUAGCUAAUCAACUUGCUGGGGAUAGAAUCUUGGAAGACCCGACUGGGGAUAACGCCGUUAUGCUGGGCAUUUCAGUGCUGGGUAUGUUGUAGAUAUCGCAUCUGUGGUCAAUGCUUUUUGCAUGUUAUAUUCUCAUUUUUCACAUCCUAUUUUUGCCUGGAUCGCCCUUUCGGGUUUUCGAUCCACCGGGAAAAUAGAUUCUUUUCUUGCCCCAUUUUUGCCUGAACUGCCCUUUUGGGGUUGUCAAUCCAGCGGGGUGCUCAUUUUUGCCUAAGUCGCCCUUUCGGGUUUUCAACUUAGCGAGCUCAUUUAUUUUCAUGCAUUUUCAUUCUGUUUUUUCAUUCUUGCCAUUGACCACAGACUAUCCUGGGGAAGAGCCUGCUUGUAACACAUAUUGAAAUAGACAUCAACAUAUACUCGCUCAUGCAUGUUUCAUUUGAAUGUACCCUGUUGCUCAGGUUUGCUUUUCAAAAUAGACAAAAAGUUUUCAAUUUUUAAAAUGUUUGUUUCAAGCAUUGUCAUUAUCAAAAUAGAAAGAAAAAUGUUUUGUAUAUAGCUUUGAAAGUAGAAGAAAAAAUAGAGUUUUCAAACAAAAGCAAAGGCUCAAAUUGAUGUAUAAGAGUGGUGGUCAGCCAAAGGCAUGACUCCACGGAUUCACAAAGCUUGGAAAAUGGUAAUUUUAUUGGUUGGUGGUACAUUGAACACAGUAACCACUACAGUUCUUAGAAACUUUGAAUUCACAAGUACAGAAGCUUCUGAUGGAGACGGUCAUUAACAGCUGCAGAUGCCCCAAGGGGAUUGUGAUUUGCCAGAUAUAGUUACUUGCCUUUUGUUUCAAUCUCAUUUUUGCAUGAACCGCCCUUUCGGGUUUUCGGCUCAUCGAGACGCUCAUUCUUGCCUGAGUUGCGUACAAUCUCAGCGAGCUUUUUCAUAUUUGUUUUUUUUGUCCCUUAUUUUUGCCUGGAUCGCCCUUUCGGGUUUUCGAUCCACCGGGAAGCGCAUUUUUGCCUAGGCCGCCCUUUCGGGUUUUCGACCUACCACGCUGUUCUUUUCAUAUAUCUAGGCGAAGUAUUUCUUGACUAUAUCAGCAUUCACAGGAUUUGGAAGUUCAACACCAUCCAUGUGAGUAAGAAUCAAAGCACCACCGGAGAAGGCCUUCUUGACAACAUAAGGACCUUCAUAGUUAGGCGUCCACUUGCCCCUUGGGUCGGGUUGCUGGCUUAUCCUCCUUUUCAAUACAAGUUCACCUUCCUUGAAUUCUCGAGGACGGACUUUCUUGUCAAAAGCAUCUUUCAUUCUUGCUUGAUAUGACUGUCCACGAGCCAUGGCAUCCAUACGUUUUUCCUCAACCAAAUUCAACUGAUCAUACCGGCUUUGGCACCAUUCAGCCUCGGAUAACUUUGCUUCCAUGAUCACACGGAGAGACGGAAUCUCCACUUCCAAAGGAAGAACUGCUUCCAUACCAUAUACAAGAGAGAAAGGGGUUGCCCCGGUUGAACUGCGCACUGUAGUACGGUAGCCAUGCAAAGCAUAGGGCAACAUCUCAUGCCAAUCUUUGUAAGUGGUUACCAUCUUCUGGACAAUCUUCUUGAUAUUCUUAUUGGCUGCCUCAACUGCGCCAUUCAUCUGAGGCCUAUAAGGAGAAGAGUUGUGAUGCUCAAUUUUGAAUUCUUCACAAAGAGCUUGCACUACAUUGUUGUUCAAGUUGGUACCAUUGUCGGUAAUGAUCUUGCUGGGAACACCAUAUCGACAGAUGAUGUUGUUCCUGAUGAACUUGGCUACCACUUGCUUGGUUACAUUGGUAUAAGAUGCAGCUUCGACCCAUUUGGUGAAGUAGUCAAUUGCCACUAAGAUGAAACGAUGACCGUUUGAAGCCUUCGGUUCAAUUCUUCCAAUCAUGUCUAUGCCCCACAUUGAAAACGGCCAUGGGGAUGUCAUAACAUUGAGAGCGUGCGGAGGCACAUGGAUCUUGUCAGCAUAAAUUUGACAUUUGUGGCAUUUUCUGGCGUGCUGGUAGCAAUCAUGCUCCAUGGUCAUCCAGUAGUAACCUGCCCGUAACAACUUUCUUGACAUAGUAUGCCCUGUAGCAUGGGUCCCGAAGGUACCGUCAUGUACAUCAUGCAUUAACUGCUCUGCUUCAUGUUCAUCAACACAUCUUAACAAUACCAUGUCAUAGUUUCUUUUGUACAGAAUAUCUCCAUCCAACAGGAAUCUACUGGCCAAUCUUCUCAGGGUCUUCUUGUCUUGUUUGGAAGCACCUGGCGGAUACUCACGGCUUAGCAAGAACUGUUUGAUGUCGUAAUACCAGGGUUUAUAGUCAACCACAUUUUCACCAGCCUGAUCGAUCACAUCCCCAAUAGCAAACACAUGUGAAGGUCUUUCAAGGCGUUGCACUCUGAUUAUUGGCACAUCAUUCCAAUGGUUCACUCGAAACAUGGAAGAUAGAGUAGCCAGAGCAUCAGCCAUUUGGUUCUCAUCACGAGGGAUAUGGUGCAACUCAACCUUUGUAAAAUAUGUCAGCAAACGUCUCGCAUAAUCACGGUAAGGAAUCAACUUGUCAUGAUGGGUCACCCAUUCACCCUUUAUCUGGUUGAUGACAAGUGCAGAAUCUCCAUAGAUGUCGAGGUGUUUGAUUCUCAUGUCAAUUGCUUCCUCGAUCCCGAAGAUACAUGCUUCGUAUUCAGCCAUAUUGUUUGUACAUUCGAAUAGAAUCCGGGCGGUAAAAGGAAUGUGAUGCCCCUGCGGGGAUACAAUGACUGCUCCGAUUCCUUUACCAUAAGCAUUGACAGCACCAUCAAAGACUAAACCCCACUUGCUAUUGGGAUCUGGACCUUCAUUAAUCAACGGUUCUUCGCAGUCUUUUGAUUUCAAAUACAUGAUCUCUUCAUCGGGGAAAUCGAACUCAAUUGGUUGGUAAUCAUCAAGAGGUUGGUAGGCAAGAUGAUCGGCAAGAAUGCUACCUUUGAUUGCCUUUUGAGUUUUGAACACAAUAUCAUAUUCAGACAAAAGCAUCUGCCAUCGUGCAAUCUUCCCAGUAACAGCAGCUUUCUCAAAGAUAUACUUGAUUGGAUCCAUUCUAGAUAUCAACCAAGUUGUAUGAUUCACCAAAUAAUGACGCAGGCGUUUGGCAGCCCAAGCUAGAGCACAACAAGUCUUCUCAAGCAUUGUAUACCGAGUUUCACGGUCGGUGAACUUCUUGCUUAGAUAGUAGAUGGCAUGUUCUUUCUUUCCAGUCUCAUCUUGUUGACCAAGUACGCAUCCCAUGGAUUCAUCAAAUACUGCCAAGUACAUAAUCAAAGGCCUUCCUUCCACGGGUGGGACAAGGAUAGGUGGUUUCAGCAGGUAAUUCUUGAUGCUAUCAAAAGCUUCUUGGCAUUCAUCAUUCCACACAAUAGGCUGAUUCUUUCUGAGUAGCUUGAAGAUCGGCCCGCAGGUUGCAGUCAUAUGAGAUAUGAAUCGGGAGAUGUAAUUCAAACGUCCGAGGAAACCUCUGACUUGCUUCUCGGUCCGUGGAGCUGGCAUUUCUCGGAUGGCCCGGACUUUAUCAGGAUCGACUUCAAUGCCUUUUUGGCUGACAAUGAAGCCUAAUAACUUUCCGGAUCUGACGCCGAAUGUACAUUUGUUAGGAUUCAAUCGAAGCUUGUACUUUCUCAACCUUUCGAACAUCUUUGUCAAAUAUUCAACAUGCUGCUCCUCAUCUGUUGACUUUACAAUCAUGUCGUCCACAUAUACUUCGACUUCUUUGUGAAUCAUAUCAUGAAACAGAGUAGUCAUUCCCCUUUGAUAGGUAGCACCAGCGUUAAUUAGGCCGAAUGGCAUCACCUUGUAGCAGAAAGUCCCCCAUGGGGUGAUAAAAGAUGUCUUUUCUCUAUCUUCAGGAGACAUUUUGAUCUGAUUGUAACCGGAGAAACCGUCCAUGAAGGAGAACACCUUAGACUGAGCAGUAUUAUCAACAAGCACAUCAAUAUGAGGUAAUGGGAAGCUGUCUUUUGGACUGGCUUUGUUCAAGUCUCUGAAGUCAACACACAUCCGGACUUUACCAUCCUUCUUUGGCACAGGUACAAUAUUGGCAACCCAUUCAGGGUAUUCAACUGUCAUGAGGAAACCCGCAUCAAUCUGUUUUUGAACCUCACUCUUAAUCUUAAGAGCCAUAUCUGGAUGAGUCCUUCUCAAUUUCUGCCUGCCGGGAGGACAUUCAGGCUUUGUGGGGAUCCGAUGCUCCACAAUUUUAGGAUCUAGACCUGGCAUAUCCUCAUACGACCAUGCAAAGAUGUCCGGAUAUUCCCGGAGGAGCUGGAUGAUCUUCUUUUUAACCCCUUCCUCUAGAGCAGCACCGAUCUUGAUUUCUCGCUUGUUUUCCUCGGUACCUAUGUUGAUAAGCUCAAUCUCUUCUUGGUGAGGCUGAAUAGCUUUCUUUUCUUGCUCAAGUAACCGAGUGAUCUCAUAUGGUAUGUCACUUUCUUCAUCUUCAGCUUCGUAUACCGGGAAUUCAAAGUUUGGAAGAGGCAUAGGAUUACUAUGUUCAAUGGGUUUAUUAUGGUUCAACCUGCAUAUAAUGAUUGGAUGAUUUUAGAAAGAGUUUUUUUUCAUGCGGGUUUUUGAAAUUAAUAAGAAAAUACAGAUGUUUUGGUUUUUUCUGGUAUUACCAUUAUUUCCAAGGAAAAAAGCACUUAAAAAAAAAGCAGUCGUGAAAGAAACGACAAUUUUUAUUCAUCAACGGCAAUGCCGAAACAAACGCGCCCUUACAGAAAAUAUCACUUUCGCUUUGGGCAGAGCGAGAGGAUUGUUAUUUUGAAAACAAAGUACUAAAGCAACAAGACGCAUUACUCGGAAACAUGCAUGAUUGAAGGAAUGUCAAUGGCAUCCCAAUCUCUAGCAAUGCCUCCUGGUAUGACAAAAAUGGGCCUGAGACCAGAUCCAGUUGCUUCUUCAGUGAUAGCAUUAACAAACCCAGCACUGUGGAAGACUCCCGAGGAAACCCUUGAUGACGGGGAGAACCCGAGACCUUCUUUACGCUUGUUCUCAUGAAGCUGUAUCACCUUGCCCCAGCCGGCAGUCUGACCUUCUUGAAUAACCCUCUGAGCAUCUUUCAAUGAAGCCAUAGCAGCCCCAGCUUUCUUAGGCUCCGCGCCUUCAAUGGUCAAACCUUGGAAAGCAGUCCCUUCAGCAGACCCUGCUUCAAUACAAGAGAAGGAAGACAGCUGGCUGACUAAAUAUGCUUCUUCACCAUGGACUGUAACGAGUUUUCCAUUCUUCACAAACUUUAACUUCUGAUGCAAGGUGGAGGUUACCGCGCCCGCGUCAUGUAUCCAAGGCCUUCCCAAGAGGCAGCUGUAUGAAGCAUUAAUAUCCAUGACUUGGAACGUGAUUAAGAAGUUCUCAGGGCCAACAGUUAUUGGCAAAUCUAUCUCCCCGAGGACAUUCUUGCGGGACCCAUCAAAUGCUUUCACUAGGAAAGUGCUUCUUCUUAGCGGAGUCUCACGGUAGCUCAACUGGUCCAGCGUUGACUUGGGCAUUACAUUCAAAGACGAUCCUGUGUCCACCAGCACAUUAGACAACAUAUCAGAUUUACAAUUCACCGAAAUAUGCAAAGCCAAAUUGUGGCACUUUCCCACUUCAGGUAACUCGUCUUCACCAAACCACAGAUUGUUACAAGCUGUAAUAUUCCCCACUAUAUCACCAAACCGAUCCUCGGUAACCUCAUGGUCGACAUACGCUUGCUCCAACACCUUCAACAAAGUCUUUCUGUGAGCCUCAGAACUCAGAAGCAAAGAUAGGACAGAUAUCUUCGACGGCGUUUGUAAUAACUGAUCCACGAUCUUAUAAUCGCUCCUUUUGAUUAUCCUCAGGAUCUCGUCCAGGUUGGAGUCCUCUAGAGACUGACUGGACUGUCCCACACCUUGAACAACGGGAGAUACAUCAGUCGGGAUUGACUUAUCAGCAGGUGAUGCAGCAGGUAUCUUUUGCUGGAACAAAGGAGGACGAACUCUUCCACUCCUUAACACCGCUGUGGUCCCUUCAACAUUGUUAUUCAUCACAACUGAGGACGCCAAAGGUGCCUCCUUUCCAUCUUCAACAACGGUAGCAUUAUACUUAUAAGGGACGGCCUUGUCUGAGGUAUAAGGUACCGGCCCAGGCAACCUUAUCACUAGUGGCACCACGUUCUCUCUCAUGGGUGAACUCCUUGCAGGCACAUCAUGGAAUACCGGCACAAUUACACAAACAUCACUAACAGUCAGAUGAUUAUCAUUCAUCAAGCUCUGGAUAUCCUCUUGCACAACGCGGCAACCCAAGGGAUUAAGGGCGCACUCGGAGCAACUGUCAUGAUCAUGUUUAAACAAAGAAGCCUGGCAAAGUUUAACAUGCAGGGGCACCAAAGGAGUCGCAACAUUACGGACAUCUAGUUUGGGCGCUUCUUCAUACGCUUCAAUCAUGUUUACUGCAGCAUGGUCUGGAAGAGGGUUAUCAAGGACAUGAGGAGUACUGUUCUCAAAAGUCAGCUUUCCUUGGUCAAUAAGCCUCUGGACAAUAUACUUUAAAGCAUAACACCUCUCAACGUCGUGACCCAAGGCCCCCUGAUGAAAGUCACACUUGAGAUCAGUACGAAACCUUGGUGGUAAUGGAUCUGGCGGAGGCCUACCCUGCCUAGUCGUACAAUGACCUCUCUGAAGUAAUGUUGGAAGUAAAUCAGCAUACAACAUCGGGAUUGGAGGAAAAGUAGGCCUAGCAAAAUGCUGCUGUUGUUGCUGUUGUUGUUGCUGAACUGGUGGUUGUUGUGGCUUCUGUUGCACAAUAGCAUUCACGGGUACCUGAGGUGGUCCUGAUGGCAAAGGAUAUUGAUGGUAAAACGGUGGGAAGAAUGGAUGCUGAGAAUAUGGUGUACAGGGGUAUGGUGGAGGUAGCUGAGCAACAUUAACAGGGGCGACAGUAGCCGUAGACUGACCUGCUCCCGAGGAUACCAUUCCAACCUCUGUUUCCUUCUUCUUGUGGUGGCCAUUGCCAUACCUCUUCGACCCACUUGUAGAAGACUCACCCUUCUCAAAUACAAUGAUACCCUCUCUGACGGCCUCCUCUAGACGAGUCCCCAUAGUUACCAUUUCAGAAAAGUUGCUAGGGGCAGCAAUAAUCAUCCUUUCAAUGUAGUCUUUCUUCAAGGUUUUCAAGAAAGUUUGGGUCAUCUCCUCUUCUUCUAGAGCGGGAGUAAUACGGGCAGCAGCUCUCCUCCAUCUUUGGGCAUAUUCACGGAAACUUUCGUCCUUCUUCUGAGAGAGGGACCUGAGAGAUUCCCUAUUUGGCUUUAAUCUGGUAUUGAACCCGUAAUGACUCUUGAAGGCAGCAGAUAACUCGUCAAAAGUAUGGAUGUCAUCCUUGCUCAAACCAGUAUACCACUCUGCAGCAUCUUCCAUCAGACUAUCCUGGAAGCAGUGGAUCAUAAGUGAGUCAUUGUCUUUGUAAUUUCCCAUCUUGCGGACAUAUUUGAUGAUAUGAUUUUGAGGACAAGUCAGCCCGUUGUACUUGUCGAACUCCGGGAGCUUGAAUUUCUUCGGAAUGUCUACUUUGGAUACCAAACAUAGGUCGCGAGCUUUGGCGGAGUCACCGCUCCUUUGACUAGCCUUGAUUUCCUGUCUGAGCUCUCUAGCAAGUUGUUCCAUCAUCUCCUCCAUAGUUCCAGUUACUGGAGUAUUCCUGCGGAGUACCUCAGCAUGUGUACCUUGGGAAGUUGUGGCCAUGAUGGGCUCAGCCAUAGUCGAAGUUGCUUGAGUUGAUGUAGUGUUGAUAGAAGUCAUAUUAAUCCCAGGAAUUGGGCCAUUGUUAGCUGUGCCAGAGGUUCCUGCUGUAGUACUUGGAGUGAAGAACGGUGGAAGCCCAUAUGGAAACCCCACUGGCAUAGUAAAGCGAGUGUCUGCAGAAGUGGUUGGGAGCACGCUUGUAGUCACCGGUGCAGUUGUGGCUGUAGGGAUAGCUGUAGCUGAUUGCUCUUGAGCGGCUAGCAGAGCAGUCAUGACAUCAUUAGCUUUAGCCAAUUCCUCCCUUAGAGUGGCUAACUCGGUGCGGAGCUGAGCGUUCUCUUCUUCCAUAGCCCUUUUCUUUCUUCUGUAUUCUCUGGUUCGAUCAAUUCUAUCAGGUUCGUAGACCCUCUGAGUACGAGCCACUUUUCACACUGCGGCAGAGGAACCAGGAGAUAGUGAGCAUUUGGGAGCCUUUGUGACCAAUGCAUGAUGCAUAUGAUGCAUGAUAUGCAAAUGCAAAUGCGAAAGACUUAUUUUUUCAUCGAAGGAUUUUUAAACAAAUUAGAAAUCUUGCAAAUAAUCAAAACUACAUAGUGUUUUCAAAAAGGAAGACUUUGAAAUUUCAACAAGAUAAACAAAUGAAGCCCUCAAGCAUAGGAAGUAGUCGGAGCAUCAUCGGACUCGGAAUCUGAAUCACCGUAUCUGGCAAAGAAGUCUCGUCGUCCUCUAGCUCUCUUGGAAUCCCUCAUAAGCAGCUCGUCUUUCUCUUCCAAUUCUCUCCGGACCUUAGCUAAUUCCUUCUUCAACAUCAGGUUAUCAUGAGUCUUCUGCUCAUCUCUACCAUCCAAAGUCAUGAUUAGAUUCUCAGCUUGAUUGUACCGAGCUUUCCACACUUGCUUCUCACGACUCUCCAUAGCUAGAUGCUCCUGAUACAUAUCCUGAGUCGUGGGGAGUAGAGGUAGAGGCAUAGAUGGAGUAGAUGAAGACACGUAUCUCAUAGCUGGAUAAGGCAUGCCAAUCUCCUCAGCUCGAUCUAUCACCCACUGAGUAUAGGCCUCGUGAGCAAUACCGGAUCUCACACCUAGAUGCUUCACACUCUUCCUUCGAACCUUGGACCAAGCAUCCAUGAAAGCUUUCCUUUGCCCGGUAGGAGCAUUCGUGUAGAAGAAGAACUCUGGAGAUGUAGCAAGACUGAUGGGCUUCGACUUCAUAGGGAAACCAAACUGUCUCAUAGCAAGCUCGGGGUUGUAGUUGAUUCCUCCACGGGUACCAAGAAGAGGUACAUUGAGAAAGUCUCCACAACCCAUAAUGAUUUCCUUCACCUGAGCGGCAGGAGUGAGCCAGACGACCUCAUUAGGAGUGAGAGCCAUAAUUCGCUGCGAGUAGGACCAAUUCUCCGAGUUGUCAUGGAAGGAACUCGGAAGGUGCGAAAUAAACCACCUAUACAAAAGAGAUAUGCAGCAAAGAAUAUACCCACGGCCCUUGAGAGUCCUGUCAUGAAUGGCGUGGUAGGUAUCUGCUAGCAAAGUAGGAACCGGGUUCUUGGAAUGGAAGAUCUCGAUAGCAUUCAUGUCCACGAAAUUGUCGAGGUUCGGAAAGAGAAUGAGCCCGUAGAUAAGCAAAGCAAGAAUAGCCUCGAGUGUAUCCUGACGAGUAGUGCUGAGAUUAGCCUGAUCAAGAAGAUACUUUGAAGUGAACCCCCGGAUGUGGGACUUGGUAAUAAGAUGGUUAGAGACGUCGGAAGUCUUGAGGUAGAGAUCUUUUGCAAUAACCAGAGGAGUAAGAGAAGUCCCGGGACCGGUGAAAGGCGUCUUCUCGGCUAUAGGUAAACCCACUAGAUUGGAAUAAGCCUCGAGCGUAGGAACCAACUGGAAGUCCGGGAAAGUGAAGCAACGGAAGCUCGGAUCAUAAAAUUGCACUAGAGUGUGCACUAGCUUCUCUUCCACAUCGGUUCGGAGCAAAGUAAGCAAUCCCCCAUACCGGAGUCGGAACCCUGUUUGACUCUUGACCUUAAGUGCCAACUCUCUCAAACUAACCAAAUCCACUUCCUUGAACUUGUAGCACUUAGUCUUCUUCAUACCUGUGAUUAUUUACAAAAAUUUCCAUUUGUUUAAGCCCUUCGAUGAAUGCAUGAAAAAUGUUUAUGCAUGAAUGCAUGUAUGCAUGAUAUUUUUUUCCUUUUCAAUUACGGAGAAAACAUGGAGGGUUGAGAUUAAAGUCGAGGAGCAAUGGGCGGACACGAUGCCCGGUAAACUAAAGUUUAGGAUAAUAGUAACCAAGGUUCCUAAUGAAGUUCCCAAACUGCAACCUCUCUUACGUAUAUCAUGGUGGCACGGGACAACAUCCGUUCCAUGCUUAUUCGUAAGAAGGUCUAGUUUGAGUGUAGUAUCGCGUGACGACUAAAGCUUGAGACAACACUCAAUUUAGCCACCGCACUACAUCUAAAAAAAAGGCCAAGGAUGGGCUUGGUAACUACGGUCCAUAGCAUCGUCGAACAAUUGAAAGCAAAAUGCCUAAGCAUGACAACACACGCCGACAAUAUUACUUUCAAAAUGCCUCAGCUAUGUGAGAUUGAUCGCAUAAUCCAAUACACGAGGCAACCCCCGGAUCGAAUUGUCGAUUAUAUCUCUACCUAAACAUAAGUUCACUCAGCCCGGGUAUAGGACUUUUGAUAUUCUCACCCCACACGUCAAAGGAAAAUAAACAAGUAUUCACAUAUGUAAGCAAUAAAACAAAGCGUAAAUAUAAACUAUGGAAAACUAGGCGUGACCCGAAUUAAUAUCCCCAGUGAAGUCGCCAUUUCUGUUAUCAUGGUUUUUGGGUGCCAAGCCAUUAAUUGGACUUGAACCUUUUGACCGUUGAUAUCUCUCUUUUUUCUUGGGAAGGGUAAAAGGAGAAAAACCCUUGAGUUUCCGAAUUCGGGGGUCGUUUUCGCUACGGGAAGGUGUUAGGCACCCGGAGCGAUUAUGGUAUUCCAUAAGAACCGCUUUCCUAAGUUUAUUUCUAUGCUUUAGUUUUAUUGCUUAUUUGUAAAAAAAGAAGGUGUGAUUAGUUAAGAACGGGGGUGAGAAGGAGUAGAAUUUGAUUUUUAUUUCGGCUUGGAUGAGUUUUGACUCAUUGCCUACGUACCGUUUUACGGGAUCAAAACCGAUCGUAGUUCGUUCUCAAAAAUGGUUUUUGUUUUUGUUGAUUGAUUUUAAGUUUGAAAAGAGAUUUUGAAGAAUAGAGAUGAGAGGCCUCAAGGGCGUAAGAUUUGGAAAAUGUGAGGUGGAAUUAGUUACUUUGCAAAAUGACGUCUAAGUAUGAUUAAAAUUUAUUAGAAAUUUUACUUAAGAAAAUAAAAGGGAAAUAAGGAGUUUUGACUCCUAUUUUAUUUUCAAAAAGGUUUUCAAGUGAGGUUAUUUGCAUGUUUUGGAAAAAGUUGGAUUUUCUCUAAGUGUUCAAAACUAAACGUUCAUCUAAUCAUGCAAUCCUAGCCAUACAUCUAUGCAUACAAUCCUAAGCAUACAUCUAGGGUGAGUGUGUGCGUGUCGGUGUGUCAUAGUGUCCAUAGUCCAUAUUACAAAAAUUCCCUAAAUACAUUCUAUGGCCCCUUUGCCAAGCUACAAACCAAUGGUAAAAUAUUACAUCACCGAAUGAAUUACAAUUUGCAAAAAAAGAAAACUAAACUAAAGGAGACAAUAGUGAAGAUGGUGAAGUGCUAUGAAGUGAUCAAUAUGAAAGGAAAUGUUAGUAGAAAAUGGUAAAAAAAGAAAGAAUGUGGCAUGAAGCGAUGGAAGAAAGUAUGGCAUAAAACAGUAAAGUGACGAUGAAAAUAAGCCGGAAACAUGUAACGAAUAAUGCACAUGAUGCAAGAACAAAACUCAACACAUCAGAACAGUGGCGUAUGCAUAGCAAACAGUAGCAAAAUUCAUAUGGAAUAGUAUGCAAAUCAAACAUGACGAACACGAUCAUCAUGCACAUGAAGUAACGGGUAAAAAUGCGAGAAAAGUGACUAAAAAAAUAGUAAAAACCCUUGACAAAACAACACUAAAAUUUUUACCAACUUUUCCAAGCAAAAUACCACUGAAAAUUACCAAGAAAAAUAGUAAAAUGACAUGGUAAAUUUCUUGGAAUUUAUUGAUAAAAAUUAACAUGAAUAAAGGGUGCAAACAGCAGGCAAGUAUGGUGCAAAUAGCAAAAAAUAAACAAAAACGUGAAAAGAAAUCUAAGCCCAACCCAAAGCCCAAUGCAGACUGGACCUGGAUCAUCCAAAGGCCUCAGAGGCGUUAGAUUGAUCCAGACCUAGAUCUGACGGUUCAAAAUAAGCAGCGCAUGGUAACACAGAUCAAGCACAUGGAAACAACGCAUCAUAACCAUUCAAAUGAAAAAACCCUAGAUCCUACGGUUCAAGAUGAAAACAAAAUAAACCGGACCGGUUCAAACGUCUAUAUAAGGACGUGGACACCGGUCCAGUCCAUUUCUUUCAUCUCUUUCUCUCUCUAAGCUUCCCUCUCCUCUCGCCUCUCUCCAGAACCUCACCGCCGGUGAGGAUGAAGCUACGGCGGAGACCUUGAAGGUCCGCCGGAAACUUCAUCUUCUCCGGCGAGACUAUGAACUUCCGGUGACCUAAAAAUUCCAGAACUUAAAGAUUUUUGCAUAUUUCGAUUCGUCCUUUAACCCUAAACACGAAUCCAGCAAUUAUUUUUUCAAAUACGGCCUGAAACGACGUAGAUCUAAAACUUUUCAUACGGUUUUGAAAAUGAUUUUGAUCUUUUUGAAAUAAAACGUUUAGAUCUUUAAAGAUCUACAUCGUUUCGUUGUUUGAUUCCGUUUCUGGUACUCGUUCUUGCUUUCAAAAUUUAGAUCCUUAUGGAUCUAGAUUUCGUGCUUACGGUUACGGUUUUCUCUUUGAAUUCUGGAAAUUUUUAGAUCUGUUUCUCGCGUGAUUUUGCAGGUUUAAAUUAUGAUUAUUUUCUGAGAAAAGAUUCUGAGUUUUACCUAAGGUUUUGGUUGAAACCUUUAAUGGAGGAAAUCUUUGGGAGAACUUGAAUCUGUUGUUUUCUGAUGAUUCUUGAUUCUUCCGCUUGCUUCACCGGUCCAGAUUCUGCAGAUUCUGCUUCUUUCCUUCUUCUUUCUCUUCACUGCUUCCUCGUGAUCAGUGCUUGAGCUCGUCGCGUUUCAGUGAUGAACUCGCACUUUGAAUUGCGAGGAAAUUGGUUCUGUGAUGAUGAUUCCGUAUUGAAUCUCUGAGAAUCAAUGAGUAAUCAAAGAAACUUUGUUGAAUUCUGUUGAAUUUGGUGUUUUUGUGUUGAUUCGGUGGAAAUCAAUGGUGGAUUGAGGUGGUUAUGGUUUCUGCCAUUGAUGAAUCUUUGAAGCUUUUUUUGUUGAUUCUGUUUUGGUGAGUUGGCACUUGGUGAAUGAAAAACGUCUGAAAUUCAUUGCCACUGUGUUGCUUUUAUAGCUGACAAGUGUACUGUCUGGCCAAUGGAAAACUGACACAUGUCCUGGACUUGUGAUUUGGGCGCUGCCUUGUAAUUUAGGACUUUGAGGACCUCCCUGCAAUUUUGUAAAAUAUGGAACUGGACUGCAAUUUUAAACAGAACUAAAAAGUAUAAAAAUUGGACAAUUUGGACUUAAAUGCAAUUUUAACAAAAUUAAGGGACUAAUAAUGCAAAAAUAAAAAUAAAAUGAAUUAAAAUUUGUAAUUUUGACCAAACGUAAAGCGAAACAAAAAUAAAAUUGACAAAACGGACUAAAACGAACCAAUGGCCUAAAUGAGGUACUUCAAAGUAACCUCUCUAUGCUAAAAUUUUAUGUGAAAUGACCAAAAUGCCCCUAGGGCUAAAAAUGACCUAAACAGACUCAAAUUGACUUGACACUGACUCAGAUGCAAGUUUGAAAUGAUUUUAGCAAGGUUUACUGAUGAAAUGUAAAAAAGAAUCAAUUUGAAAAGACUCAGAGACAGUCACAAGGAUGAAAAUGGGUCCCACUGCGGGAAAUGACCAAAAUACCCUUCUGUACAAUUUUUGCAAAUUUUGAAAUAAACUGUAGAAAAAGCAGUGUAAUGAUUCAGAGACACUUUUGAAUGACUUACAAGACAAGUAAAGACAUUCCGAAAGGUUUUAUGCAAGAAAAACAUAGGUAAAAUUGUGAUUGAAAAUACUGCGAGGCAGAGACAAUUUGAACUGUGCAGUUGAAAUUUGAUAAUUGACAAAGUUUGAAAUGAAAUUGGGCCCAGUAUUUUUAGGUCCAAAAACAGGGUAUAACAAUUAUUAUAUCCAGUUUUAUAUGUGUAUUUUUAAAUUAUAUUUUGUAUGUUUAAUUAUUAUAUCAACCUUUAUAUGUGUUUUUUUUUUAAUUAUUUUUCUUUAUGUUUAAUUAUUUUCUUUAAAUGUGUGUUUGUUUUAAUUAUUAUAUACACUGUUAUAUGUUUAUUUUUUUAAUUCUAUUUUUUAUGUUUAAUUGUUUUGUUUAUAUGUGUUUUUGUUUAAACCAUAUUUAUUUUUCUAUUAUUUCAGGUUCGUAAGACCCGCGUGCUUAAACCGAUUAAUCAUGGGGCCAAGAUUCUCACUCUCGGACGCCCUAACGCGAAUGAGAAUUGGUUUUGGGAUGCGCUUCAGCAGAGCGGGCUACAUGAUUUGGUUUACUUGGGGUACUCCACCGUGCCUCAUGCCCUGCUGCUGACUUUAUGCGAGAGGUGGCAUCCGGAGACCAGCACCUUCCACAUGCCGAUGGGGGAGAUGACUGUGACAUUGGAUGAUGUCGCAUGUCUGACGCAUCUUCCUAUUGAGGGGCGGAUGUUGGCUCAUGGGAAGAAGAUGCCCAGGCAUGAGGGAGCGGCACUGCUGAUGACGUAUCUGGGUGUGUCCCAGAAUGAGGCUGAGAAGAUCUGCAACCAGGAGUACGGCGGGUACAUUAGCUACCCGAGGCUGAGGGACUUCUAUACCUCGUACCUUGGUAGGGCCAACGUAUUGGCGGGUACGGAGGAUCCUGAGGAGCUUGAGGAGCUGGCGAGAGUCAGGACAUACUGCGUCCGGUGUUACCUUCUGUACUUGGUCGGAUGCUUGUUGUUUGGCGAUAGAAGCAACAAGCGCAUCGAGCUGAUAUAUUUGACGACCAUGGCGGACGGCUACGCAGGGAUGCGUAAUUAUUUCUAGGGAGCUAUGACCCUCGCCUACCUAUACGGCGAGUUGGCGGAUGCAUGUAGGCCUGGACACAGAGCGCUUGGGGGGAGCGUGACACUGCUCACUGUAAGAAAACUUAAAUUUUUUAUUUACGUUAACUUUAUUUUUUUGUUAACUUUUAUUUUUUUGUUAUAUUUUUCCGUGCGUAAUAAUUUAUAAAUGUUAUUUGUUUGCUUUGUGCAGGCAUGGUUUUUGGCGCAUUUUCCAGGGUUUUUUAGUGUUGAUCUCAACACUGACUACCUGGAAAACUAUCCGGUUGCAGCGAGGUGGAAGCACCAGAAGGGUCAUGGGGAGGGAAUCACGUAUCGGUCACUGCUCGAUCGUAUACAGUUAGAUGAUGUAUGCUGGAGGCCGUACGAGAAGCACAGAGAGAUCCAGGACUUCGAGGAGGUUUUCUGGUAUUCUGGAUGGAUUAUGUGCGGCGUCCGUAGGGUGUACCGUCACUUGCCCGAGAGGGUUUUGAGGCAGUACGGAUACGUGCAGACCAUCCCCAGACAUCCGACUGAUGUUAGGGACCUCCCACCGCCUUCCAUUGUGCAGAUGUUCGUCGACUUCGGCACUCACACGCUUAAGGCGGACGCUCGGGGUGAGCAGGCAGGAGAGGAUACAUGGCGGGUGGCGGAUGGCUAUGUCCUGUGGUACGCUAGGGUGUCUCACCCUCAGAUCUUGCCACCUAUUCCAAGAGAUCUUCCGAGGCCUGCAAAUGAAGAGCAGAUCAUUGCAGAGCAGUGGCAGCGGUAUGAGGCGAGAAGUUCGCCUGACACCUAUGACAUGGUCAGUGGCGUUGUUGCCUACGCUGAUGCGCAGUUAGGCCAGGAGGAGGUCAUGAGCAUGACCCCUCAGCAGUGGUUUGAGGCCAUGACCCAUAUGAGGGAGCAGAUCGCGCCGAUUUUGACCAGGAGGAGAGCCCAGAGGCCGAGGAGGAGGCACCAUCAGCAGGAUCAGGACCAGUAGUACUAUUUUCCUUUUUUAUGACUUAUUUUUUGGUUUUAGUCUUUUAGGGAUAUUUGUAUAUUUGUAUAUUUCUACUUUGAUGACAUUAUUUUUAAUUUCAUGGGCUUUUUUUACUUUGUUUAAUGUGCAAAUAUAGGUUGCUUUAAUGUGCAAAUAUAGGUUGCUUUAAGAACAUAAAACAUAAAAAUAAGUUGACAGUAGGAAAAAUAGGGAUGAGAAACAAUGAUUUUGUUUCAAAUAGUAGAACUUAAGAGAAAAAUAUAAAUUAAAUAGAUCUAAUUUAUAAUACAUUUAAAAAUAGUAGAACUUAAGACAAUGGCUGGAAAUGGUAUCUAAAAAUGAUAGGUGCUGCACAAAGGACAACUCUUUCCAUAGUUUCAGAUCAAGAAUUGGCGAAGAUGUGAGAGAACUUGAGAAUAUAAUAUAAGUGUCCCGUUCAUUUGCUCGCAAUUCGUGAAAGAAGAAUUGACGAAGAUUUGAGAGAACUUGAGAAUUUUGUGAAGUUUUGGAUGUUCAGUUUUCCUCGGCAGUUAACUACCGAGGUUUUCUUCGACAGUUUUCUUCGGCAGUUAACUGUCGAGGAUCUUCUACACUACAAAAUCUGGCAGAAUCUCCUCUCAUCCAUUAUUGAUCUUAUCUUCCAAAUAAUUUCUUCAAAUGUCUCUCAAAUUCUCUCUAAAAAACACAACCAAAUCCAACAAACUUUAUUCAACAAAAUCACAAGUAAGUAAUUAUAAUGCUAUUAACUUACAUUUUAGUUGUUAUAAAUGUUAUUAUUUUUUAGUUUUUGAGUACAUUUAUUAUUUUUUAGUAGAUUUACAUGUUAUAAUUAAAUUUUAGGGUAUAUGUUAGUUGAUUAAUGUUGUUAAAAUAUUUGCAUGAUGUUUAUGUUAUAUGAUUAAUUUUUUUAUUUUAGUAAGAGUAUAUGAUUUAUAAUUUUAGGGUUAUUUUUAUGAAUUUUAGAGUGUAUAUAUAAUGUGUUUUUGAUUGAUUGUUUUUAGUUUCUUAUUGUGUAGAUUUAAAACAAUGGUCGGGUGGAUCGACGUUCAUGCGCAAUUUAACGGCGGAGAACCUCAAAGGUUGAAGGUUCGGUGCCUUGGUGUAACGUUAAGAGGUCUCAAGGAUAAACUCACUGAAUUCAACCAAGGAGUCAACCCCAGAGACACAAGGAUGGUGGAACACAUUUGGUAUAAACGUCCAACGCUCGACGAGGGGAGAGUAUCAUUCAGUUGGGUGGAAUUAACGAACGACGAAAACGUGACGACCAUGUUUUGGAAGCACAGCAUGUUCCAGUGGAUCGAUAUGCGGGUGAAGUUGCUUAGAUCAACUGAAGAUAUCAUCAAAAGUUUGAUUCCGCCACAAGAUCGUCAUUAGUUAGGGUAAGGUGCAUUCCAACUACAACAUUUGUCUUCCUUUGAAUGAGGUAAUUCAAACUUGUCAAACAACAGGACUCAAGCAUUUCGCAAGCACCUCAUGUUUCUCCUUUGAAAAUAUUAAAUUUUUGUUAUGCUGGUUUAGAUGAAGGUAUUAAGUGUCAAGGAUUGAACCUCAAUUCGGUGGCACUUGAAUACCAUCAUCUAAAGCAAGCCUCACAAAAAUUUAUUAUUUUCAAAGGGAAAACAUGAGGUGUUUGGCGAAAUGUUUGAGUCCUGUUGUUUUGCAGGUUUGAAUUAUCUCAUUCAAAGGUAACACAAUUGUUGUGGUUGGAAUGCACAUUCCAACUGCAACAAUUGUCUUACUCUGGAUGGGGCAAUUCAAACUUGUUAGGCAGGACUCUAGUAUUCGAUGAGCAUCUUGAAUAAUGGUAUUCAAGUGUCAAGAAAUGCACCUCAUUCUUUUCACACUUGAAUACCAUCGUUCAAGAUGCUAAUCGAACACUGGAGUCCUGCUGCUUAGCAAGUUUGAAUUUGCCCCAUUCAGUGGUAAGAUGAUUGUUGCAGCUGGAAGGAAAAUUUCGGAAUCUAAUGUGUAAGGCAAUGUAAUGUGAUAACAUAUAUUUUGUUUUGAAUGGAACAAUAAUUAUCUUAUUUUUUUUUCAAAUUUAUUUAUUCCAAAUGCAAUUUUAUUCUAAGUACCAUAAUGAAACAAAAUGUGCGCGACACAAAAAUAAAACAUAAAAAAAUCCAAAACAAUUAGGCAUUAAAAGCCAUUACAUUCAUUCUUCCUCGUCACACAAAUCAAUUGGCUUGUCCGCUACAGUCCCUGCGGUACCUUGUUUUGGUUGAGGACCGAAAUAGCAUGUCCUCCCGCUCCUCCUCAACCUCGAGUGAUUGUACACCGGCACCUUCGAACCCUUCUUUUUUUCGGAACCAUCGCAAACAAUUACAUGCCACGUCAUAGGUGACUUUUCUUUUUUCGUCUCAUCAUCGUGAACGUUACCUUGAUUCUGAUUCUGAGACAUAUCUACAUUAAAAAAAAAUAUGGCGAUCAAUUCAACCUACACUAACCUAAACUAUCCUAACAUAUCAUAAAAUCAACAAAUCAAUAUAAUCAAACCUAUAUAAUCGAAAUUUAACAAAAAAUAACAUACAAUUCGACCACAAAGCAACAAUGCAAUAGGAUUCAAAAAACUUACUUGUUUUUGUGAUUAAAAUUGGCUUCUAAUGGCUUCAAAUGACUCAAAAUCGCACCUUCAAAAAUUAAAAACGCAACAAUGGAGUUUCGGAAACUCCUAUGAAGUUCUGUUCUUAUAACAUUCUCCUCAGCAGUUAACUACCGAGGUUUUCCUCGACACUGAACUGCCGCCGGUGUCCUAAAAACUUCGGCAGUUAACUGCCGCCGGUUCCUAAAAACCUCGGUAGCAAACUGCCGAGGGGCAUUUUGGUAUUUUACUAGUGUGGCACAGCCAAACAACAUGUGGGAACAGCAAUUCUCUUAUUUUAUCUUAUUUUUGUUUUAUUUAUUCUUAGUCCCUUUAUUUUAUUUUUAAUGUCCAAAAAUAAAUCAAAAUUUUGUCCGAUAAUAUCUAAACACACAGCUCAUUCACACAGCUCAAAACAGGCUGUCAUGUUCCUCUCCAAGCAACAAAAUUCUGCUUUAUAAAUACAACACACAAACCAGCCAAGAGAAAGAGGAGGGCCCAACGACAAUAACAACUUAAAAAACCUGCUACAACACAAAUCAACCCACAACCACGUAAUAACAAAAUCAAACUCAGCAACAAUCACCAAACCCUCUCAAACCCUAACCCCACAGUCACAAAAGCUAGUUUCAAACCAUCGACACAAUCACCAAACAUAAUCAAACCGAAUCAAACCUUUUCUUCAACAUACCCAAACCAACAAGUCGUACAAAAACAAACAGAUCCGAUAAAAAAAACACACAAGAAAAGGUAGUUCUUUUCAAACGUUUCAGAUCCAGGUUGUUAUAGACUUCAUUUCGAAUUUUUAAGGCUAAUAACGUAUAGAGGAGAGGGAGUAGAAGAGAAAGAACAAAAAAAAAAAAAAAGGAGUACAUCAUCACUCCGGCGCGGCGGCGCGGCCAUCUUGGCCGGCCGGCCACCGCGCCAGCCACCGGAGAAGAAGGUGGCGACGGAGAAGAAUUCUAGAGAGAAGGCAGAGCCUCUCUCUCUAGAAAUAAGAGAAGAGAGAGAAGUUUGAAAUUAAAAUGAUUAAAAAAACCGGAGCUGUGUAUUUAUAAAAGGGAUUGGAGCGGUUCAACCCCUGAACCGGUCUAUUCCAGGCCCACACGCGCCCGGCCUCACCCAAGGCCCAAAUCCUCUUCAUUUUAUUUUCUGCACCCUCCUUUACUGCUCACACACACCCCAGCAUCUCAUUUUUCUAAUUUCUAUUUCAUGCAUUUUAAUUCUCUCUCUAUCUGUUAAUCCAGAGUACUCUGGUCCUAUAUUAACUAUUAAUAUUAUAUUUUUGUUUAAUUUAAUUAUUCUCCAGAACAAUCUGGUCCUUGUUAAUUAAAUUAAUCCAGAGUGCUCUUGUCCUAUAUUAACUAUUAAUAUUAUAUUUUUUUUAAUUUAAUUAUUCUCCAGAACAAUCUGGUCCCUGUUAAUUAAAUUAAUCCAGAGUGCUCUGGUCCUAUAUUAACUGUUAAUAUUAUAUUUUGUUUAAUUUAAUUAUUCUCCAGAACAAUCUGGUCCCUGUUAAUUAAAUUAAUCCAGAGUGCUCUGGUCCUCAAUUAACUGUCAAUAUUAUAUUUUGUUAUUCUCCAGAAUAAUCUGGUCCUUGUUAAUUAAUUUAAUCCAGAGUGCUCUAGUCCUAAAUUAUUUGUUAAUAUUAUAUUUUUGUUUAAUUUAAUCAUUCUCCAGAGUGCUCUGGUCCCCUGCUUUUAUUUUCAUAACUUCGUUAGUUUAAUUUUUAUUUACUAUUCCAAAACAACAAAAACAUUCAAAUAUAAAAAAAUUCAUAAAAAGAACUUUUCAAAAUAAACCUUGAUCUUAAAUCAAGUGACCGUCUUUUUAUUUUAUUUUUCUUAAUCAAAUUUCAAAUCAAUUCUAAUUCAACUUCAAGUCAAUUUCUUUCAAUCUAAAAAACACAAAUCAAUUCUCAUUUGCCACUUGGCUUUUUAUUUCAAACCUUUUUCAAAAACUAAUAAAAAACACAAAAUCAAUCAAACGUCAAUUUCUACCCCGAACUACGAGGUUUUGAUCCCUCACGGGUACGUAGGCAGAGGACACUUGUCCUUCCCAAAUCAACUAAAAAACAAUUUUCUUUUUUCUCUUCAAUUGAAAUUAAUUUCUUUUUUUUCUUUUCAACUCAUCAUUCAAUUCUAUUUUUAUCUCUUCAAAAGCAAGCAAGUUUAAGCACAAAAAGUUAAAUAAAAUCAAGAGGUUCUCGUAGAGUACUACGAAUAUUUAGGGUGCUAACUGUUGUACCCUGAUUUUGGACCUAAAAAUACUUGUUCAAAUUUAUUUUCUACCACUAACAUUUGUUAAUUCGCUGUUAUUUUACUCCGAACAUUUACUCUUUUUUCAUCUGCAUAUCUUACUGUCUCCAUCUCGGAGUAUUUUCAAUCAUAAUUUUGUCUUUGAUUUUCUCGCAUAAAACUAUCCAAAGUGUCUGUCUUGCAUUUUUAUUUCAAAGCAUCUGCAAAAAUCAUACAAAAGGGUAUUUUGGUCAUUUCCUGCAGUGGAACCCAUUUUAAUCCCUGUAAUUGUCUCUGAGUCUUUUCAACUUGUUUUGCAAAUCAUUGUUAAAUCUCUUUUUAAAAUCAUCUCAAAAUUACAUUUGAGUCAGUUUGGGUCAGUUUAGUCCCUAGGGGCAUUUUGGUCUUUUCCUGUCAAAAUUUCGACAGGGAGGUAUUUUAAAAUACCUCAUGUCGGUAAUUUGUUCGUUUUAGUCCGUUUGUUGAUUUUAUUUUUCGUUUCACUUUACCUUUUUACCAAUUACCAAUUUUAAUUCAUUUUAUUUUUUUAUUUACAUUUCGGUCGCCCAAAAGAGUCCCAAAAUUGCAUUUUUGUCCAAUACUUUUUUUAAUUGCAUUUUUUUAGUCUUUUUUUUAUUGCAGAUUAGUCCUCAUAUUAACUUUUUUGCAGAUUAGUCCAUAAGUCCAAAACGGUCCAGAUGUCAUUUUUUCAUUGGUUCUCAGAUACACAUGGCAGGCUAUAAAUAGUAAAUGUGUCAGAUCCAUCACAAUCAGUCAGAAAAAUCAGAAUCAAUCACAAUCACUCUCAAACAGAAUCUUUUUCUCUCUCUCAUCCAUAACAUAAUCUUUUUCUCUCUCUCAUCCAUAACAGAAUCAAAACAGAAAAAAAAAACUCAGAAAAAGAGGAAGAACACCAAGAACACCUCAUCACCAAAAUCAACAGAUCUAAAUCGGAUCUGCUCAAAAUCAGCUCCAACCACCACAAAAUCAACAAAUCCGAACCGGAUUCACUCAAAACCACCGCGAAUCACCACAUCAACACCAAAACGUACCGGAUUUUCGAGCAAAAACAACACCAACGGAGGGUAUAGCGCGCGCGAAAGAGAAGAGGAGGAUUCGAAGUUUUUCCGAAGAUUUUUCUCCGUUUCACGACAGAGGUAACGCAUUUCUCUCCUCUUUUUUCUCCGUUUUCGCGCGCAUAUGUAGUGUAAAAAAGGUGUGAAAAAGUUUGUUACGGAUAUGUAUUUGUAGAUCUAGGCGUGUACGUUCGGAUUUUGAAAACUUUGAGGCCGAAUUCGGACACUAGAGAGAAAAGGAUAUCUAGAUCCGUAGUUUUUUUUUAAAAAAAGUGUGAAAAAUUUUCAAAGAAAAAAUGUAGAUCUAGUCCGAAUCGCUCCGUUCUCGCUAAAACUAACGCCGGAUUUGUGUAGAGGAGGUGGUCACGGAACUUUUGAUGUAAAAAUUUUUAAAAAAAAAAAAGAAGUUCGAAUUUUCCGGCGCGGUGGCGCCGCUGCCGGAAACCGGCCGGCCGCCGUGCCGGAAUCACCACCACCACCCACCUUCGCCGGCGGGAUUUUUAGAGAGAAGGGAGAGCUUCUCUCUCUAAGUGUGACUUAGAGAGAGAAGAAGAAGAGGUUUGUGUGUUUUUUGUGGGAAAUUCCUUUUUAUACUCCCUCCGUUCCCACGCGCGCGCGUGCAUGCUUCUGUGGUGUUCCCUCGCUCUGUGAACCAUCAGAUCUGGAUUGUUCCAAGAUCUGAUGGCUGCUGUGUGUUUGAUUUUGAAUCCUGUGUGUGAUUUUUUGUGUGGAAUAUGGUAUAUCUUCUGUUUGAACCGUUAGAUCUUUGAUCUAACGGUCACUGUGCUUCCUGCAUUUUUACACUAUCUUUUGUGCUUUUUUUUGGACCCUUGGAUCUUUGAUCCAGUGGCUGUGAUGUGAUCUUGGGAGUUAGAUCUGGACCUCUGGAUUCAUCCCGCGGUCCAGAUUAAAUCCUGCUGAGCCUCUUUUUAAUUGCUUUUUAAUUGUGUUUUAAAUACUUUUUUUACACUUUCUUGGUGUUUUAUGCUUCUAAAAAAAUUUCUAAAAAUAUUUCCCUAUCAUUUUAAUUUUUCCUCUAAGUAUUAGAAUUUAUUUGCUUAUUUUUGCAUUUAUUUUCUUUACUUUGUUCUUUUAAUUUUUGCUCAUUAAAUUCCAUAUAUGUUCUUGAUGCAUUUUUUCAUAUUGUCAUAUUUUUGCAUGUGAAAUAAUGUGUGAAAAUAUCUCUAGGAAUAUGAUAUAAUGCUUGGCUUGAGUGUACUCUUAUGAUCCUCACAUUGUAGUUUAAAUUCAAACCUUUCAAAAAUGGCUAUAAUGAGGGAAUUAUAGGUCAUAUGCAUGUAUGAGUGUUAUACCUAAAUUCUAGGUGUAUUUUUACUACUUUGUUUCAUUGCAUUAUUUUCUUUCUCUUGUGCUAUUCAAUUCUAUAUUGCUUGCAUUUUUUUUUUUAUUAUCAUUUUGUACUUGUGUUACUAACUCUUAUGCUUCAUAUCUCACUCAUUCCAUAAGCACCUAAUCUUUGUACCCUCAUUGCUCCUAGUUUAGGUUUUUCUUUUUGUAUUCAUUUCUAUGCCAAUUGGUUUGUAAUAAAUUUAGUUAGUUUAGUUUAGUUUACAUUCUUGCAAGACCAUAGCAUGUAUCUAGGACUCAAUGUAAAGGACUAUGGACACUAUAAGUGAUGUACACCGACACGAGCACCGACACAUGCACACACCCCACAUGGAUGUUCUAGAUGCAUGAUUAGGGAAUGUAUGCUUAGAUGUAUGCUUAGGUUUUACAACGCUUAGACAAAAAAAAUCAUUUUUCAAAAAUAUGAAUAACCUCAAUUGAAAACUUUUUUUUCUAAAAUAGGAGUCAAAACUCCUCAUUUCCCUUUUGUUUUCUUAAGAAAAAAAUCCCAAUGAAUUUUAAUCAUACUUAGACUUUAUUUUGCAAAAUAACUACUUCCACCUCACAUUUUCCAAAUCUCAUGCCCUUGAGGCCUCUCAUCUCCAUUCUUCAAAAUUCCUUCUUUCAAACUUAAAAUCAACCAACAAAAACAAAAACAAUUUUCGAGAACGAACUACGUUUGGUUUUGAUCCCUUAAAAGGGUACGUAGGCAAUGAGUUAAAACUCCUCCAAGCCAAGUAAAAUAAAAUCCCAAUCAUCUUCGCUUCCCCCAUUCUUCACUCAAAUAAAAUUUCUCUUUUAAAUAAGUAGGCAAUAAAAAUAAAGCGUAGAAAUAAACUUAGGAGAACGGUUCUUAUGGAAUACCAUAAUCGUUCCGGGUGCCUCACACCUUCCCGUAGCGAAAGCGACCCCCGAACUUAGAAUCUAAGGGUUUUUUCUCAAUUUUGCCCUUCCCAAGAAAAAAUAGAGAAUAUCAAAGAUUGAAAGGUUCAAGCCUAAUUAAUGACUUGACACCCGAAAAUCGCGAUAACACUAACACCUUCCCUAAAUAUAACCAACCCCCGAACCCUAAAUCUCUUCAAAAUGGGUUGUUUGUAACUUUUUCCCCUUAAAAAAAUUUGUUCAGUCGUGAGAUAAAAAGCGAGUCAAACGCCAGUCAAAUGGCCUUGACCUCCGAAAAAUGGCGCGACAAAUACAAUACAACAUAACUGUUGAGUUUUGUCUUCAAAUUUGUGGUCUGGAAGAACAGGGAAAUCGUGACACGAUUGUGGCAUCGUGACACGAUUUCGGGGUGCCGUGAGCUAGGUUGCAGGGUGCAAAAUCGUGGCACGAUUGUGAGAAAUCGUGACACGAUCGUGAAACUUGCUCGUUAAGUAUCCUUGAUAUUGACUGGUCGUUUCUUGGGUGGUACGCAGAUCGUGACACGAUUGCAAUAGAGGAAGACUAGUAUAAAGUGUUCUUGUGCAGAUUUGAAGAGAGAGUUGGAAGAGAGAGAGACUUGGGAAAUCAAAGGGAGAAACUCUAGGGUUUAGGGUUCUUUGAUUAGAGUAUCUCUUGGGUUGAAAACAUGGGAAACACCAUGUAGAGAGAAUCAUUGAGUGUCUUGGUGAGAUUGGGAAAAGGGUAGAAAUUAGGGUUUGUUCAUUGUGAACUUGUCAAGCUAAUUUCUUGUAACCUUUUGUAUCCCUUUUGUAAGAACUCUUUGAUAGUGGAUUGGAGAGUACAAACUCUCCUCCAGAGUAGAUCAAGUUUGGACCGAACUGGGUGAACAAUCUCUUGGUGCUUUUGUUUUCUUCUUCCCUCUCCUUUUAUCUUGUGUAUUGAGUUUCUCACUUGUUUCCUAGAUUAGAUCUAGGUGGUGUUUUGUUGAUUAUUGCUUGCACACACACUUUGUUCGGUGGUUACCACUCUCCUUUGCUCCACACAUCAUUCUUGUAUUGGUGUGGUUCGAUCUAGGUGAUCGGAAUUCACAACAAUAACAGAUCAAAUACGACCUGCACAAAUUGGCAUCUAAACAAUGCCAUCACCGGGGGGAAAACACGAAUCAAGGAUCAAGUAGUAAAUUUUGGGGUAAAUUAGACCUAGUGUAUUAAAGAGCAAAACUAGAGCAUCUUAAUGUUUAAAAAAUUUAUGGCAUUUUGCAAUUGAAUUGACUAUAUGUUAUACAUACUUACAUUGCCGGUACAAAGUUCUGCCAAGAUGCAUCCAAGGGACCAGAUAUCAAUCUUCUUGUCAUAUGAAAGCCCGAGAAUAACCUCAGGAGCACGAUAGGACCUCGACUGAACAUAUGAGCAAAGGUGAUCUGUCUCAAAACAACUACUUCCAAGAUCAAUGACCUUCACCUCACAUCGGUCGUAGCUUUUAACCAAAAUAUUCUCCGGCUUCAAGUCGCAAUGUGUUAGUCCAAGGUUAUGUAAGUACUGAAGUGCUUCCAAACAUUGAAUGGUAAUUGAUUGCAAUAACAAAUCAAGACAAGUUUCUAAUGAGACAGUAGUAGAAUCUAUCUAUACCUAUAUAUGAAGUGAAUACCAAUGUUUUCUGUAGUUUUUUUCUUUCAAUAUUUUUCGAUUAAAAUAACAAAUCUUCUUGCCUGUUAGAGGAAAUUUUGUUGACUAUCUGUAAUUAUGACACUAUGUCAUUACUAGUUUAGUAGACAUUUUCAUGUAAUUUUUAGGGUAAUUUAUCAAAAUUGUAGAAGCUGAAAGCACAAAAAAAAAAUGAUGAAUUCCGAUUUCCAGCAAGUUCCAAUUCGGGCCCCGAAUCCAAUCAUUCGGGCCCGAAUUCCAGCCACCAGAAGAGCAAUUUGGUGCGUGAAAAUUAUUGCUUGAAUUAGAAGUGCAAAUUACCAUAGGAGAACUUCGGAGGAUUCGAAGGUCUUAACCAUACUUCGCUCUAAUUUUCUUAAAACCAACUUUUAUUGUUUCAUCUACGUUUAUGUUAUAAAAACCAAUCCAACUGCCUAGGGCGACCAAAAAUUUAAUGCAUCCUUUCGAGAAAGAAAUUGCUGAGUAGGAAUUAACAACGGUCCUCGUGGAUUCGAUCUUAUUUAUUACUUCGAUAGUUUUAGUUCACUUGCCAAAUCUCUAUCAUGUAACUAAAAAUUUAAAGGAUUCAAGCUAGUUUGUGUUUUCUACUGUGCUGCUAUAGCUAGACCAUGGUUUUAGUUUUAGCGGCCAAACAAUAUGUUGUGGACCUUAAUAGAAAUAAUAAAAAACCUUAUUCUAAUUGUGAAUAACAGGAACAGAUUAUGAAUAAAGCAAAUUUACUGCCUAACAUAUAGAAUCAGAUAAUGGUAAUUACUGAUUACAGUAAAAGCCCUGGGGAUCUAUAAUUGACUGAAGUUCUGAUGAGAUAACAUAUAGAAAAGAUUGGAAGCCAACAUAAUAUUGCUUCCUAAGUAAAGAUCGUACCUCUAACCAUUUUUCCUAUAUUCUUUUCUCUCUCUGUCCCGUAUCUUCCACUUCUCUGUUUCCAUCCUUCCUUUCCUUUUCGGUUUUUUUUUUCUUCUUUUCCUCGCAUCAUCAAUUUUCAACCCCAAUUCAAACAUCACAAGAAUGAUAAUACAUCUAGGUAAAACUAUCGCAUAAAACAAAUGAUUUUGGGUAGCAUUUUGAGUUAGAGUUUGUGCUCUAAGAAAGGAGAAGAAUACCCAUACAUGGAAGGUGUGCUCUUUGGUGAUCCUUGAGAUUCGAUGGAAAUUGCUUUGGUGUUCAUUCCGGGAGGCAUUGCUAGGAAUGAAAUUGAUUAGCCAUAGUUGUGAGUUGAUGACGAUCCUUAUUUUAAUUAUCGUUAUUAUUGAUAUUUUGGUAAUUUUAUAAGUUAAAGUAUUUACCAAAAUGGGAAGCACACCCUUUGUUGUUGAAAUUUAUGUUUAAGGUCAUGAAUAUUGAUAUGGUCUCUAUUUGAACUUGUCUAUGAUUUAUAGAGCAAAGGUUUUAUAAUUGAGAUAUGGUUGCAUUUACUACUGACAUAAGUUUUGAGAUGUUGACAAAAAAAUGGUUUUUGAGAAAUAUGUUUUUGUUUUGAAAAUUAUUAUGAUACUAUUAUACACUCCAUUUGGAUUGGGUGUUGGAUUUACCUAUGAUUUAUGGUUUAUAAAGUAGUGAAUUUAAGAAUUGAAAUUUGAUUUCAUGUAUAUUGGCACUAGUUUUCAUACGUUGUAAAGCAUAGUUUGAAAUAUGUGUUUUUGAAAGGAUUUGAUAUAUAUGUACGCGAUUUGAAUUUGGAUUUACUUAUGAUGAUAACUAGUAGGUUUUCGAUUGAGUUCUGAUGAAAGUAUUUUGAUAUAAGUUUCGUUAUUUUGCGAAAUAUGGUUUUAGACAUGUGCUUUAAGAUUGGGGUUUUGAAAAUUACGGUUAUAAUUAAUGACGACGACCUAGGUGCACCUAGUAUGUGAUUUCGGUUAGGUAGAGUUACUCCAUUAGACGGAGCCGCCCCUAUGGAAAGGCCAGUACCAUUAGGAGGAGAGGGCUAUCAAUGAGAUGUAAACUCCCUAAUUGAAAAUGUUUUACAAUUUAUUUUGAGUCGGGAGAAAAGAGCUAUCUAUUAGAUGGAGCUACGACUAAGAGAAAGACCACUCAUAGGAAAUUUCCAUCAACGAUAUGGAGCUAGUUCUCGAUUCAUCCAUUUUGAUUAUUUUCACUAAAGUUGGAUUUUUAUACUUUCUCUGAAGUUGAUUAUUUUGGAUUCAUUUCAUUAAAUCCGAUUGUUAUAGUCUAUUUGGAUUUGAUUAUUUGGAUUCCUUUUCAUUAUACAUGAUUUCUAUAUUUCCUUUAAAGUUGUUGAUUUGGAUUCACCUCUUACGAAAUUGAUAUUUUGAUAUAGUAUUAUUUGAUUUGAUAAAUUUACAAAAUUUUCUGAAUUUUCAUGGUAUACUCUUGAUUGUGAAUUUAUUAUAUUUUUAAAACGAUUACAAGCUUUGUAAAUUAAAAUCAGAUUUGAGAAAAUAAAAUAAUUGUGCUCUCGUGUGUUUCCUUUCUAGUUGGUGGUGGUUGUUGUCUCUCACUAAGUCCUUGUGACUUACUAUUUUAUUUUCUAUUUUUAUUCCAGAUUCCCAAGCAACUAAGUAGGAAGCUGCUAGUAGAUUCGAAGUUCAGUGGUGUCACUUUUUUGGUGGGCUACCUUGAUGAAUGUCUCCAUUGUUUAUGUACAUGUUGAGUCAAAGUAUCUGCAGCUAUUUGAAGUUUAGAAAUGUCUCAUUUUGAGUUGUGCAAAUAUGUAAAAAUGUCACUUUGAAAUUCUGGUUGAUGAUAAUAGUUUAUGAACAGGAUUUAGAUCUUCGUAAUGUUGAAAAUAUAGGGGUUGCUCUGUCGAAAUUUCAGUAAACAUGAUUUUGAAUCGAAAGUUAGCUUGAAAAUUGUUUAUUAAUUCUUUGGUCAUCAGGCUUGCCGAACUAUAAGCUAUUAGUUCGUAUGCCGGUCACGGUUAUAUUUUUUUUUGGUCCUGACAAAAACCUUCACCCGUUAUUAAAAAAGUCAAAUUCCCCAAAGAAACUGUAAAGUUACAUUGCAACAAACAUACAUUUGGAAUUAAUAAUCAAAUACUCUAUUUAGAAAUAGUAGUUCAAAUCAUCGAACAUAGAUUGUGAUCUGUCAGUAUCGCAAUAUGUACAAACUCUUGUAUUCGUAAAAGCAAAUUAAUCGCAAUAUGAACACUCUGUUAAUAUGCACUAGGACUUGUGUUGUUGCUGCUAAACAAGUUCUGUCUCAAAAACUGAUUUGGCAGAAAAGUGUUUUUACACAUGAAUAACUUAUUAAUCACAAAAGUUAUACAGUGUUGUUGCUGCUACGCAAGUUCUGUCUCAGAAACUUCCAAGUUCUGAUCUUCAUCUUCUUUUCUCUUUCUAUAAGGAUAGGUGAAUAUCACAUCCUCUUCUGUGCUUCUUUUCUUGAACAUGUGGAUUCCAAUUUGUGUACUAAGAUUGAAAUCUUAAAACCUCUCAAACUGAGCUGCAAAGAAUGUCAUUAUUCAUUAGUCACUGCCCUUUGGAACAACCAAUGGAUUUUGUGGUGCGAGCAAUGUCUAGACAUAUCACAUGACAAUGCAAAUAGCCAGAUGACCAUAGAUGGUUUCCUGACAAUGUGUUGUUUCCUGACAAUGUAAAGUCAAUGAACAAGUAAAUGCUUAGUUUUGGUUAGAGAAAAGUUGCGUAUAUUACCGGCAACAGGCUGAAAUCGUUGGGAAAGGAUUCUCUAUGUUCAAUUAAUGAGAGAAAAUGUUGUUUAAACAUGGGGAUAGGGAGAUUAAGGGUAGAUAUUAGAAACAUCACUUUACUCAUGUUUAUUUCAACAUGAGAGGAUCCACUCUUGAAAUUUUCAUACACACCACUAUGCAGAAAACAACCAUUCUACCAUGUUACAAUUUUAAAAUGGAAACGUUCAGGCAAAACGAGAAAAUAAAAUGAAAUUCAUAUGAAUAAAGUAAAUAUUAAUUCAUGAGAUACAUUAAAGAGAAAUGGGGAAAAAGCAUAAUCCACUCAUUACAACAGUAACUUUAAUGCUUGGAAGCAUAAAACCAAAAUUUUGAGUUAUGAAACGAAAUUCUCCACUUCCAUUUGCCAGAUCAAAACAAAUAGUAAUCCCUGCUAUUACUCAUAGAUGUUUCUACUGCAGCAGCAGAUAAGAUCAAUAUUGAUUACUCAUGUUUGCUAAAGAGCUAGUGAAAUUUUUAUCAAUUAUCAGUAAUGUUUCAAUUGCAAUUACGUUAAGUUUCAUUCUUAAAAGUUAGAAUUGGAUGUACUACUCAAAUUAUCUAUACGUUUAGAGGUCAGGCUGAAAGCAUAUGACAUUACUCCAUAUCAAUAAUAGUAAUCCCUGUUAUUAGUGACUAAACAAGUCCAAUUUGAAUCAUAAUUAAUGAGAUCAAACAAGUUUAUCAAACAUAAAUACUUUUUUCUUUUUUACCCAAAUGAAAUGUAUAUACCUUACUGUUAAGAGUCCCACAUCGGUUAGGAGUUGGCCUGACAAUUUGUUUAUAAGUGGGGGAAAUCCUCACCUCACAAGUCGGUUUUGUGGGAUUGUGUUAGGCCCAACCACGAUUUCUAAUAUGGUAUCAGAGCCUCUUCACGAUUGUUUGGGCCACCUGUUAUCAGGCCACCCGUCAUUUAUGUUCAUGUAACAGUCCGAUUUUUAGCUAGUUUUAUUUAAUUACUCUUAUUGUUUGAUUGUAUGUGAUUAGUAUUUAAUUGUCAUUGGGUGCAUUUAAAUGGAUUACCGUAUUAGAAGGGUAUUUUGGUCAUUUGACGGGUAAGGGUAAAAUGGUAAUUUUGGUGAGAAUUAUUUUAUUAAUUGGUGAGGACCCUUAUUUUACUAAGUUACUAGUGGAGUGAUUAGUUUUUACCGUUAGUAACCGUUGGUUAUAUUUUAUCGUCGUUAGUAAUUACCGUCGAGUGUAUAGAAACUUUUGAAUUGUGUUAGAAUGGGUUAGGCCCAUUAGCAUUUUGAGUUAAGCCCAUUAAGGGGGAUAACACUAGGGUUGUCUUAGAAUUGUAUUCAUUUUCACAAAACAAUUUUCAUAGAGAGAAGGAGAGGUAGAGAGAGAAGAGGUGAAGAGAAGAGCAAGAGGGUUGAAGGGAAGCUUUAGGAAUCAAGUGGGUGACCUAGGAGCUGAAUUGAAGCAAGGGUUAGAGAUAAUCAACUUCAAAGGUGAGGGGGUUAGUGAUUAUCAUAAUCAUGUGUAAUUUUGCAUUUUCUCAUGUUGUAUGAAAAUGGAUUGAUGAACAAAUCAUGCUAAAUUCGUGCUCUUGCUGUGAUGUUAUGCUUGUAUGCAUGAAUUGAUGUUAGUUGUAUAAUUGUUGGUGAAAUUACAUGUUCAUAUAUGCAAAAAUGAUAAGUUAUGAAGAUUGUGCUAAAUUGGUGAAUUUCUCCUAAGUUGUUGUUAAUUUGAGUUGUGAUUCUUGUUCCAAUGAUGUUAUGAAUGUUAUUUGAUAUUAUGAUUGAUGAAUAAUUGCUUGGGUAUGCAUAUUCAUGGAUUAAUGAUGAGAAUUUGAAUUGUGUCGGUGUUUUGGUGAAAAUGAAGAGUUAGCUCAAAUGUCAAGUGUUUUCAAGUUUGAUUGUGUCUUUGUAAGUCUUUUUAGUCAUAUUGACCUAUAAACAUGUUCUUGAAACACAUUUGGGCAUUGAGGGAUCAAAAUUUGGGUUUUGGGGUGAAAAAUGGUUCAAACCCGUGAAAAAUUAUGCAGAAAUGAUGACUGUUCACUUAAGCGAACUGGAAGCGAGUUGUAAGCGAACAGCUACUGUAAGCAGGUCGCUUAAGCGAAGAAUCGUUCGUUUAAGCGAAAUGCCUUUUGACAGCAUUUCUGAUUUCGCGUUCUUGUGUCUUUUUCACACGUUUCUGUUUUGAAUUGGACUUUGGUGUAAACAUGAAAGUUGUAGAUAAUUUUGUUAGCUUUCUAAUGGCAUUGGUUUGACGUCCAAAUGAUUUUUAGAACUUGAGAUAUGAUUAAAUUACUACACAUGGGUCAUGUGGAUUUUUGUGAAAACUUAUCAUAACUUUCUCUAUGAGCCGUGGAACUUUUCCAAACUUGAUAUUGUGUUUAAUGAAGUACUUAGAGUGAAUAAUUUAGUAUGCAUUUAUGUAUUUGGGAAUGUGAAUGUGUUGAUGGUUUAAGAAAUAUUUCGGGCGGAGUUGAAUCGGUGAAAAUGGGUUUUGAGCUAAAUGUUGUUUUGUCUUGGUUUUUCUCAUACGAACUUGAGCUACCCUUUGAACUAAUUUCUAAUAGUUUGUAAGUGGCUUAAGUCCUUGACUACAUGAUUGAUUAAGAUUGAAUUGUAGGAUUUCAAACUUAAAUAAGUUGUCUAGCUUUAAAAAUUGUCAAUGUUGGCCGUUUGCCACAUGUUUUGGAUUUUUGUUGGAAAUGUUUCUUAAGCAAAUUGUCUUGUGAGUUAUUGAGAUUAUUCUUGUAUGACUAAGUGAAGUUGUAUGAAUGAAUGAUUGUAUUGAAUAUGAUGUUUAUCAUGAGAUGUGUAUGCUAUCUUACUUAGAAUGUAAGGAAUGCUUGAAUGGUGAAACUAUAUGUGAUAGUUGAUGUUGGAUAUGAUAUUUGUCAUGAGAUGUUGUAUGUUCUCUUACUUGGGAUAUGAGAAUUGUUUGGAAUGGUGAAACUAUAUGAUAUAGUUGAUGUUGAAUGACAUUGUUGAUUAUUGAUAAUCAUGUUGAUGUGUGAUGGUGAAUACUAUGAUUUAUUUGUGUGGGCAUGUUUUCUUGAUAAUGCAAUGUUGUGGAAAUAAUCAAUAUAAUUGGGUGUUGUCCUAUAUAUUGAGGUUGAGAUUGUGAAUUGUUGUCGCAUUAUCGAGUCCUUACACAUGUCCAUGCAUCAUAGUCGUUGUUGCUGUAAAAGGGAGGACUCUUUUACUUCGAGAUUAUUGUAAGGCAGAGGUGAGCCUUACAUGCGAUGUUGACUUGUCCAUCGGAGGUGACGACCUUGUUGAGAUUUGGUACCACAUGCAUUUAUGUGUCCAUAAGUGCAUAUCAUAGCAUGAGUCUUAUGUGAAAUAUGUGAUUGGUGAUGAAAUGAGAUGAAUGAAUGUUGAUAAUGAUUGUUCAAUGAUUGGUGUUGUGAAUGAAUAUUUAUGAUUGGGUAAUUAUUCAUGUGAUUGAUGUAUGUUGAUAUGAGAUAUCGAGUUGUGAUGUAAGUAUUUAUGUAUGACUAAUACUAUUCAAGUACAUGAUAUUAUUUGAUUUGAUUAUUAUUUGGUUAUGAUAAUGUAAUGCUUACCCCCAGUGGUUUUAACCGCCUACUUGCCUGUAUGGGUGAGUAGACGUUGUGCAGGAGUAGUGCUCGGUGAGUCUUUGCGUGGGAUAUCGGGAGCUUUCUCCGAUAUCGGGUCGUGUCGGCUCUGAUCUAGGCUUGUCGUGUCGGUCUAGAUUAGGUUGUUUAUAUUUCCUUUGGAUUAUUGUUUUGUUGGUGACUGCCCGUAUGUUUGGGUUUUGAGAUUUAUCUUAGGGAUAUAAGUUAUUUGUUCAUGGCAUGUAUAUAUUUAAUCACUCUGAUUUAUAUUCCGCUGCAGCUAUUGAGGUUUAUAUACAUGUCUGUCGGUUUUUGAAUUUUGAAUAAGAUGUAAUCUCUAUUUCUUGAAUAAAUGUAUUAUUCGCAUGUUUAAUUGCUUAAAUAGAGAUAGGAGUGUUACAGUUCACGCUUCAGAUGUGUAAUCCUGAGCGUGAGGGGGGUGUUAAGAGUCCCACAUCGGUUAGGAGUUGGCCUGACAAUUUGUUUAUAAGUGGGGGAAAUCCUCACCUCACAAGCCGGUUUUGUGGGGUUGUGUUAGGCCCAACCACAAUUUCUAAUACUUACUAAGAGUAAAGCCACUUUAUUUCAUCAACUAAAUGUAGAGAAAUAUUCAAAAACUUCUUCAUUAACCACUAAUGCUGUGUUUAGGCUAUUAACUAUUUCAGUCAAAAGCUCCAUUCAAAAUCCCCCCAUACCAAAAUAAAUAAAUAGAAGGGGAGAACAAGCUUAAGUUUUCUUAAUAUUUACAACAACAUCAAAUGUCAACUUUUCUAAGCUUAAAGUGGCUAAAAUUAACUAUAAGUCAGUCUACUUAUUGAACUUUAUGCAGUUGCAAACUCUGAGAACCUUCAUUUCAACAUUUUUAACCAUUAGAGAAGGGAGAAAAUAAAAUUAAAAAUUGGUAAGAUUUAUGUGUAAAAAUGUUUUCAUUUAUAAUUUAUAAAGCUUCCAUCAAUGAAGCGGGAAAAAAUAUCCUCCCUAUGAAGCACCGAAACAGACACGGAUACCGGACUCGACACUUACAUUGAUUUGUCAACACCAAUAGUAAUUUAAGAAAAUCAGAUGUGUCAGUAUUGGAUACGAACACCAAACAUGCUUAGCAUCAGAAGUGUUUGUGCAACAAAGCAUCCUCCACAGUAUCUUACAUAAUGUCUCAUCAUUUGAUAAACUAUUCAAGGUAGAAAUAAUUAAUUGAUUUAUAAAGAUAAUAAUGAUAAUGAUGUACCUGGACCAAGGAAUCUAUCUAGCCAUGGUGUUCCUAUUCUUGUUUCAUUAAGAACCAAGUUCUGCAUGACUGACACUAAAGCUAGAUGUUGUUGCUGCAAAAUUUCUGUCUCCGAAACUCCCACUUCCACUAACCUUCUUUGCUUUUUCAGCAGUGGGUGAAAUUGUAAUAACAAAGCAUUGAGAUAUUUUUCUAAUUUUAUCUUUCUAAUAUAAGGAUCAGUGAAUACCACAUCCUCCUCAUCCAUGUUGCUUUUCUUCUUCAACACGUGGAUUCCCAUUUGUGAACUCCUUAAUUUUUUAAUCACUUCCUCAGGUGGACUACAAAUACUCGUCAACUUAAGCUCCACAUGGAUCCAUUCAUUUUUCAAAAGUUCUUUGUCCAUUUCAGACACAAGAUUUGCACAUUUAAUCUGUUCUUUCAAUUUCAUAUCAAACAAAAAUGCAUGUGCCGAGUCGAAAACCGAUAGAAAGUGAGAACCACAGAAUAAAUAUGUAGGAAAACCACAUCGAUAUCCAUUGACAAACAAAUUGAUAUCUGGAACUAUAGUAGUAUAUCCCAAAAAAAGAAAAAUGGAAGUAACAGAAGGGAUCUUUUUACGAAACCAGAAAGAAAUUGUAUCUCCCCCUGAUUUGGUGCUCGUACCAAUCUGGAAUCCCCUCUUUUACGUUUGAGAAACGAAUAUCGGUGCAUCCAGCAUCAUUUAGGUUCUGUUUGUUUAGAAUAAGAUAUAUUACAUUGUCCAAUAUGAAAUAUUAUAUAUCAAUAUCAAAUAAUAUAUACUGCAACACAAAACAACAACAAACCUGACUAAAUAACAUUCUUCUAGUUGAGAAACUCAGUGAUACGCAUCGCAUUGCAUCCAAGUAAUUUAGAUUUGGUGGAAUCAAGGGGAUUAUAUGGUUUGUGCUGAGAAGUAUCCGUUUUGCAUAAAAUUUAUAAAAAAUAUUAUCAUCACACAUUACUAACUCACAGCAUAAAUAAAAUACUAAGCAAAACAUAAUUGUUUGGAGUGGAUGGAGGAGGAGGUGGAGAUAUAUUUUCUUGAGUAAAUAAAUUACUAAGAAAUCAAAGGUUCAAUGAAACUAAUUUACGAUUUAUGCAACAUCACAUUAAUCACCAAUUUAAAAUAUCAAAGAGUACAGCAAUAAAAUUUUAAUCAAACAUAUCUAAUGCGAGAGUAAAAGGGAUCAGCGUGAGAAUUGAAGUAGUAAUUCCUUGACAGUUUUACCAUCAGAAUAAGCCCAAGCUUCUUCUCCAUCAGAUUAAUUAGUUUUUAAUGUUUUUAAAAAAAAAAUGUUGAGUCCAUUAUAUUCAUGUGUUUGAGUCUCCAUGUCACCGACGGCAGUAAAUAAAUAUUAACAUAAACUAAUGGAUGAAAAUGACUAACCUGACACAACUUGAUGAAAUUAAAAGACCAUUUUUGCGGUAGGGGAUCAAUAAUAUGAACCCCAAAAUUAAGAUAAAUGAUCAAAAAGGUAUUUACGCCUAAUUAAUAGGUACAUUCAAACUACUCACUAACAAAGUCCAUUUGAUGUGAAUGUGGCACUGCACCCUAUUUGAUUUUUUUGGUUAUACUGAAUAAUUUAGCUUAUUACUGGUCAUUUUUGUCUUUGAAAAUGGAUCUGCAAGUAUAUCAGAAAACAAAUAACUACUUCAUUUCAUAUUUUUCAGUUUAAGAUGAUCAGAUUAGUCUUUUGAUUUGAGGUCAAAAUUCUUUUAAUUGACUUCAAAAACACACUUUAAAAUAAAAACAUCCUAGUCUUUGAGUUAACCAACCAAAUAUGAAAUCUUGUUAUCAUACUGAUGAAUUCUGGAUAUCACAUGUUUCUGCAUGACUAAAUUUUCAAUAAUAGCUUUUCUCUUAAGUUUUGUUUGGCAUAUACUAGUGGUGAAAUAUCCUUUUCACUUGCCGUUACUAUAUCAACAAAAAACUUAUUGCAAGGAAUUCUUUUUCAUAUUUAUCAAACCAUCAAGUGUCCAGCAUAUAUAUAACAUCUCACUGUUAAAAAAUUCAUUAUAAUUUACUUAUAUACAUAUCCAAAACUCAGCUCAGGCACGAGUUUCUUCUUUAUGUUAUAGCAUUUAAUCCUUUCUUCCAAUCUCAGAUGUCAUAUCAAAAAGAUAUGUUUGAUUCGAUGGAAUCUAGACUACUUUUACAUAGCCAUUGACAGACAAAUUGACUACUUUUUCAGUUAUACAAGGGAUUUCUUUACAACACCACAAAGAGUGUGUCUUAUGAUUUGGUGCUCGAACCAAUCUGGAAUCCCCUCUUAAUGCUUGUAUUGAUAUCAACAACUAAAUACUUAUUUAAUAUUGUUUCAACAUCAUUAAUAUAUUCAGAAAAUCAACAAUCAUUGAACAACAAAAGUUAAGUUAGCAACAUCGAAGUUUCUGAUAUUUGCUUUUUCAGUACACAUGCUUCUGAACAUACAAUAAUGAAAGAAUCAAAUUCAAACAAUAUCUGUAGCACAAACAUCCUCCUUAAAAACUUACAUCAUGUCUCACCAUAUAAAAACCAGAGUGCAUUGAGUAUUAUACCAAUAACAUUGAUUAGGAUUUUGGAGAACAAAAGCACGACUCUUGCAAAAGGAUCUCAUAAAUGUCGGUUAUCAGAUUUAACUCUUUACCACACAUAACUUCUUGCAUAUCCAAAAGCUCUUUUCCAGUAAGGACAGAGUUUAGUUUGAGAAACCCAUCACUUCAUAGUCAUUUCAACCUGGUAUGCAUAUUUACAUGACAUAAAUAUAGAAACUAAACAGAAGACACAUUUCAUUAUAAAAACAUUAGUAUAGAACAUCUCUUCCCAUUCAAUUAUAUAUGUUCAAUUUCUAGUUCUACCAAAUAUCUGUCAGAACACAAAAUAGCAAUUGUUUUGCCAAAGUUUUGAGGAGACAGAACAUUUUGCGAACUUUAGAGAAAAUAAUCUAAACACAUGUCCUCACCAGGGGAAGGUAUGGAUAGAACGAAUGAAAUUACGUAGAGCUGCAGAAGGAUCAUGUGAAAUGUUCAAUUCACACCCAAUGUGGCAACACAAAAUUCCAACUGAUCUGCAAAGCGUAUGAUUACCCAAUUCCCUUUCAAGCAACACCUCUAGACAUCUCGUAUGACAAUGCACAAAGAAAGGCAACUACAAAUUGUUUCCUGACAAAUGUAAAAAUAUAGGGUUAAUAGUGUUUUUCACCCCUGUAAUAUAUGUCAUUUCCGGUUUUCGCCCCUAUAAAAUUUUCGGUUUGAUUUGCAUCCUCGUAAAAAUUUUAUUUUCCGGAAAACACCCUUAAUAGGCCAUUCAAAAACCAAAAAUUCUUGAAAGAAAAUUCUGAAAAUGGCCUAUUAGGGGUGUUUUCCCGGAAAAUAAAAUUUUUAUGAGGGUGCAAAUCAAACCGAAAAUUUUAUAGGGGCGAAAACCGGAAAUGCCAUAUAUUACAGGGGUGAAAAACACUAUUAACCCAAAAAUAUAUUACUUUGGUAUAAUUAUCAAUUUCUUUUUCAGAUUAUGAUUAAAAGCAUUUAUUCUUUCAAAGUAUAAGGAUCUUACUUGUAACAACAUUCAUCUAGGAUUCGAAGCAAUUUAUUAGAUAUUGUGAGAAAGUGGCCAACCUCCACCACACCUUUUAAAAGUUCUGGACUGAAGGGAUAUAUCUGCAUUUAAAUAGAUGUUAUAAGUAACACAAUACACAGUUACACUUCAACAGAGCUUUGAGCUCAUUGUAAACUUCGAGUGUGCUUAUAAGCUACUGGAAUUUUGAUCAAUUAUGUAUCAUGUUUCAAUUGCAAUAACGCUAAAUUUCAUCAUAAAAAUAAAAAAUGCAUGCAUAUACUACAUAAAUUAUCCAUACGUUUAUUGGUCAGACUUAAAGCAUAUGCCAUUAGUUAGGAGAGAUUAAAGUUCCGAUUUGAAACAUAAUUAAAGAGAUCGAUAUGUUAGUAAUAGGAGUCCUGAUGGCAGAAGUUAUAUUAAAUUAUUAACUGCUACAUCUGCAAUAACUGCUAUCUUUAGUACUUCUAUGUAACUGCUAUAAGGAGUUAGUAUUAUAAAUAUGGAUGCNNAGGGAAAAGAAGGGCAUUGGGUUAUUUGGAUAAAGGAUUGAUAGGAAUAUAUCAAGCUCGCGAGUUCUUGACGGGGAUAGAACGAACAUUCUCGAAUUUCUUGGGAUUCUAUUGUAAUGAUUAUAUUAAUUAAUAUUUUGAUAACAGUGUAUAUCACAAUACAAGUUUAUGAAAUGUUUAUAGUUACUAAUCAUCAACUAAAUGUAGAGCAAUAUUCAAAAAGUCUGAAUCUUUAUAAUAACUCAUGAAGACUUCAACACCUAAUGUCAACUUUAUAACCUUAAAGUGGCUUAAAUUUACCUUAAGACGGUCUACUUGUUGAUCUUUAAGCAGUCGCAAACUCGGAGAACUUUCAUGUCGACAUUGUAACCAUCAGAACAUGGAGAGAAAAAAUACUUGGUAAGCAGGAAAAAAAUCCUCCAUUGAUGUAGGAGAACAAACACGAACACCGAACUCGACACUAACACUGAUUCGUCAACAUUGAUAGUAAUUUAAGAAAAUAAUAUAUUUCAAUGUAAUCACAUGUGUCGGCAUGAGACACGUGUCAGACACAUAAUCUUACAUCAUGUCUCAUGAUUUAAGCAACUUCUCCAUCUAUAAACAAUGAAUUUGUAAUUGACUAUAUACAGAAAUUAAUCAAUAUUUAUAAUAAUGAUAAUGAUUUCAACUGUAAACAGUAAAGCACAAACCUGCAAAGUUGAGAUUGAGAGGAUAACAACAAGACGGUUAACUUUAUGGCGCACCUGGAUCAAGGAAUGUACCCCACAUAUUUCUUUCAUCUUGUCCACUGUUUAAUAUUUCUUUCUCCUCUUCUUUCAUUAUAUCUUCUCUCUAUAAUAUAAGGAUCGGUGAAUAUCACAUCCCCCUCCCAUGACACGUGGAUUCCCAUUUGUGCACUAACAUGAUCAUCCUUCUCCGUGAUCCAAUUAAGCUCUACAUGGUUCCAUUCAUUAUUUUUAAAUGCUUCGUACAGUUCAGGCUUAUUUCCAAAACUCUCGUCAAUAUGGUCAUCCAAAUUCAUAUCAAACAAAAAUGCAUGUUCCGACGGCAGAACUGUCCCCUUAUAAUCGAAAAGAUAGCCAGAACCAAUAAGUUCAUUGCCAUUGACAAACAAAUUGAAUUUUUUAAUCGCCGCAAAUUCCGGAAUAAGAAUAAUACAAGUUAUAGAAGGGAUCUUUUUACAUAACCAGAAAGAAAUUGAGUUGUGUCCCCUGACUUGAUGCUCGAACCAAUCUGGAAUCCCCUCUGUUCCGGUUGGCAAAACAAUAUUGUUGCAACCAGCAUCGUGCAGUCGCUGUUAGAUUAGCAUAAGAUACAGUAUUUCAGUGUGGAUAAUAUAUGAAAUACUAAAUAUCAAAUACCAGUGCAAGAUAAAAUAAAAACAAACCUGACUCAAUAACAUUCUUCUACUUGAGGAACUCAAUGAUUUACAUCCUUCUGCAUAAAGAUUUGUUAGAUUGGGUGGAAUCCCUCUAAUUUCCUCAAGAGACUCACAGUAAUCCAAAUAAAGAUGCUCAAGAUAGUGACAUUCACUAAGGCACUUGGGAAGAAUUUUGAAAUUUUUGUCCAUUAUUACUAACUUUUGAAGUUCAUUGAGAUUUUUAAAUGAAAAUGGCAUUUCUUCUAUGGAAGUAUCACAUAACCAAAUCUCUUUUAUAUUUGACAUCUUGCAUAAUAAUUCUGGAAAACUCUUGAGACUCCUACAAAAAUGGAGUUCCAAUUUCUUAAGAGACGGCAGACAUAAGGGUGGAAAACUCUUGAGCUUCCUGCACAUGGUCGCAUCUAAGAUUUCAAGUUUAUAAAGGUACCCAACUGAAUUGUGAAUUGUAGUUAAAUUUUUACAAUUUUGAAAUGAGAGCCUUAUUAAUUCUGGAAGACCUGAAACAUCAGGUAUAUGAGUUAAAUAGUCACUACAGUCAAAGGUCAAGAUUCUCAGGUUCAUGAGCUUCUUCUGCAUAAACACCAUAAAGAAACAAACAAAUAAAAAUCAGACACUAUAUAUUGAAUUUAUAAAUAUACACAAUUGGAAAAUACAAUUAUUUUACUUGCCUUGAAUGAAAAACAAAAUGAUAGAGGCUCCGAAGUAAAUCCUUUCCAUUUCAAUACUAUCAAACUUUUUGGAAGAUACUUGAGACCUUUAGAAAAAUAGCCCUUUUCAAUGAUAAGUGUUUUGAGUUUUUUCAUCUUCUUAAAGGCCUUUUCAUUGAUGUUGAUGGGUUCCAUUGAGGAACAAUUCAGAUAUAUCAUUUCAAUUUUACUAGUUCCCUUUUAACAAAAAAUAAAACAAAAAUUAAUCAACCAUAAUACAAAUAACAUAUAGAGCUUGAACAUGUACAUGUAAUUAAGUGUAAAAAGAUUUAGUAUGAGAUGGUCAUAUAUAAGUCCAAAAAGAGGAAAGUCAUGGUAAGCUAAAAUAACAAAUUGUUCAUAGAUAUCAAUCUUACUGUGUUUUGUUUUAAAACAUGAGCUAUAUCAUCAUGACGCCACAACCUAGUGCGCUCUCCAGGCUCUUUAAUUGAUUCUUGUCGGACUAUUUCUAUACCCAUAUACUCUAUCAAGUCAUGUAAUGUAACAAUAUAAGAAGUGUAGUAUGGAUCUGGAGCACUAAUCUUUAUGAGAGAUUCAUCAACCAACACUCUAACAUGAUGUGUCAUUGAAUGGCCAUAAUGAAAUUGAAGUGUCUCUGAAACUUCUGCCAAUCACAUCCUUUGAAGCAACAAGCAAUAUCCAAAAAGACACUCUGUUGUUCUUCUUCCAAAGUAUCAAAGCUUACUUUAAGUAUCUUUUGGAUAUCUUCAGGUGGAAUUCUUUCAUACUUAUCUAAGGUUGACUCACAAUCUGCUAUACUCUUUCCAAACAAGUUGGAACCCACUACUUUUAAAGCUAAUGGAAGGCCAGAAGCAUAUUCAACUGCACGGUUUAAAAUAUAAUCAUAGCUGGAAUCAUUUUUAAAAGUCAUCUUUCUUAACAAUUCAAGAGAUUCUUCCUUAUUUAAACUGUCUGCUUCGUAUAUUUUUGUUAUCCCAUGGCAUGAUAACAAAUAUCUGUCUCGAGUGGUAAUGAUGACUCUGCUUCCUUGACCGAACCAACCAGGCUCUCCGACCAAUUUCUCCAACUGAUUUGGUUUGUCAACGUCAUCAAGAAUCAACAAAACUUUCUUCCGACAUAGCCUUUGUUUUAUGAUUUCAAUUCCUUCAUUAUCAUGUUCUAGCGGGGUGUCAUAUCCGAUUGAUUUGGAGAGGAGCUGCUCUUGGAGAUACUUUAAGCUAUGUUUAAAUGAAUUUUCUCUAACAUUGUAAAGGAAACACCUACAUUCAAAUUGAUUAACAAUUGAAUUAUAAACUGCUUCAGCAAGUGUUGUCUUACCCAGACCUCCAGUUCCAAGGAUUCCUAUUAUGUAGACUCCAUCGGUACAUCCCAAGUCUAGAAGUGAAUUCACUUCUGAUAUUCGAGAUUCGAGUCCAACAAGGUACUCAGCAACAUGUAAAUGACAACGGUUGAUCUUGUUGGAGACGUCUGUAACUAUUUCUUCAAUAAAUUUGUAUUCAUAUUUAUUUCUGUCCAAUCAUACAUAUUUAAAUAGAUGUAUUAGAAUAACAAUCACACAUAUGUAUUAAUAUAUAACAGUAAUUAUAAUAUUGCAAUUCAAAUUGUUUGAACAUAGAAUGACCAAAUUUUCUCUAUAUGUAAGAAAAAUGGAAAACAAGAUUGAAAUGAAGAGCGGUACCCAUGAAUGAAAUUGGUGAAGAGCUUCCUUCCAUUUCAGCAACCGCUCCAUGUUUUCCAUGUCAUUUUGAAACUCCACUUCAUGCUUAGCAAGUGCUUCACCAUAACUGUCUUCCAGUUUUCGCACAUGAGAAGGUUCGGUGCCAUAGAAAACAGGAAUAACCUUGGUAACCUUUUCUCUGAAGCAAUGAAUGAUGUGGACAAGUUCAUCUAAACAAAAUGAAGAAGUAGCAUAGUUCUUAGAGAAUAUAAUAAUGGCAAUCCUCGAUUCUUCAAUGCUCUUCCGGAGUGAAGGUGUGAUUUCGUCACCAGUUGGAAGCUCCUUGUCAUCAAUGAAGGUGUGGAUUCCUUUGUCAGAAAGAGCCUUAUAGAGGUUACCGGUGAAACCAAAUCGAGUGUCGGUACCCCUGAAACUAAUGAACACAUCGAAGUUGAAAUCAUAAGAGAGGGAGGAGGAGGAAGUAGGUAAUUGCAUAGCCAUGAGAAAAAAUGGCAUUGAGAGUCAAUUUAAAACAUUAGUCUUGAAACUUCCAUCUCAUCUUCUGAAUUUUUGGUUGGGUAAGGAGUUAUUAGUAGGACUGGCCCUCUUGCUUUGAUUUGGCUCUGCAGAGUCAGAAACUUCCUUUGAAUUUUCUAUAACCCUUCCAUGUGACUUCUUGGUAAUAUCUUGACUGAUAUUACUUACUUUUCAUUUUUGGACAAACACCAUUAAAAGAACCAAAUAUUAUAUAAUGUAACUACCAUUAGAACCAAACUUUUUUUUUUUUUGAGAAAGAAGAAUACUGAGAGUAGCAUCAUAUACAUUCUCUAAAUAGGAAAUAUCUUCCAAAUAACAGUCAAAUCCAAAAAUAAACGAUUAAAUGGAACAAUCCAUACAAAUUAAGAAAACUGUGUAAACUGAAGAGAGGGAAAAGUAGUACUCCCUAUGUUUUUAUAUAUAAGAAAUUUUAGCUUUUAUUAAAAAAAAUUGAUAGUGUAGUUGAUGUUUAUCAAUUUACCAAAAAAACCCUUUGGUUGUGUAUGUAGAAAAUUUUGCUUUUUCAUAUAACAAAGUUGGGCUGGGCUUUGUUUGAGAGUUUGGAUGGGAGAGGAAGAGAGGGCUUUGAGGGAAGAAAUUUUAAGGGAAAAUACAAAAAUCUUUCACAAUUUUUUAGAGUUUUUUUACAAAAUGAGUAUUUUUAUUAGAGAAUAAUAAAUUAAUGUUUAUGAUUGAUAUCUUUUAAAUUUUAAGAAUAUUAUAUUAUAGCAACAUUUUCUUUCAUAUGGCGUAAUUUGAUCCAUGUAGUCAACUAUGUUUAAUGCGAUAAGGAUUCAUUGUUGUUGUAUAGCAACAUAAAUUAAAUUUAAAAAUUUUUAUAAACCCUUCAAAACUCCUCCUCCAAAUCGGAGAGUUUGAUCUAUCAUUUAUAAAACACUAAGUAUAACAAAAUAAAAUAAAACCACACAACACGCAGGUCUAAAUCUAGUUUUGUGCAAUUUCCACAUAUUUUCAAAAUACACAAAAACUAUAUGAUAUUUAUAAUUGAUAUCAAUUUUUUAUGCACAACUAUUAUUUCUCUUUUUAUAGUAACUAUUUUAUAUCUUCAUUGUUAAUUUUAUGGUUAUAAAUGUUGGAAAAAGAAAGGUUGAGUUGAUGGCAUCAGAAUGAAUCGAGAGACUAUGUGAUAUUUAGAACUUCAGGCCUCAAUAAUCAAACAGCUUAAUCACUAAUGCAUAAAAAAGUUAUGAUAUAAUGUGAUUGGACCUCAAAAAUCAUACAGCUUAAAAACUGUAAAAAAAAGGUCGAAAAAGUUGUGAUAUUUAAUGCCACCGUAAACUAUUUAGGAUGUAUUAGUAACAUUUUUGUAUUAUUAUAUUUGUACAUAAAACAGAAAUAGUAAAAACCAAGCCAGGUGAUAAAAUAUGGAGUAGUGUAAUUUGCAAAAAGCAACAAAUAUUUGACAUACUUUUACAAACUUUUUGAAGUAGCCCAUAUGUAGAAUGUUUUAACCUUUAAUUAGCCCAUCUAGUUGAAUGCUAAAACCAAAGCAUCAUUUUUAACAUACUUUUACACACAUUUUUCUGUGCAUUAGGGUGUAUUAGUAACAUUUUUGUAUAAUAUUUGAACAUAAAACAUUUAGUAAAAACUAAACAAGGAUAUAAAUAUGGAGUAAUAAAGUUUGCAAAAUGAGUCCCCGUGAGCUUUGCUCAGUUGGUAGGGACAAAUGCAUUUUAUAUGCAGGGGCCGGGGUUCGAACCCCGGACACCCCACUUCUCCACAUUUAACUUUUUAUUUUGAAGGAACUAGAGUAACUUGAUGUCUAUAUUUGGAGUUUGACUCACCUCAUGUAAAUUUUUCAAUUAGUUUUAUGUGCACAACUCCUAACACAACCGACAAAAAUGCAUAAAUUAUGAGACCGGUCGUCGUAAUCGAGAUUUGAAUCCAAAUUCCUUUACUCGUUUGUGUAUGUUUUCAAGUGAUUUAUCAUUUUGUCUAUCUACCAAGAAAAUAUACACAUUUACUCAUGUCUUUAUAUUGGCAUAUCUAUUAACCCAAAGCAUCUAAAUGGGGGGACAUGGUUCUUUGCUCCCUAUUUUACCAUAUAACCAUUUCAUGGCACCCACCCACCACUCUGCCCCUAUCAGAUGUGCACAGGGCGCUAAUUGUACCACAACUAGGCGUGCCACAAGUUUUGGCAUCUUUUCCCUGCACACUCUAUUGCUCUACCUAGGUACUUUGGAGUUCUGUGCUGCAUGUAAAGAAAAAAAACAUGAACAUAACCUUUGUAUAAAAUAAUAGUACAAUAAUUUAGUUAUACUUUAGUUAUUUACAGUGUGCAUGCAUUUAAAUUAGAAACAUCCUUCUCAUUUUCCUUUAGCCGUGUGGACCAUUCACACAAUUAUUGUUCAACUUUUUCUUUACUGAAAAACACUGCAGAACCAUUAUUUAUAUUGUCCUCGUGCUACGUUAUUAAUUACACUUCUUAACCUUUUUCCAUUUUACUUCUACGAUCUUUCUUUGUUACUUCAUGGGACUAAAAUAAUAGUAUAAUUUUUUUUUUUAAGUCAAGAAGCAAGGAAGACGACAGACGUCAAGGGAAAUCAACGACAUCCCAAUUAGAUUGAUACCCUAAAGAACCGUAUAUAAAAUGAAAAUAAAAGUUGUUAUGUGGACUCAAACAGACAGGAAUGUUGUUGUUCUAAAGAUUUUGUCAUUUUCCUUGAUUCUAAAAAAAUGCACACAAUUGUUCACUUUUACGGUCUAUUAUCUCCUAAAAAAUAUAUUUCCACUGCUUAUAAGUUAACUGUUUCGUAAGUUAACUAAUUUAACUUGUUCCCCAAAAAUAUACGCAUUUGUUCAGGUCUUUAUUUUGGUAUCUAUCACAUACACUUCACUGCACCCUGAAGUCGUGACACCACUCUGCUCCCAAUCGAACUACUAUUGAUAUCAAUUAAACAUUCGUAUGUAAACAUAUGAACAUUCAAUAAACAUGCUUAUAAAACUUGUAUGCUAAUAAAAACAUGGAAUUCCAACAAUAUUUUACACUGGACAAACAUCCUCCAACUCUAGCAGUAGCACCAUGACUAUUUCAAAAAUGCUCAAACAGCCUUCGCUUACUCAGCUCUCUAAGCAGCAAAGGUGGACCAAAUAAACUAAACUUAAUUAAAGCAGUGGCAACUUCUUUAUAACAAGCCUGCCACUCAAAUCUGCCAACACUAUUGCUGAAGAAUUGCAGGAUCAGGUGAAGAUGAAGUUAUCCGGGAAGCAGCUUAUGGAAAUAAGCUAAAAGGAAGCAUAAGCUGAAAUAAGUGGAUGGAUACAAACAAACCAUAAAUAGUUAAUUUAAAAUAAAGCAUUUAAUUUCAAUCUUUCUUUGUUACUUCAUGAGAGUAAAAUAACAGUAUAUGAAAUAAAAAUAAAUGUAGUUGUUCUGUGGGACUCCAAAAUCAGACAAGAAUAGGAAAUUUAAGAAGCAGAAUAAUAGUAAUAAUAGAAAUGUUAGUAUCCUACUAUCUUCAUCAUUUAUGUUAUUUAAAGGACAAAGUUUAUAUUUUAUAUUGAACAAUUGUAAAAUGAUCAUUAUUGUCACAAUUAUUAAUAUUAAUUCUCCAGUUAAUUUUUAAUAAAAAAAUAUACAUCAAAAUAUAGAGUGACAUUAUAUAUUAGCUUCAUCCUUUAUUAAUUUUUUAUUUUGUAUAAUUACCACACAUUUUAAAAAUACACAAAAACUAAAUGAUAUAUAUACCAUAUCUGGUAUCAUUCCUAUUAUAACCUUAUAUCAAUGCAACAUUAACAGUAAUACAAUUUGGGAUGGAGGGAGUAUCACAUAAUUGGACAAUGAUUCACAAAUGUGUGGUAGAUGUGAUUCGAACCUGAGACAUAGAGAUGUAACAAACUUGCCUUAGCCUCUUCGGUGUAGCACUUUUUCUGUUUAAUUUUCGCAUUUACUAAUAUAUAUAUAUAUAUAUAUAUAUAUAUAUAUAUAUAUAUAUAUAUAUAUAUAUAUAUAUAUAUAUAUAUAUAUAUAUAUAUAUAUAUCGUAUUAUAAAUCAAAUAUGUACACUAAAAAAUUUCUUUUACAAUUUUGUCACACCAAACCAUCAUGUCUAGAUCUGUCCCUGGUAGGACCUGUGCUUUUAUUUGGCUCUACACUUUUACCAUGUAAGAAACUUCCUUCCUAUUUCCUAUCUUCUCUAAAAUAACCAUCACUUUUUUGCCUCCUCUUUCCAUGUAAUUUCUCUAAAGCAAUGUGAGUGUCUUAAAAAAGAAGGAAAAAAAGAUACAGUUUGAGGGAAGGCAUGAAUGGAGAGAAAAUGGGAUUGAACCUUAAAAAUCAUAUAUAGUUUAAAAACACGGAUAGAUCGGUCUCGUUUCCGGAGGGAGACCUGAAUAUAUCACCUACUUUAAAAGACAUAAUACUUUUUUUAUGAAUUUCUCAUUUAAUUAUUAGUAGCUUUUAUUUGGAUCUGCACUUUUACCAACCACUUUUUCAAGUUUAUGUGGGGGACCUAAAAAAUGAACUGACAUUUUUAAGUGGGGGUCCUUAAAAAUGAUUGAUGUAAUAUUUUUGCAUCAAACAAUAGUAAAUAUUUAUAUCGUCUCCUCAGAGACUAGUGCGAUAUCAUGGAUCGUUCGACACCAAAUAUCAUUCUAAGUUAAACGAUAAUUUGUUGUUUGUUUUAAUAACUAAGUUGCAAAUGAUAAAGUUGAGAUUAAUAAAGUGUGAAACUUGUUAGGAUUAGAGUUCCUUGAUCAAGUGUCACACGUAACCUAAUAAUCAUACAUGAAUUCUAGCUUUUCUUUGAUAUUAUCACGUAUCCCUCGACAACAUCAUUCGUGUCCAAACAAUAUUGUGAAAUCAAUUGUAUCAUUCAAUCGUCGAUGUCUCAAACUAUUGAAUGAUUCAAGAGUCGGUCUUAUCAUUUAAUCGAUGAUUUCUCAAUCAAUUGAAUGAUAAGAAAGCUUUAAGUUUGGAUACAAAAGGUGAUUAUCAAAACAUCAAUUCCAUGUCUAGAACCCAUGUUUUGAUAGAUGAUUAUUCUAAACUUAGAUUCAAAAGUAUUUAUCAAUCACAAUUAAAUCAAACAUAAGUAUUAAAGUGCAAGAAUAACAUCAAUAUCAAAUUAAAUGCUAGAACCAUAUAUUUAUAGAUCAAAAGAUUACAUGUUAAGCUAAGAUCAAGUACCUCUAAUCCGAACAAAGGAGAUUUAGCUACUCAUUACACACUUGUGAUCUCUCAACAAAAUGAUGUAGAAUCCACUUUCUAUCACUCUCACUCUAUCAAGAACAAUCCCUAUCUCUCUCUCUCUAUGAAUAUUACAAAAUGAAAACUAUGAAAAAUUAAGGAUCCUUAAUGAAAUGAUUGAAUGAGCUAUUUAUAGAAUUCUAAUUCUGCAUCAAAUCGUCUCGCGAGCUCCUUCAUUCGCCAGGGCGAGUGAAGUUCCUUCACCAUUGGGUUUGUGCCACGUCAGCCGUGAGAAGCCUAAGCCGCCCUAACUCGCCUCGCGAGUACAUUCCCUCGCCAUGGUGAGGAGAGUGAAACACUGAUGCUCUCCAAAAUUGCUCGCCUUUGAAACUCGCCUUGAUCUCGCCAUGGCGAACGUACUCGCCUUCUACUCGCCAUUGUGAGUUGGUGGUGUGUAAUCUUUGUUGCUUACUGGAAUUGCUCGCCUGUGCUGCUCGCCAUGGCGAGUUGGAGGCGAGUGACUUCAUUUCCUGCCUCUUUGUACUUUUCUCCAUUUUUUUCUCUUUGCUUGAUGUCUUGAGUUCCAAUCCUGCACAAAUGGGUGAAGUAAGAUAGAUAAAGCGUAAAAGGGCAAUAAUCACUUAUCUCUCGGCUUUUUCCUCAAUAACUUGCAAAACAAGUAAUAAAAGUGCUUUGAAUAUUAAUUUAAAAUACAACUUUCUAGCACUUAUCAAUGAUUGAGAGCUUAAGUGAUAUUUUGUUUGGAUCUCAAAAGUCUUUCUGAUAUUUAAUCACAUCUACCAAACUCACAUUUCUAGCUGUUAUUUUAAGUCAAAAUUGGAAAUCAAUACAUGUUGUAGUCUGUACAGUAACUUGAUCUCUAUAUUUGGAGUGCUAGGUGACAGUCUGGCGCUGACAUGGCACUUGCUGACUGUGUACUCUUUACCACGUGGCGCUGACGUGGCAAUCAAUUAAUUUUGAGAUUAAAGAAACAAUUUUAAAAACUUGGAAAUUAAUUUUUGAAAUAAAAACAUUGAAAAAAGGGAAAAAAAGAUUAAAAAUAAAUAAAAUGAAAAAAAUUCCAAAAUAAUUGUUUUUUAUUUUUUUCUAAAAAAAUUAAAAAAUAUGGAAAUUAAUUAGAGAAUAUUUUUCAAAAUGAAAAAAAAACAAAUUCUAAAUUAAAAGAAACAUAUUUUCAGAUUUGUUUUGAAUUUAAAAAGUUUUUUUUUUCUGGAAAAAUUAAAAAUUCUAGAAAUUAAUUUUCAUAAAUAAAAAAAAACUAAAAUUUAGAUAAUAUUUUUGAAAAAAAAAUUCUGAAAAUUUAUCUUCAGAUUAUUCAUUUGAAAUAUUUUUUUUAAUGUUUUAAAAAAAUUUAAAUUUUCUUUAAAAAAUAAAAAUCUGAAAAUUAGAUAAUGAUUUUUUUUUUUUAAAAAUUUCAAUAAAUUUUAUAAUCUGACAAAUUUUCAAAAAUUUAAAUAUAAAUUUCUAAUUUUUUUUAUUUUUAUAAAUUAAUUUCCAUUUUUUAAUUAAUCGAAAUGACAUGUCAUUGCCAAGUUGCAACUGCCACAUAUGACCUUAGAUGGGCCCAGGGAAUUUUCUUAAAAACAAAAUCUUUUGCAAGGACGCAUUUUAUUUUUUAUUUUUUACGAAGACCUAAAGCCAAAUGUGUAACUUGAAAAUCCAGGGACUUAAAAACAUUGAGAGUUUAAGUGAUAUUUUGUAUGGACCUCAAAAGUCUUUUUAAUAUUUAAUCCCAUCUACUAAAAUCACAUUUCCAGUCGUUAUUUUUAGUCCAAACUGGAAUCUAAUCACUUUUGUAGUCUAUAUACAGUAACUUGAUAUCUAUAUUUGGAGUUUGAUUUAUCUCUUGUAGAUUCUUCAUUAAGUUUUAACCAUAAAUAAUUAGUGUUAGGACCCAAUUAAAAAUGGAUAAAACUAAACAAUACAAAAAAUAUAAACUAUUAAAGAUUCCAGUUUAAUAGUUGAACAAAAAUCCAAGUUGAUAGCUAUGGCUUCUCCUUGAUCGAUAUUCAUUACUCGACAAAAUGGUUGUGCAUCAUGCUAUUAGAUAGUACACGCAAAGAGGAUAUUACUUGUAUCUCAAGCAACUAAGAUUAGAGUCUCACCUUAGUUUACUGUGUUCCUACACUUGUAUAUAAAUAAAUACUCAUUGUAUCUUCAUUCACAAGUAAUAACGAUACCACAUUUUACAUUCAUUCUUCUUCUCUUAAUAUGGUAUCAAAACUAAGCAUUAACCUCACUCUAAACCUCGUCUCGUCUGUGCUUAACCAUAUAUUAAAGGUAAUUAAUCAUAUAUUUUAACUUCAUUAACCACCCAAAUUGUUGUCAAAUAUUUUGUUACGUUUUUGUAUCAAAUUAAUGUAGCUCAAAUACAAAUAUGUAUAAGCCAGAAGCCACCAUGGAAGACAGGCCCUAGCAAUUAACAUGCAUAUCUGUUAAAUAUGAAAUCUAAUACUAAUUAAGAACCAGCAGUGGCACAUUCGACUUAACUCGGAACAGAACAAAUCCUAGGUUGUAUCUGUACAUGGUUAAUUAAUGAGUUUCUUUUAUUCCCAACUCUUCUCAUAUAAUUAAGAAUUUGAUAUAAAAGUUUACCACUCUGCAAUGCACUUGAGUUUCAUUUUUAACAUACACGUUUGGGACAAUCUUAGAAAAUCCUUCAUUCUUCUCUAUGAAAGUGGCUAAAAUUUACAAUAUGACAGUCUAUUAAUUGAACUACAGCACUUGCAAACUAUGAUUAAAAAUUCAGUGGUUUCAAAAUUCGACAUUAUGAACCAUAUGAAAAACCAUCCUCCCUAUCAAGCAUGACACCGGACUCGACACUUACAUGUAAUUGCAUGUGUCGAACACAAACACUUGUUGGGCACCAGACAUGCUUCUAUGAGAAUUGUUUGUGCUACAAAACAUCCUGCAUAUUAAAUUCAAACAAUAUUUUAGACCGCACAAAUGCAACAAUUAAUCAAUUUUUAUAAUAAGGAUCUUGCUAACCGGUGCCCUAAGGGCAAUGAUUAAAGAUUCCAUUACUAGAAAUGUUGUCUUGGAAAUACAAGUCUUUAUUUUUUGCUUAGCAAUAAUUAACCACUCUUCGAUAUAAACUUACUUAUUUUACUAAUUUAACCAAUGCUUUAAGGGCAAUGGUUAGCAUCACGGGCGUAGCCCUUCAUAUGGGAGGGGUAGCCUUGGCUACCCCAAAAAAAAUAUUAUUCUUGAAGUGUUCCGUGUGUAUUUAUAUCCAGGUACCCGAAAUAAAUUUAGUUGCAAAAAUUAGCAUAAAUAAUAAAGUAAAAAAAUUACUACAAAAUUGAUAUAUUUAUUUGUAUUGGUUUGAUACUUUCGGUCUCAAUAACAAUAAUAGAGAAACCUUUUUCAACAAUCUAUCUCAAUUUAAUUAUGUAAAGUUUAAACAGAAAACCACAAACCUGUGAUUAAUUGAGAGAAUCUUGGUGCUCUUUUUGUUUUCUGAAUCUAGCCCUGAAUUUAGGAUGCACCCAAAUCUUUUUCUGAAGAUUUAUACGGAUUGAAAAUUUAUUUCGUUUCCGUUUCUUUUGUGACAAUGAAGCAUUGAGAUAUUCAUUUGAUUUUGUCUUUCUAAUAUAAGGAUCGAUAAAUACCACAUUCUCCUCCUCCGUGUUGCUUUUCUCUUUCCACACGUGGAUUCCCAUUUGUGCAUUUCUGAAUAUUAUAUUGUCACGAUCCUUCACCUUAAACUCCACAUGGAUCCAUUCAUUUUUCAAAAGUCCUUUCUCCAUUAUAUACUCAAAUUGCCUUUUACCGAGUUCAUUCAAUUUCGGGGUAUGAAACAAAUUUGUAUGCUUAAAGUACACAUAGCUAAAGCGGGGACAAUAAUCUAUCUCAAUUUCAUAUCCAUUCACAAAAUAAUUGACUCUUGUGUCAGCCGACCAAUUAUUGCCUUCCGGAGGAAUACAAAUAUAAGUCAUAGAAGGGAUUUCUUUACGAAACCAGAAAGAAAUUGUGUCUCCCCUGCUUUGGUGCUCAAACCAAUCUGGUAUCCCCUCUUUUUCGUUUGGGAAAAGAAAACGAGUGCAUCGAGCCUCAUGUAGUUCCUGUUAGUGUAUAUGAAAUACAAAUAUAUAUUACACAUUAUCAAAUAUAAAUAUAUAUGAAAUACUAUAAAAGAUGUCAAAUACUUUAGUGCAAUAAAAAACAACAACUAACCUGACUCAUUAACAUUCUUCUACAUGAGGAACUCAAUGAUUUACAUUGAUAUGCGGAAAGCUCUUUAAGAUUUGGUGGAAUCCCUCUAAUUUCCUCAAGAGAAGAGCAGUAAUGCAAACCAAGAUGCUUAAGAUGGUGACAUUCACUAAGGCACUCAGGAAGAAUUUUGAAAUUGUUAUGUGAUAAGUCUAGCAAUUCCACAUUAACACACCACUUAAGAACUAUUUGGAGAUAUUCAUCUGAGAGGUUGCACUCGUAGAUUCUAAGCUUUGUCACCUUUGAAAACACUUUAGAAUACAUUCUAUCAUUAUGUUUUGGGAACCUCAGCAUUCUAGCUUCCCGUACUGAUAACUCAUCAAGUUCACUGAGAUUUUGAAAUGAAGAUGGCAAUUCUCCUAUGGAUAUAUUAUAAUCUAAAUCAAUCUCUUUGAUAUUUGUCAUCUUGCAUAAUAAUUCUGGAAAACUCUUGAGACUCGAACAACAACAGAUAUCCAGUUCCUUAAGAGAUGCCAACCCUAAAGGUGGAAAACGUUUGAGCUUUCUGCAACCAAAUGCACUUAACCUUUCAAGUUUGUUUAGGUGUCCAAUCGAAUUGUGAAUUGUAAUUAAAUUAUAACAACAUUCAAACGAUAACUUUUCUAAAUUUGAAAGGCCUGAGACAUCGGGUAUAUGUGUUAAAUAUUCACAAUGGUCCAAUAUCAAGAUUGUCAUAUCCUGGAACUUCUGCAUAAACACAAAGGAAGAAACUAUAAAUAAAUUAAAAAGCAAACACUAUACUUUCAUAGUGAUUUCUUUUAUGUUGGCGAAAAAGAAAUCAUUGUACAUUAUAAAUAUAUACAGUUAGAAAAUGAUUUUAUUUCACUUGCCUUGCUUAAAAUACUAGACGAGAGAGACUUUGAUAAACAUCCUUCCCAUUUCAAUGCUUUCAAACUGCUUGGAAGAUGCUUGAGACCUUUAGAACAAUGGCCAUUUUCAAUGAUAAGUGUUUUCAAUCUUGUCAUCUUUUUGAAGGCCUUUCCUUUCUUGUCUAUUACGGAUUCCAUGGAGUGCAAAUUCAUACAUAUCAUUUCAGUUUUACCAGUUCCCUUUUAACAAAAAUAAAAAUAAAAAAUGCAUCAACCACAAUAAAAAUCUUUUACAGAGAAAUUUACAUGUAAUUAAGUGGAAAAAAAAAUACUAAUAUGAGAUGGUCAUAUUUAGUCCAAAAUGAGCAAAAUUGUAUUAAAACUAAAUAACAAAUUGAACAUAGAUAUCAAUCUUACUCACAGUGUUUUCUGUUAAAACAUGAACUAUAUCAUCUUGAGACCAUAACCUGCUUCUUUCUCCAGGCUCUUUAGGUGAUUCUUGUCGGACCACUUCUUUACCCAUGACCUCUAUCAAUUCAUGUAAUGUCACUUUGAUACCACUGAAAAAGCACCAACUAAUCUUUAUGAGAGACUUAUCAACCAACACUCUAAGGUGGCUUUUUAUGCUAUAACCAUAAUGAUGAUGAAGUAUCUGUUCGACUUCUUCCAAUCUACAUCCUUUGAUGCAACAAGCAAUAUCCAAAAAGACACUCUGCUCCUCUUCGUCCAAAGCAUCAUAGCUCAGUCUAAGUAUCUUUUGGAUAUCUUUAUGUGGAAUUCUUCCAUACUUAUCUAAUGUAGACUCACAUUCUGCAAUACUCUUUCCAAACAAGUUAGAACCCACUACUUCUAUCGCUAAUGGAAGGCCAGAAGCAUAUACAACUGCACGCUUUAAAAUGUCUUCAUAACUUGAAGGAACUUUCUCAUUUUUAAAAGCCUUCCACCUCAACAAUUCAAGAGCUUCUGUCUCAUUCAACUCUUCUACUGCAUAUGUUUUUUCUAUCCCAUGACAGUCUAGUAAGUGUUUAUCUCGGGUGGUGAUGAUGACUCUGCUUCCAGGACCAAACCAAUCGAGUCUUCCAGCCAAAGCCUCUAGCUGAUCCAGUUUGUCAACAUCAUCAAGAAUCAAAAGAAUCUUCUUUCCAUGUAGCCUUUCCUUUAUUUUAGGAAUUCCUUCGCUAACACUUCCUAACUUAAUUUCAAGUUGAAGUGUUUUUAAAAGGAGCUCCUGCUGGAGAUUUUUCAAGUUAUUUGAAGCUGAACUCUCUUUCACAUUUUCAAGAAAACAUGAGCAUUCAAAUUGAUCAGCAAUAAAAUUAUAAAUUGCUUUCGCAAGUGUUGAUUUUCCCAAGCCUCCAAUCCCAUAAAUUCCAACCAUAUGGACCCCAUGAUCAGAUCCUUCAUCAAGAAGCGAUUUCAUUUGUUGUACUCGAGACUGCAAUCCAACAGGGUAAGUGGCAACAUGUAAGGGUUGUUGACUGAUCUUGUUGGAGAUGUAUUUGACUAUCUUUCCAAUAAGCUUGUAUUCAUAUCUAUUCAUGUGCAAUAAGAUAAGUUAGUGUCUAACAACAUCACAAUCACAUCCAUGUACUAAUGUAUUAUACAUUUCUAACUAUUUCGACAUAUAAAUAACUAAUAGUACUUUUAAAACUGUAUAUAAAAAAGGUAUUUCCCUUUUAACCUUUAAGAUGAGAUUAUUGUGAAAUUGAAGUUGAAGAAAUAAAAUAGAAAAGGGAAAAAUAGGAUUUAAGUAAAGUUGGGUACCCAGGAGGACUAUCAUGGUAGCCGGACAAGUUAGCAGCCUGGCUCAGAGCCUCUUUCCAUCCCUGCAACCUCUCCAUGCUUUUCGGAUCAUUUUGAAACCUCUUUUCAUGCUCAGCCAAUGCUUCACCAUAACUACCUUUCUGAUGUCGCACAAUAGUAGGUUCCACAGCAAAGAAAACAGGCAGAACGAGGCGACCCUUUGUCUUGUAGCAGUGAAUGAUGUGGACAAGUUCGUCCAAACAAAAUGAAGAAGAGGCAUAGUUGAUAGAAAACACAGCAAUAAAAAUCCUAGACUCUUCAAUGGCCUUGAGAAGUGAUGGUGUGAUUUCAUCCCCUCUUUGAAGUUCAUGAUUGUCAAUGAAGGUGUGGAUUCCCUUGUCAUCAAGAGCCUUGUAGAGAUUGCCGGUGAAACCGUACCGAGUGUCACUUCCUCUGAAAUUGAGGAAUACUUGGUAUUUGUACUCAUAGGAAAUUGAAGUGGAAGAGGAAGGUGAUUGCAUAGCCAUGAGAAUAUGAAUGAGAAGUUUUUGUGGUCUGUGAAGUCUUUGAUAGAAAUGGUAUGUGAAACUUCCUAUAGCCGUGUGGACCAAUCAUGUAGGAAAAGGGAAGGAAGCUUCCCAGUUCCCAUUUGGUAAAAGUGUAGAACCAAAAAACAGUGAAAAAUAGCUGCCAAGUUUGAUUUUGUCUUCAACUCAAUCAUUAUUUUUCCAACAUUUAUAAUUGUUAGUACAAUGUAAGAUUAACAUGAAAAAUAGGACAUUGUUAUAUUAGUUCUGUUGGAUAGCUAAUUAAACAUUUAACGUAAACAUGUACAAUAAUAAUUGUGUGUGCAUGGUUAAUUAACCAUUUGGUUCAAGUGGUAAUAUUUUCAAAAUAAAUAGAAACUAUUAUAUUUCAUAUCUAUGCUAACCUAAUCUUGUUGUUAACUACCUAAUUAACAAGCUAGUUUAAAAUGAAAAUAGUAUGAUCAAAACUUUCUGAUAUUUGCAUUACUAACUGUCUUUAAUUGUAUGUUUGAAUGGCAUAGCUUGUAUUUAUUUUAAGCUCAUGUAAUUUAAGAUACUGAUUAAUUAAGUAACAAAGUGAAAAAUUACAUGCAGCAGAAGAAUAAGAUUUGGCAAAAAGAUGAACAGUAACAAGAAAUUAGCAAGAAGAAGAGGUGGUAGUACAAUGAUUGGUCCACACGGCUAUAGGAAGUUUCACAUACCAUUUCUGUCAUAACUUUUCUCAUAAGUUAUAAAGUUACUUAUCAAAGACUUCACAGACCACAAAAACUUCUCAUUCAUAUUCUCAAACUCUUUUUUCAUCUAAUUUCUCUAAAAUCUCAUGGCUAUGCAAUCACCUUCCUCUUCCACUUCAAUUUCCUAUGAGUACAAAUACCAAGUAUUCCUCAGUUUCAGAGGAAGUGACACUCGGUACGGUUUCACCGGGAAUCUCUACAAGGCUCUUACUGACAAGGGAAUCAACACCUUCAUUGAUAAGAAUGGUCUUCAAAGAGGAGAUGAAAUCACACCAUCACUUCUCAAGGCCAUUGAAGAGUCUAGGAUUUUUAUUCCUGUGUUUUCUAUCAACUAUGCCUCUUCUUCAUUUUGUUUGGACGAACUUGUCCACAUCAUUCACUGCUACAAGACAAAGGGUCGCCUCGUUCUGCCUGUUUUCUUUGGUGUGGAACCUACUGUUGUGCGACAUCGUAAAGGUAGUUAUGGUGAAGCAUUGGCUGAGCAUGAAAAGAGGUUUCAAAAUGAUCCGAAAAACAUGGAGAGGUUGCAAGGAUGGAAAAAGGCUCUGAGCCAGGCUGCUAACUUGUCCGGCUACCAUGAUAGUCCUCCUGGGUACCCAACUUUACUUAAAUCCUAUUUUUCCCUUUUCUAUUUUAUUUCUUCAACUUCAAUUUUACAAUAAUCUCAUCUUAAAGGUUAAAAGGGAAAUACCUUUUUUAUAUACAGUUUUAAACAAGUACUAUUAGUUAUUUAUAUGUCGAAAUAGUUAGAAAUGUAUAAUACAUUCUUAGUACAUGGAUGUGAUUGUGAUGUUGUUAGACACUAACUUAUCUUAUUGCACAUGAAUAGAUAUGAAUACAAGCUUAUUGGAAAGAUAGUCAAAUACAUCUCCAACAAGAUCAGUCGACAGCCCUUACAUGUUGCCACUUACCCUGUUGGAUUGCAGUCUCGAGUACAACAAGUGAAAUCGCUUCUUGAUGAGGGAUCCGAUGAUGGGGUCCAUAUGGUUGGAAUUUAUGGCAUUGGAGGUUUGGGGAAAUCAACACUUGCAAGACAAAUCUAUAAUUUUGUUGCAGAUCAAUUCGAAGGUUCAUGUUUUCUUCAUGAUGUGAGAGAGAAUUCAGCUCAAAAUAACUUGAAAUAUCUCCAAGAGAAGCUCCUUUUAAAAACAACAGGUUUGGAAAUUAAGUUAGACCAUGUUAGUGAGGGAAUUCCAGUCAUAAAGGAAAGAUUAUGUAGAAAGAAGAUUCUUUUGAUUCUCGAUGAUGUUGACAAUUUGAAGCAACUGCAUGCUUUGGCUGGAGGACUUGAUUGGUUCGGAUGUGGAAGCAGAGUCAUCAUUACCACUCGAAACAAAGACUUACUAAGCAGUCAUGGCAUAGAAAGUACACAUGCAGUAGAAGGGUUGAAUGAGACAGAAGCUCUUGAAUUGUUGAGGUGGAUGGCUUUUAAAAGUGAUAAAGUUCCUUCAGGUUACGAAGACAUUUUAAACCGUGCAGUUGCAUAUGCUUUUGGCCUUCCGUUAGUUUUAGAAGUAGUGGGUUCUAACUUGUUUGGAAAGAGCAUAGAAGAUUGGAAGCAUACAUUAGAUGGGUAUGACAGGAUUCCCAAUAAAGAGAUCCAAAAGAUACUUAAGGUGAGCUAUGAUGCUUUGGAAGAAGAGGAGCAGAGUGUCUUUCUUGACAUCGCUUGCUGCUUCAAAGGAUAUCAAUGGAAGGAGUUCGAAGAUAUACUUUGUGCUCAUUAUGACCAUUGCAUAACACAUCAUCUAGGAGUGUUGGCUGGAAAAUCUCUCGUUAAGAUUAGUACUUAUUACCCUUCGGGAUCUAUUAAUGAUGUGAGAUUACAUGACUUGAUAAAGGACAUGGGUAAAGAAGUCGUCCGACAAGAAUCACCUAAAGAGCCUGGAGAACGAAGUAGGUUAUGGCGUCAAGAAGAUAUAAUUCAUGUUUUAAAAGAAAACACUGUGAGUAUGAUUGAUAUCUAUGAUCAUUUUGUUAUUUAGUUUUAAUACGACUUUGCUCUUUUUGCACUAAAUAUGAUCAUCUGAUACUAGCAUUUCUUUUCACUCAAUUACAUGUUAAUAUAUCUAUGUCUUAUUUUUAUUGUGGUUGAUUCAUGUUUUUAUCUUUGUUAAAAGGGAACUAGUAAAAUUGAAAUGAUAUAUAUGAAUCUCCACUCCAUGGAAUCCGUGAUAGACAAGAAAGGAAAGGCCUUCAAGAAGAUGACAAAACUGAAAACACUUAUCAUUGAAAAUGGCCUUUUUUCUGGAGGUCUCAAGUAUCUUCCAAGCAGUUUGCGUGUAUUGAAAUGGAAAGGAUGUUUAUCGAAGUGUCUGUCAUCUAGUAUUUUAAACAAGGCAAGUGAAAUAACUUCACAAUGAUUUUGUUUCAGUCAACAAAAGAAAUCAGUAUGAAAGUAUUAUUGUCUUUGAUUUUUAAUUUAUUGAUUUGUUUCUUCCUUGUGUGUAUGCAGAAGUUUCAGAAUAUGAAAGUCUUGACAUUGGACUAUUGUGAAUAUUUAACACAUAUACCCGAUGUCUCAGGCCUUUCAAAUUUAGAAAAGUUAUCGUUUACAUGUUGUGAUAAUUUAAUUACAAUUCACAAUUCUAUUGGACACCUAAAUAAACUUGAAUGGUUAAGUGCAUAUGGUUGCAGAAAGCUCGAACAUUUUCGACCUUUAGGGUUGGCAUCUCUUAAGAAAUUGAUACUCUAUGAGUGUGAGUGUCUUGAUAAUUUUCCAGAAUUAUUAUGCAAGAUGGCACAUAUAAAAGAGAUUGAUAUAUCUAAUACUUCCAUAGGAGAACUGCCAUUUUCAUUUCAAAAUCUCAGUGAACUUCAUGAGUUAACAGUGACAUCUGGAAUGAAGUUCCCAAAAAUAGUGUUUUCAAAUAUGACAAAGCUUUCUCUCUCCUUUUUCAACCUCUCAGAUGAAUGUCUCCCAAUAGUUCUCAAGUGGUGUGUUAAUAUGACACAUCUAGACUUAUCAUUUAGCAAUUUCAAAAUUCUUCCUGAGUGCCUUCGUGAAUGUCACCAUCUUGUUGAAAUUAAUGUGAUGUGCUGCGAGUCUCUUGAGGAAAUUAGAGGGAUUCCACCAAAUCUAAAAGAGCUUUGUGCUAGAUAUUGUAAAUCAUUGAGUUCCUCAAGUAGAAGAAUGUUAAUGAGUCAGGUUAGUUGUUGUUUUAUAUAGCACAAUAUUUUAUAUAUAAUAUUUAAUUUGUAAUUCAUAGUGUAAUUAUUAUUAUUUUGUAUAAACAAACAGAAACUACAUGAGGCGGGAUGCACCAAGAUUUAUUUCCCAAAUGGAAGAGAGGGGAUACCAGAUUGGUUUGAGCACCAAAGCAGGGGACCCAUAAUUUCUUUCUGGUUUCGUAAAGAAAUCCCUUCAAUAACUUGUAUAUUUAUUCUUCCGAAAGGCAAUGAGUAUGCCACAAGUGUCAAUGUUUUUGUGAAUGGAUAUGAAAUUGAGAUAGGUUGUUAUUGGUCUCUCUUUUUCUUCACGGACCAUACAACUUUGUUUCAUACCUCAAAAUUGAAUGAACUCAUUAAAACACAAUGCGAGUAUAAUAUAGAGAAAGGACUUUUGAAAAAUGAAUGGAUCUAUGUGGAGUUUAAGUUGAAGGAUCAUGAGAAUAGUGUUUAUGCACAAAGGGGAAUCCACGUGUGGAAUGAGAAAAGCAACACGGAGGAGGAGAAUGUGGUAUUCACAGAUCCUUGUAUUACAAAGACAAAAUCAGAUGAAUAUCUCAAUCAGAGCAAUAAUACUUCAUUAUCACAAUUUGAGCCUCCUCUAAAAAAGCAAAGAUUGGUGGAAGUUGGAGUUUCAGAGACAGAGGAGGAUAUCAAUGCUUCAUUGCAACAACAGGAAUUGAUGAAAGAGGAACAAAGAAAGACAUGGGGUACAUUCUGAAACACACCGCUUCAUUAAAAUAAUAAUAAUAAUAAUAAUAAAAUAUAUAUAGAAGUUACUAGACACACGUGGAAAAAAAAAAGAAAAAGAAAAGCAUAACACUUCCCUCAUUCUUUCUUUUCCUCCCGUAGCUCUCUCUGUUCUCACUUUUCUUUCCAUUUUGCUUCUUCCCUUUCCAUAAUCAACCAAUUCCACACACUAAUCAAACACCCAUAAGAGAAAUUAUUCACCAAAGUAAAACAAUUUCAUAUUACAAGUUAAUUUGGGUUUGAUUUUGGAGAUUGGGGUUAGGGUUCUGAGAAGAAAAAUACCCAUUUUGUGAAGGUUGCUCAUUGAGACUUUUUAAGGUAUAUUUAUCAACUUAUAUUUCAAUUAAUGCAUAUUUAGACAUGAUUAGUGAGUUAGAAAUUAAUUUGAGAGUAAAGUAUAAAAGAUUUCAACAUAUAAAUAUGACAUGGACUUUCAUUUACUUUGAAUGGUUAUAUAUAUAAUUUAAGCAAUGUAGGCACAUUACUUCUGCUAUUCGUUCCUUGUAGAAUAAGCAUUUGUGUCAUAUUCAAUCUAAAACAAAAGUUGGGAAUAAAUUAAUAAAUUCUGGAAGCCUAUAUGUUAUCAAUAAUGCGAUAAUACAUAUUCAACUUGCAUUUCAUGGUCAUCUAGUGCUACUAAAGUUCUGGAAUGAGUUUCUAAUAUAUGUGAAAACAUUAUUAAUGCUCAGAUACGAUGCCGGAUGCUUCACAUGCUUCUCCCGGGAUGGUUGGAGAGCACGCUUAGUUGAUUCAUCGUAACAGUGAGUUGAUGACGAUCAUUAUUGCUUAUUUUCAAUAUCGUUAUUAUUGAUAUUUUUAUGAUUUUAUAUGUUAAAAGUAUUUACAAAAAUGGGGAACACACCCUUCGAAUAUUUUUCUCGUUUUUGACACAUUUUUAAAAGUCAUUGAUAUUAUUGUGGUCUCUAUUUGGAUGUUAUCUGUAACUUCUAAGCAAAGGAUUGCAAAUUGAAAUUUGAUUGUGUACGUUUGACACAAGUUUGAUGUUUUACAAAAUCAUGGUUUUUAAACCUAUGUGUUCGAGAAAAAUGAUUAUCAUUAUGACGACCUAGGUGCACCUAGUAUGUGUUUUCAAUUAGGUAGAGUUACCCCAUUAGAUGGAGCCGCCCCUAUGGAAAGGCCGCCAUUAGGAGGAGAGGGCUAUCAAUGAGUGGUAAACUCUCUAAUUGAAAAUGUUUUACACUUUGUUUUGAGUCGAGAGAAAAGAGCUAUCCGUUAGAUGGAGCCGCCCCAUGGAAAGGCCACCAUUAGGAGGAGAGGGCUAUCAACGAGAUGGAGCUAGUUCUCGAUUCACCCAUUUGACUAUUUUCAAUAAAGUUGGAUUUUAUACUUACUUUUAAUUAAAUGGAAUUUGAUUUUAUAUUCUAUUUGGAAUUGAUUAUUUCGAUUCCUUUUUCAUUAUACGCGAUUCUAUAUUUUCUUUAAGUUGUGGAUUUGGGUUCACUUCCUUACGACAUUGGAAUUUUAAUAUACUUUUAUUUGGUUUGAUUAAGUUACGAUGUUUUCCGAAUUUUCAUGGCACACUCGAUUGUGAGUUUAUCAUAUUUUUAUACGGGUACUAGCUUUGUAAGUUAAAAAUUAGAUUUGAGAAAAAUAAAUAAUCGUGCUCUUGUGUGUUUCCCUUCUAGUCGGUGGUGGUUGUUGUCUCCUCACUAAGUCCUUGUGGCUUACUCUUUCUUUUCUAUUGUUUUUCAGAUUCCCGAGCAGCUGAGUAGGAAGCUGCAAGUAGAUCCGAAGUCCAUCAUUUCUAUUUUUGGUAGGCCUCCUUGAUGGAUGGCUUUUUAUUUAUGUAAAUAUUCAGUCAAUGUAUCUGCAGCUAUAUGGAGUUAGAGUGCCUCAUUUUGAGUUGUAAAGUUAUGUAAAAAUUGUCUUUUUGAGCUUCUGGAUGAUGUGACAGGUUUAUGGACAGGAUUCAUAUCUUGGUAACGUUAAAAAUACAAGGGAUACUCUGUCCAAAUUUUUGUAAAUAUUAUUUUGAUGAAAAAAAUGGAUAUCUGUAAAUUAUUUAUGUCAUUUGUCGAGUUUGGUCGUUAGGCUUGCCGGACUAAAAUGUACAAGUCUGUGCGCCGGUCACGAUUUUGUGCUUGGGUCGUGACAAAGUUGGUAUCAGAGCCCGGUUUUAGGUCCAAAUAGCUGCAGACAUAGAGUGAUAAUAGAUUUUUGCUAGUAAAUUGUGAACCGCGGCACCAUUUACUCGCAAAAAGCUAUUAGAACUCUAUGGUAGUCUCAUUUGUUGUCCGAAUUUGUGUCUUUGAUUCAUGUGGUCUUUGAUUGGUGUCACUUUCCUCGUUGUCUGCUUCUUUUUCUGAUCAAUGUUACUUUCUUAGGUGAGGAUGCCACCCAGGAAUAGGAACCGUCCUAGAAGGGAAGUUGUUGAUGAGUCAAAUGCACCACCUCAAGGCACUCGUCAUAGAGGUCGAGGCCGUGCUCGAGGUGGACGUGGGGUUAACGUUAGGGGACGUGGAGUUAAUGCAGGCAGGCAUGCCUUUGAUGAAGAGUUAUUCGAUGUUGAGGUUCCUAGAAGAAGACGUGGAAAUCCAGUUGUGGAAAAUGCUAACCUACAGGGUUUACAACAGGUUGUACAACAACUUGUUGAAAUUGUUGCUGGGCAGCAACAAGGAAACCAAACACAUGAAAAUUUAGAAGGUCAACAAGAAGUUAGACAGGUUGAUCAGGUGGUGGUAGCUCCAACAAGGGGAAUUGAGGUUACUUUAGCAGAAUUUUUGAAACUUAAACCACCUACUUUUUCCGGGUCUAGUGUGAGUGAAGAUCCACAACGAUUCAUUGAUGGACUAGAGAGGUUAUGGAGAGCAUUGGGAUGUUCAGAUGUAAGGGCAGUGGAAUUGACAUCUUAUCAGUUGGAAGGUGUGGCACAUGACUGGUUUGACACAGUGACACAUGGAAGACAAAUGGGAUCAUCUCCCAUGGCAUGGAAAGAAUUUUCUAAAUUAUUCAUGGCUCGUUUUCUUCCUCAAAGUGUUAGAGAUCAAUUAGCUCAUGAGUUUGAGAUAUUCGAGCAAACGGAGGGAAUGUCGGUUUCAGAGUAUAGUGCCCGUUUCACACAGCUUUCUAGGUAUGCUGCCUACUGUGUCACGGAAGAGAUGCGUAUCAAGAAGUUCAUCAGAGGGUUAAGGGAAUACAUAUUCAGAUCAGUGGUCGGUUCUAAUUGUCAGACUUUUGCAGACGUUUUAAGUUUGGCACUUCAGAUUGAGCAGCGACAGAAGGAUAAAGGAGGUACUAGACAAGAUCCUCGCAAGAAACAACGAGUGGAAGGAUCUCACAGUAAUUAUUCUAAUCGUGGGGGUGGAUCUAUGUUUGGAUAUCAGGGGCAACAAAAAUCAGUAUCACAGAAGGGUGGUUUUAGUGGACAAUCAUCUGGUACAGUGCAAAGUCAUAGGUCGGGUCACAGGGGAUCCACGGGGUCUACUUUUCCUCAUAGGCAUUCUAGUGGUACAACCAGAGCUUGUUCUGUUUGUGGUAGAUUUCAUUCUGGAACUUGUUUUAAUGAUGACAGAGAGUGCUUUCAAUGUGGUCAAAAGGGUCACAUUAAGAAGAAUUGUCCUAUACCUACAACACAACCAUCAUCUAGUCGUGCAUCAGCACCUGUAGCUUUAGCAUCUUCUCAUUCCCCUUCUGCACCUGUGAGACAAGAGGGAAAUUCUUUUGUUCGGGGUUCAGGAGCAUCUCAACAUGGAGGUAGAGGACCUGGAGGUAGAGGUCAGUCACAAGUAGGGAGAGGUCAUGCUCGGGUUUUUGCUUUGACCCGACAAGAUGCUCAGGCAUCUAAUGCAGUGGUUACAGGUACACUUUCUGUUUGUUCCCAAGAUGCACAUGUUUUGUUUGACCCUGGCGCUACAUAUUCUUUUGUAUCAUUAUACUUUGCUCCUCGACUUGGUAAAAGUUCAUCUUUUCUAGAUGAGACCUUAGUUGUGACUACACCUGUUGGUAAUAAUGUGCUAGCAAAGUCUGUGUAUUAUUCAUGUGAUGUAUCUAUUGAGGGCAAAGUAUUACCUGCGGAUCUAGUGGUCCUUAAUAUGGUAGAUUUUGAUGUGAUUCUGGGUAUGGAUUGGUUGUCUUUACAUCAUGCCACCGUAGACUGUCAUAAUAAAGUUGUGAAAUUUAAACCACCUGGGGAAGCAACCUUCUCGUUUCAAGGAGAACGCAGUUGGGUACCAAAUAAUUUAAUCUCAUCAUUGAGAGCUAACAAACUUCUAAGUAGAGGUUGUCAAGGGUACUUAGCAUUGGUUAGGGAUGUUCAAGCGGGUGAAGAAAAGUUAGAAAAUGUUCCCAUAGUGUGUGAGUUUUCAGAUGUUUUCCCAGAAGAACUUCCUGGAAUACCACCUGAUAGGGAAAUUGAGUUCUCUAUAGACUUAAUUCCUGGCACUCAACCUAUAUCUAUACCUCCUUACCGAAUGGCCCCGGCAGAAUUGAAGGAGUUAAGGGAGCAACUACAAGAUCUUCUUGACAAGGGUUUUAUUCGUGCUAGUACUUCUCCGUGGGGUGCACCAGUAUUAUUUGUGAAGAAGAAAGAUGGAUCCAUGCGAUUAUGCGUAGACUAUAGACAGCUGAACAAGGUGACAAUAAAGAAUAAAUAUCCUUUACCCCGUAUUGACGAGUUGUUUGACCAACUUCAAGGAGCCCAAUGUUUUUCUAAGAUUGACUUACGGUCUGGGUAUCACCAAUUGAAGAUUAAGAGUGAGGAUAUAUCAAAGACAGCUUUUCGCACUCGUUAUGGACAUUAUGAAUUUCUUGUUAUGUCUUUUGGGCUUACAAAUGCUCCAGCAGCUUUUAUGGAUUUGAUGAACCGUGUUUUUAAACCAUUCUUGGAUCGGUUUGUGAUUGUUUUUAUUGAUGACAUCCUUAUUUAUUCCAAGAGUAGAGAGGAGCACGAGCAACAUCUCAGGUUGGUUUUGCAAACUUUAAGGGAGAAGCAAUUGUAUGCCAAAUUCUCUAAAUGUGAAUUUUGGUUGGAGAGUGUGGCGUUUCUAGGACAUAUUGUGUCAAAGAAUGGGAUAAGUGUUGACCCUAGCAAGGUUGAGGCAGUGCAGAAUUGGCCCAGGCCCACUUCAGUGAAGGAGAUUCGAAGUUUUCUUGGUUUAGCUGGCUAUUAUCGUCGUUUUGUGAAGGAUUUUUCCAAACUUGCGUUCCCAUUGACUAGAUUGACCCAAAAGAAAGUUGAGUUUAAAUGGACUGAUGCAUGUGAAGAAAGCUUUCAAAAGUUAAAGGAAUGUUUGAUUUCAGCACCUAUUUUGGCAUUACCAACGAGUGGUGGAGGUUAUGUUGUUUAUUGUGAUGCUUCUAGAGUUGGUCUUGGUUGUGUUCUUAUGCAGCAUGGUAAAGUUAUCGCCUAUGCAUCUAGACAACUUAAAAGGCAUGAGCAGAAUUAUCCUACACAUGAUUUAGAGAUGGCAGCAGUGAUUUUCGCUCUUAAAAUUUGGAGGCAUUACCUAUAUGGAGAGACUUGUGAGAUUUACACCGAUCACAAGAGUCUUAAGUAUAUUUUUGAGCAGCGCGAUUUGAAUCUAAGACAGAGAAGAUGGAUGGAGCUCUUGAAAGAUUAUGACUGUACGAUCUUAUAUCACCCUGGUAAAGCAAAUGUUGUUGCGGAUGCUUUAAGUAGGAAGUCCAUGGGUAGUCUUGCUCAUUUGACAGCAAUUAAGAGGCCAAUUGUUAAAGAGUUUCAAGAAAUUGUUGAAAGUGGAGUUCAAUUUGAGAUUGAUCAUUCAAGGACAUUGUUAGCCCACAUGAAAUUUCGUUCUACCUUAAUUGAUGAUAUCAAACAAGCUCAAAGUCAAGAUUCGGAGUUGAUGAAGAUGGUGGAUAAUGUGCGAAAUGGUAAAGUUUCAAACUUCUCAGUUGACUCCGAGGGUGUUUUGUGGUUGAAGUCUCGAAUUUGUGUCCCAAAUGUUGAUGAUUUAAGGAGGAAAAUCUUAGAGGAGGCUCAUCAUUCUUCUUAUACUAUUCAUCCAGGUUCUAAUAAGAUGUAUCAAGAUUUACGAGAAUUUUAUUGGUGGGAAGGAAUGAAGAGAGAUGUAGCGAAUUUUGUCUCUAAAUGUUUAGUGUGCCAGCAAGUGAAGGCUGAACACCAGAAGCCUGCGGGUUUACUUCAACCUAUUGAAAUACCUAAAUGGAAGUGGGAAGGCAUUGCUAUGGAUUUUGUUACAGGUUUGCCACGGACUCAGAAAGGUUUUGACUCUGUAUGGGUGAUUAUAGACCGUUUGACAAAGUCUGCACAUUUCUUACCUGUGAAGACUACCUAUACUGCUUCUCAGUAUGCUAAGAUUUAUUUAGAGGAGAUUGUUUCUUUGCAUGGUGUACCAAUUUCUAUUAUCUCUGAUCGUGGGGCUCAAUUUACCGCUCAAUUUUGGAAGUCUUUUCAAGCGGCAUUAGGAACUCGUUUGAAUCUUAGUACAGCUUUUCAUCCUCAAACUGAUGGUCAAUCUGAGAGAACUAUACAAAUUUUAGAGGAUAUGCUUCGUGCUUGUGUUCUUGAUCUUGGAGGAAGUUGGGAUCGAUACUUACCGAUGAUGGAAUUUGCAUACAAUAAUAGUUACCAAUCAAGUAUCCAAAUGGCACCUUUUGAGGCAUUGUAUGGUAGGCGAUGUAGGUCUCCUAUAGGAUGGUUUGAAGUUGGAGAAGCUAAGCUAGUGGGUCCCGAGUUGAUUCAGGAUGCCAUUGAUAAGGUUAAGUUGAUUCGAGAUCGUUUAGUAACUGCUCAGAGUAGGCAAAAAUCUUAUUCUGACAAGAGGCGACGUCCCUUAGAGUUCACAGUGGGGGAACAUGUAUUUUUACGUGUUUCGCCUAUGAAGGGCGUUUUGCGGUUUGGAAAAAAGGGCAAGCUAACUCCAAGAUUCAUUGGGCCGUUUGAGAUUUUGGAGAGAGUCGGACCUGUAGCUUAUCGAUUAGCACUUCCACCAGAUCUCUCACGAGUUCAUCCGGUCUUUCAUAUUUCUAUGCUUCGGAAAUACAUUUAUGACCCUUCUCAUGUGAUUAGUCAUAAAGAUGUGCAAUUGGAUGAAAAUCUGUCAUACACCGAACAUCCGGUAGCUUUAGUUGAUAAGGGAGUGAGACGUUUACGCUCAAAAGAUAUUGUGUCAGUGAAAGUUCUUUGGAAAGGUCCGUCGGGUGAAGAAACCACUUGGGAACCCGAAGAAACUAUACGUGGCAAGUAUCCACACUUAUUUGAAAAUCAAGGUUAGUAGUGUUUGCGAUGUAGCAAAAUUCGAGGACGAAUUUUCUUAAGGGGGGAAGACUGAAACACACCGCUUCAUUAAAAUAAUAAUAAUAAUAAUAAUAAUAAUAAUAAUAAUAAUAAAAUAUAUAUAGAAGUUACUAGACACACGUGGAAAAAAAAAAGAAAAAGAAAAGCAUAACACUUCCCUCAUUCUUUCUUUUCCUCCCGUAGCUCUCUCAGUUCUCACUUUUCUUUCCAUUUUGCUUCUUUCCUUUCCAUAAUCAACCAAUUCCACACACUAAUCAAACACCCAUAAGAGAAAUUAUUCACCAAAGUAAAACAAUUUCAUAUUACAAGUUAAUUUGGGUUUGAUUUUGGAGAUUGGGGUUAGGGUUCUGAGAAGAAAAAUACCCAUUUUGUGAAGGUUGCUCAUUGAGACUUUUUAAGGUAUAUUUAUCAACUUAUAUUUCAAUUAAUGCAUAUUUAGACAUGAUUAGUGAGUUAGAAAUUAAUUUGAGAGUAAAGUAUAAAAGAUUUCAACAUAUAAAUAUGACAUGGACUUUCAUUUACUUUGAAUGGUUAUAUAUAUAAUUUAAGCAAUGUAGGCACAUUGCUUCUGCUAUUCGUUCCUUGUAGAAUAAGCAUUUGUGUCAUAUUCGAUCUAAAACAAAAGUUGGGAAUAAAUUAAUAAAUUCUGGAAGCCUAUAUGUUAUCAAUAAUGCGAUAAUACAUAUUCAACUUGCAUUUCAUGGUCAUCUAGUGCUACUAAAGUUCUGGAAUGAGUUUCUAAUAUAUGUGAAAACAUUAUUAAUGCUCAGAUACGAUGCCGGAUGCUUCACAUGCUUCUCCCGGGAUGGUUGGAGAGCACGCUUAGUUGAUUCAUCGUAACAGUGAGUUGAUGACGAUCAUUAUUGCUUAUUUUCAAUAUCGUUAUUAUUGAUAUUUUUAUGAUUUUAUAUGUUAAAAGUAUUUACAAAAAUGGGGAACACACCCUUCGAAUAUUUUUCUCGUUUUUGACACAUUUUUAAAAGUCAUUGAUAUUAUUGUGGUCACUAUUUGGAUGUUAUCUGUAACUUCUAAGCAAAGGAUUGCAAAUUGAAAUUUGAUUGUGUACGUUUGACACAAGUUUGAUGUUUUACAAAAUCAUGGUUUUUAAACCUAUGUGUUCGAGAAAAAUGAUUAUCAUUAUGACGACCUAGGUGCACCUAGUAUGUGUUUUCAAUUAGGUAGAGUUACCCCAUUAGAUGGAGCCGCCCCUAUGGAAAGGCCGCCAUUAGGAGGAGAGGGCUAUCAAUGAGUGGUAAACUCUAAUUGAAAAUGUUUUACACUUUGUUUUGAGUCGAGAGAAAAGAGCUAUCCGUUAGAUGGAGCCGCCCCAUGGAAAGGCCACCAUUAGGAGGAGAGGGCUAUCAACGAGAUGGAGCUAGUUCUCGAUUCACCCAUUUGACUAUUUUCAAUAAAGUUGGAUUUUAUACUUACUUUUAAUUAAAUGGAAUUUGAUUUUAUAUUCUAUUUGGAAUUGAUUAUUUCGAUUCCUUUUUCAUUAUACGCGAUUCUAUAUUUUCUUUAAGUUGUGGAUUUGAGUUCACUUCCUUACGACAUUGGAAUUUUAAUAUACUUUUAUUUGGUUUGAUUAAGUUAAGAUGUUUUCCGAAUUUUCAUGGCACACUCGAUUGUGAGUUUAUCAUAUUUUUAUACGGGUACUAGCUUUGUAAGUUAAAAAUUAGAUUUGAGAAAAAUAAAUAAUCGUGCUCUUGUGUGUUUCCCUUCUAGUCGGUGGUGGUUGUUGUCUCCUCACUAAGUCCUUGUGGCUUACUCUUUCUUUUCUAUUGUUUUUCAGAUUCCCGAGCAGCUGAGUAGGAAGCUGCAAGUAGAUCCGAAGUCCAUCAUUUCUAUUUUUGGUAGGCCUCCUUGAUGGAUGGCUUUUUAUUUAUGUAAAUAUUCAGUCAAUGUAUCUGCAGCUAUAUGGAGUUAGAGUGCCUCAUUUUGAGUUGUAAAGUUAUGUAAAAAUUGUCUUUUUGAGCUUCUGGAUGAUGUGACAGGUUUAUGGACAGGAUUCAUAUCUUGGUAACGUUAAAAAUACAAGGGAUACUCUGUCCAAAUUUUUGUAAAUAUUAUUUUGAUGAAAAAAAUGGAUAUCUGUAAAUUAUUUAUGUCAUUUGUCGAGUUUGGUCGUUAGGCUUGCCGGACUAAAAUGUACAAGUCUGUGCGCCGGUCACGAUUUUGUGCUUGGGUCGUGACAUAUACUAGCAAAGUUUCAUCCACAAAUUUUACUUGUGUAAACUUUUCAGGUAACUAUUGUCACUUCGUUUAUCUAAAAAAAAAAUACAUAAAAAUUGAUUAAUAAAUAACUCAUUAAGCUUGAUCCCAAAAAAAUAAACACAUUUGCGCAAAUCUAUUACCCCAAAUCAUAUUGAUGAACAAUAAGCUUAUUAACUUUUACCCUUUAAUAAUUUCAUAGCACCCACCCAUCACUCUGCCCCCUGUCAUAUAUGCACAUGGCAGUAGGCAUGUCACAAAUUUUGGCAUCUUUUUCAUAACAAUAAAAGAAGCUCCAUUACACCAUGAGGAUACAUUUUGGUUACUUCUAACCAAAGAAAAACAAAAAGGAAAAUUUUGCAUUUCAAAUAUCAUCAAAUGACAUGUUAAUUGAGUCUCACAUUUGAUUUAACUUGUGCUUCCAACAGUAGUAGUAUCAACAGGACCCGGAUUCCGUGCAUUAAUAAAAGUCCAUAGUUUCAACUUUCAUGCAAUCGUUAAACUCCACCCUUUGUGAUCGAAUGGUUCAGAUUACAGAUACACGAAUUCGGUUUUCAACCAUCUCAACCGUAGAUUUAAAUCAGACUAAAUUGGUGCAGUUACUACUGGGAAUCCAUUUCCAUAUCAACUCCAUGAAAAACACUAAUAAAUAGACUAAAAGAAUUAUCCCACAUCAUGUACAACUAAAGAUUCCAAUGACUUCCGUUUCCAUCACAAACCAAAACAAAGAAACCAAAAGCCUAACAUUACAUCAUAUAUUGGUUGUUCUAAAUUACAUCCUUGACCAUGGUUAACAAUUUGGAGAGGGAAGGGAAAAGACAAGAAUGCCCCACAAAAUAAAAACUUCUCAAUUCAUUAUGCAGGAAUGUGAAAGUGCACAACUCUUUCCAUAUCAUCUUUAAAAUUUUGAUAAUGAAAAGCAUCAUGGAUGCAAAGGUAGUGCCUUUCCCUUUCAAUGAUUAACCUAAUCAACUUAGGGUAAUAUUGACAUCAUCACCAAGUGUGAAAAAAUCGAAGAAUACUUCAAGAUGAUAUCGGUUCGUAAGGGUAUGAUAACCAGGGGUGCUUUAGAGCUUCAGAUGCAGAAGGUCGCUUCUUCGGGUUAACCUCGAGCAAAUGAGAAACGAAGUCAAUGAAGCCUUGGUCCCCCAUCGGUAAUCUAUGCCUCAGAUGUCUUCUUUAGAAUCAGGUAUUCUAAUAUGUUGCUUUCCUGCAUAUCAAUACCCAAUACCUCACUGAAUAAUUUUUCCAUGAUAAUUAAAGAUACAAUGCAUGUUUUAUAUGAGCAUGUUUGGAUUGGGUUAUUUGAGCCUAUUAUCAACUCGCAUAAGUACUUGUGAGACUAUUUGAGAGAAUUUAUGGAAACAACUUAUGACAUGUUCAUAAGCUAUUUUCAAGUAAUUUCCGUAAACUCUCUAGGAUUGCAAAUGAAAUCAGCUUACAGCUUAUAUGAAAAUAAUUUGACUUUAUUUUAUCUUCUAUUAUAGAAAAUAACAUAUAUAAACACUUAUAUGAGAAGUGUCUAUGUUGUAAGCUUAAUUAAGUUGUUUAUCCAAACAUGAUACAAGCGAAUGAAAAUAAUCAAUUUUAGAAAUUUUAGGGAGCUAUCUCUUGAUUUGCUUUUUGAAGGCGAUGCAAAUGAAAAGAUAUCGAAAAUUUUAAAAUUGUUCGAUGAUGCAUUUCAUAUGCAAAUACAUUUUAGAAAUGAAUUUCUUACCUGAUUCCUCUCAUAAAGCAUAUGAUUUUUUGUGAAGUACUUAUAAGUAUCUCGUCCUUUUGCUAGCAUACUUUGACCAAUUGGACCGAUGAUCCCAAUUACCCUAGCUAGUAAUGUGGCCGAGGAAUCGUUUUGGAAUAAGACCUACAAUAAGCAUAGUUGAGUUCAUUAAGAAUCAAGAUUCAUGAGUGUAUUCACUAAAAUGGAUACAGAUUUGACAUCCGCUUUCACCCAAAAAUGUAAAAAAUCCUACAACUGCAAGAACACGUAACUUAAAAGAAAUUCACAGUACCUAAUAUGUCACAAAUCAUUUUCACGUCUAAAGAUACAGGGCGACUUGUUCUGUUCUAUUCUCUAUGUAGUUCCACUAAGACAACAGAAACUCACUAGCAUUGUCAAUCGUAGAUUGCAAAAAAUAUUGGUUUGUUCCGAUUCUGCUACACAGUAGUUCAAUAGUGCCACUAGAGCAACUAUUUGACAAUAUUUUGUACUAUAUAAUGCGUAAUACAGAAUAAUAAUGAUUUGUUCAAAUUCUGCUACGUUAUAGCCGCUAUUUAACAACACCCAAAUCAUUUUCAAAUUUAAAAUAUACUUCAUCAGUUUAUUUCAGGUACUGUUUGGAACACGAAUAGAAUUAAAUGGGACGGCUUAUUUAUUCUUCAACAAUUUUUCUGUUCUAUUUUUUAUUUGCUUCGAAAACGUAGAAUAUAAAUUAUUCUAUCCUAUUCUAAACUGACUACCUAAAACUUCCUUAAGACUAAUAGUGAUACAAUACAACAUAACAGAGCAAAUACGACUUACACAAAUUGGCAUCUAAACAAUGCCAUCACCGGGGGAAAAACACGAAUCAAGGAUCAUGCAGUAAAUUUUUCUGUUCUAUUUUUUAUUUGUGAAGAUUGCUUCAGAAACAGCAGAAAAUAGAUAAGACUUUGCCUUUGAUUUUCGCUGCUUUCUCUCCUUAUGAUUUUUGAUUUGUGCAAUUGUUGGAUUGUCUGGUAAUGGCUCAAUCUCAUAAUCAUCCUCAACAGCCUCCCAAAGAUCAUGAGGGUCAAGAUAAGCCUCCAUUUUGGUUGCCCAAAGGUGAUAGUUCUCACCCUCAAAGAUUGGCAAUUUUAUGGCUGAGUUAUCGGAGUGCAUUUUCAACUCUUUGGUAAGUGUUUGGGUGUUUAGUGGAACUCUCAACCUCACCAGGUCCCUCAAGAACAAGAGUGCUCUUGAUACCACUGUUGGAAUUUAGAAAAGAAAUUAAGCAGAUUUAUGAGUUCUGAAAACUGAAACACACAAAUUUCAUUCCUUCUAACAACCUUUAAAUACAAGAAAUUCAUAAUCAGAAAUAAACAAAAGAAAAACUGCCUAUAAAUUUGUAACAGACAACAUAAAUCUAUAACCUCCCAUAAUUCCUAUAAUUAAAAUCAUAACAGUCAUAACCAUAAAUACUACAACAAACUCUAAUAAUAGGUUCUGAUCCAUAUUCUCAACAGAAACUCCCACUUCCACCAAUCUUUGCUUUUUAAGAUAAGGAUCUGUGAAUACCACAUUCUCCUCCUCCGUGUUGCUUUUCUCAUUCCACACGUGGAUUCCCAUUUGUGCAUAAACACUAUUCUCGUGAUCCUUCGACCUAAACUCCACAUGGAUCCAUUCACUUUUCAAAAGUCCUUUGUCCAUAUUAUACAUGUGUUGUCCUUUACAGAGUUCUUCCAAUUUCAUAUCAAACAAAGUUAUAUGGUCCGGGAACAAACGUUGAGAGCGAUAACAACCUAUCUCAAUUUCAUAUCCAUUCACAUAUAAACUGAAAUUUGAGGCCCAACGGCGUUCCGGAAGAAUAAAAAUACAAGAUAUAGAAGGGAUUUCUUUAUGAAACCAAAAAGAAAUUGUGUCUCCCCUGCUUUGGUGCUCAAACCAAUCUGGUAUCCCCAGCUCUGUUCCGUUUGGGAAAUCAAAACGAGUGCAUCGAGCCUCAUGUAGUUGCUGUUAGUAUGUAUGAAAUACAAAUAUAUAUAUUACACACUGUCAAAUAUAAAUAUAUAUGAAAUACAAUAAAAGAUGUCAAAUACUAUAGUGCAAUAAAAAACAACAACAAACCUGACUCAUUAACAUUCUUCUACAUGAUGAACUCAAUGAUUUGCAUUCAUAAGCAUAGAGACUUCCAAGAUUUGGUGGAAUCCCUCUAAUUUCCUCAAGGGACUUGCAGUACCUCACAAUAAUUUCCACAAGAUGGUGACUUUCACUAAGGCACUCUGGAAGAAUUUUGAAAUCGCUAUAUGAUAAAUCUAGAUAUGUCAUAUUAACACACCACUUGAGAAGUAUUGGGAGACAUUCAUCUGAGAGGUAGCAAUCGAAGAGAGAAAGCUUUGUCAUAUUUGAAAACACUAUUGAAUACAUCUUAUCAUUAUGUUCUGGGAACCUCAGGAUUCCAUAUGACACUGUGAACUCAUCAAGUUCACUGAGAUUUUGAAAUGAAAAUGGCAGUUUUCCUAUGGAAAUAUAAAAUAUAUCAAUCUCUUUUAUAUGUGCCAUCUUGCAUAAUAAUUCUGGAAAAUUUUCGAGACACGAGCCACCCAUGAGAUUAAGUUCCUUAAGAGAUGCCAAACCUAAAGGUGGAAAAUGUUUGAGCUUUCUGUAACCAGUUACACUUAACCUUUCAAGUUUACUUAGGUGUCCAAUCGAAUUGUGAAUUGUAAUUAAAUUCUUACAAUGUUCAAACGAUAACUUUUCUAAAUUUGAAAGGCUUGAGACAUCGGGUAUAUGUGUUAAAUAUUCACAAUCGUCCAAUGUCAAGAUUUUCAUAUUCUGGAACUUCUGCAUAAACACAAGAAAGAAACAAUAAAUAAACUAAAAAUCAAAGACUAAUAUUACUUUCAUACUGAUUUCUUUUGUUGACGGAAACAAAAUAACUGAAGUUAUUUCACUUGCCUUGUUUAAAAUACUAGUUGACAGACACUUCGAUAAACAUCCCUUCCAUUUCAAUACACUCAAACUUCUUGGUAGAUGCUUGAGACCUUCAGAAAAAUGGCCAUUUUCAAUGAUAACUGUUUUGAGUUUUGUCAUCUUCUUGAAGGCCUUUCCUUUCUUGUCUAUCACGGAUUCCAUGGAGUGGAGAUUCAUAUAUAUCAUUUCAAUUUUACUAGUUCCCUUUUAACAAAGAUAAAAACAUGAAUCAACCACAAUAAAAAUAAGAUAUAGAAAUAUUAACAUGUAAUUGAGUGAAAAGAAAUGCUAGUAUCAGAUGAUCAUAUUUAGUGCAAAUAGAGCAAAGUCGUAUUAAAACUAAAUAACAAAAUGAUCAUAGAUAUCAAUCUUACUCACAGUGUUUUCUCUUAAAACCCGAGUUAUAUCAUCCUGACAGCAUAACCUACUUCUUUCUCCAGGCUCUUUAGUUGAUUCUUGUCGGACGACUUCUUUACCCAUGUCCUCUAUCAAGUCAUGUAAUGUCACACAACCAUAUUCCCUAUAUUGGUUUAUGAGAGAUUUUUCAGCCAACACUGCUAGAUGAUGUGUUAUGGAAUGGCCAUAAUGAGCAUGAAGCAUAUAUUUGGCAUCUUCCCAUCCAUGUCCUUUGAAGCAACAAGCAAUGUCCAGAAAGACACUUUGCUCCUCUUCUUCCAAAGCAUCAUAGCUCACUCUAAGUAUCUUUUGGAUCUCUUUAUUGGGAAUCCUGUCAUACCCAUCUAAUAUAUACUUCCAUUCUUCUAUGUUCUUUCCAAACAAGUUAGAACCCACUAUUUCUAUAACUAACGGAAGGCCAGAAACAUAUGAAACUGCACGACUUAAAAUCUCUUUGUACCUUGAUGGAACAUUGUCACUUUUAAAAGCCAUCCACCUCAACAAUUCAAGAGCUUCUGUCCCAUUCAACCCUUUUACUGCAUACGUUUUUUCUAUCCCAUGAUGGUCUAGUAAGUGUUUAUCUCGGGUGGUGAUGAUGACUCUGCUUCCAGGACCAAACCAAUCGAGUCCUCCAGCCAAAGCCUGUAGCUGAUCCAGUUUGUCAACAUCGUCGAGAAUCAAAAGAAUCUUCUUUCUACAUAGCCUUUCCUUAAUGAUUGGAAUUCCGUCACUAACAUGGUCUAAAUUAAUUUCCGAUCCAGUUGUUUUAAAAAGGAGCUUCUCUUGGAGAUGUUCCAAGUUAUUUUUAGCUGAAUUCAUUCUCACAUUAUGAAGAAAACAUAAACCUUCAAAUUGAUCAGCAACCAAAUUAUAGAUUGCUCUUGCAAGUGUUGAUUUUCCCAAGCCUCCAAUCCCAAAAAUUCCAACCAUAUGGACCCCAUCAUCAGAUCCAUUAUCAAGAAUUGAUUUCACUCUUUGUACUUGAGACUGUAAUCCAACAGGGUAAUUGGCAACAUGUAAGGGCUGACGACUGAUCUUGUUGGAGAUGUAUUUGACUAUCUCUUCAAUAAACUUGUAUUCAUAUCUACUCGUGUCGAGUAAGAAAAGUUAGUAUGAAACAACAUCACAAUCACAUCUAUGUACUCAGAAUAUAUUAUAAAUUUCUAACUAUUUCGACAUAUAAAUAACUAAUACAAAAGGGAAAUAUAGGAUUUAAGUAAAGUUGGGUACCUGGGAGGACUAUCAUGGUAGCCGGACAAGUUAGCAGCCUGGCUCAGAGCCUCUUUCCAUCCCUGCAACCUCUCCAUGUUUUUCGGAUCAUUUUGAAACCUCUUUUCAUGCUCAGCCAAUGCUUUGCCAUAACUACCUUUAUGAUGUCUCACAUUAGUUGGUUCCACACCGAAGAAAACAGGCAAAACGAGGCGACCCUUUGUCUCGUAGCAGUGAAUUAUGUGGACAAGUUCGUCCAAACAAAAUGAAGAAGAUGCAUAGUUGAGAGAAAACACAGGAAUAAAAAUCCUAGAUUCAUCAAUGGCCUUGAGGAGUGAUGGUGUGAUUUCAUCUCCUCUUUGAAGAUCAUUGUCAUCAAUGAAGGUAUGGAUUCCCUUGUCAGUAAGAGCCUUGUAGAGAUUUCCGGUAAAACCGUGCCGAGUGUCAGUGCCCCUAAAACUGAUGAACACUUGGUAAGUGAAUCCAUAGGAAAAUGAAGUGGAUGAGGAAGGUGAUUGUAUAGCCAUGAGAAUUGAGAGAAAUAGGAUGAAAAAGAGUUUGAGAAUGCAGAAUAUGAAUGAGUAAAUUUUGUGUUCUGUGAUGUGAAGUCUUUGAUAAGUAACUUUAUAACAAGGAGAAAAAUGGUCUUUGAAACUUUCCUGACCACUUCCUAUAGCCGUGUGGACCAAUAUCGUUGUACUGCUUUUAUUUUUAUUCAUCUGCUGAAUGUAAUUUUUCACUUUGUUACUUAAUUACUCAGUGUGUUAGAUAAAAAUAAAUUAGGUUAGCAUAGAUAUGAAAUAUUAUAGUUUCUAUUUAUUUUGAAAAUAUUACCACUUGAACCAAAUGGUUAAUUAACCUUGCACACACAAUUAUUCCAGUAUAUAUUUAGAAACUUCCUUCCCAUUUCAUAUGUCUGUAAAGUAACCAUCACAUCCUUCUUCCAUGUAAUUUCUUUAGAGCAAUGUCAAUGUCUUAAUGAAAAGAAAGGAAAAACAAGGCAAAGUUUCAUCCACAAAUAUCUACUUGUGUAAAUACUUAAGAGUUAUUUAUGAGUUUCCAUUGAGAAGAAAUAGAAGCAAGAAGUGUGAAACUUCCUUAGCAUUUCUUAUGUAUAUACGUGUGAACCAAUAACACAAUAAAAUAUAUUUACCAACUCUUUCUUUUUUCUCUUGUCUAUUUCCGCGUGGGUUGUGUUGUCCCAAAAAGACUACCUUAUAAAUUUAAAAUUCAACCCUUUAGGUGUUAGUGUUCUUCUUUCUCCCUAACUUUAAAAUUAACAAUUCCUUUACUUUUUUCUGAUAUCUUUUUGGAUAUUUUUUUUUUAUAUUGCAAUGACGUUCUCCAUAUUUUUUUCUAUUUAUCUAAAAAAGAUAUUAAGGUUUUUUAUUUGGUUAAAGACUAUCACCUAGUGGGUAACUUCCUUCCCAUUUCAUAUCUUCGGUAAAGUAAAAAAGUAUCAUUUUUCCUACAUCAUUCUUCCAUGUAAUUUCUUAAUCCCUCAGCAAGAAUAGAUUUGAUGUGAUCUUAUAAUAAGCAAGAACUAAGAAGUCACAUAAGUGAUCAUAUAAUACUCAUAAUUAUAUGGUUCAAAUUUCUUAGACUUUAAAUAGAUAACUCUAAAUCAAAAUACUCAUUAAAUUAUGGUUUCUAGUUCAAAUUUGCUGAUUGGUCUCUAGUUUUGAAUUUGGAAGGCCCUCUAUAUGUGAGGAAAUUUAUUUGGGUGUAUAUUAAUUGUAUUUUUUACGAACUAUAAUAAAGCUUGUAAAAAAAAAAAUACUUUACCUUCAAAAUUGUGUUCAACGUGGGGAUUAUGGUGAAAAUACUUGACAUAUUUUUGUUACUUUUCUAAUUGCUACAGAGACUUGAAGAGGUUUAGGUGUAUGGAUUUGAUUGAACCAUAUAUUAUGACAGUUGAUGGUAUUGUUAAUUGAUUUUUUACUGUUGCAAACAAAUUGCAUAUGGUAAAAAGCGUAUAGUAUGUGUCUGCCAUCAUCGUAAUCUUGUGUUUGAGUCUCCAAAAUACCGGGUCAAUAUCACAUAAUUGUGAGACUUGAGAGGUCAAAAGUACAAUUAAACCUAAAUCAUAUUGUUUAGUCUUUUGUGUUUGAGUCUCCAUUAUUUCUGAUGUGUUGGAAAAAGAAAGGUUGACUUGAAGUCAACAUCAGAAUGAAGUAAGUAACCAUCACUUUUCCUACAUCCUCCUGCCAUGUAAUUUCCAUAAAGCAAUGUAAAUGUCUUAAAGAAAAAGAAAGGAAAAAAAGGUAAAAGUUUGAGGGAAACAUCAAUAUGAAAGGACCUCAAAAAUCAUAAAGCUUAAAAACAGUACCUAAAGGGAUCAAAACGUCUUGAUUCUUAAUCCCAUUGUAAACUAGUUUGUCAACAACACUCCUAUAAGCAUGGUUGUAAACUUUUUUUUUUACUGGAGCAUGGUCGUAAACUUAAGCAAGUAAAAACAGCAAAUUCCAAAAAUAUUUUAGAAUGCAUCAUAUCUAACACUAGAUCACAUUAUAUCUGACCAAUAGCAGUUCAUUAAGUCGGAUUCUAGAGAACAAAGGUCACGACUCUUGCAAAAGGAUCUCAUAAAUGUUGGUUCUUAGAUUUAGUUCUUUAUCACACAUUACUUCUUCUAGAUCAAAGCGAUCUUUUCUAGUAAGGACAGAGUGGUUUGAGAAAUCCAUCCAACCAUAACCUUUUUGACCUGGUACGCUACAUAAAAUAAUGUCAAAUCAUUUUCAUAUAAGCUAAGUUGCAUUCAAAUAAGCUAUAAGCCGAUUUAAAACAAGUUUCACAAGUGCUUCUAUCAGUUUAUAAGCUCAAAUAAGUCAAUCGAAACAAACCGUAAAUAGUUAAUUAAUUUUCAAAAUCCAUUAAAUGCAUGAUUAGGCCUAACAGCACCAAAUUGACUACAGAAACAGAAAUAAUUAAAAUCAUAACCAAAACCAUUAACUUAAAUUCAAAUUUUAAUUGCUCCAUCCAAUAAACCUCAUAACCAGCCAAAGCUCUACUCUAGCACGCGACUUCCUUGAACGCAAUUCUCUUAUCACACCGAUCACGCUUCCACUUCUUCUUCUUGCUUGUCUACCUCUCCUCUCUCUCCAUUCCAUCGGUGGUAAGAGAUUUUCAUCGAUGUCACGUUACUGAGCCAUAGAGGAACGGAAGAGAAGAUUUUGGUUCGUCGGAGGACGGUGGCACCUUCUUUUGUUCCACCGGAUAAGUAAUUGAUCAUUUAAAAUUUUACAAGCUAUAGCCAUGGAAAACUGGUCAUGACAUGAACUUAAUUUUUGAAAUUAAGAGGAUCAGAGGAAUGUUUUAAUUUGAGGUAAAAAUUCAUUUAAUUGACUUAAAAAACACGCUUUAAAAUGAAAAAUAAGUUCACCAUAUCCCAAAGAAAAGAGGUAACUAUAUUUUUCUCUAGAGCAAUUACUAGCAGCACAGAACCAACCACUGGACCUGAAUAGUGCAAUAGGGAGGCAUAUUCACAAUAUCUUACCACUUCUAAAUAGAUAUGUUUGAUUCAAUGGAAUCCAGACUAUUCUUUGAUAGCCAGUGACAGACAAAUAGACUACUUUUUCAGUUGAAAACUUGAACCAGAGAAUAACAGAAGUUACAUGUAACAGAAAUUACAUAAGUAGCCUAGCAAUGAGUAAGAAAUAUUAGUGAAUUAGCCUAUUUUAAGUAUUAGUUUUACUUAAAAUACGUACGCUAAUUAUCCUGACUUUUAGUGUUUUUGUGCCUUAUAAAAGAAAAACUAAUAUUUCUUGUAUUGAUAUCAAAAGCUAAUAUAUCAACUUUGCUAAGGAUUUAUUAAAGAUUGUUGCAACAUCAUUCAAAUAAUUUAAAAAAUCAACAAUCAUUGAACAAAAAAAGGUUGCAACAUCAAUGUUCCUGAAAUUUGCUUUUUUCAGGACAUAUUUACAAGCAGGUAAAAUGUUCAAAUACAUUAUCCAAAUUGUGUACUAAGAUGGAAAUUCUCAAAGCACUCCAACUGAGCUGCAAAGCAUAUCAUUACUCACUGUCCUUUCGAACAACCAACGGAUUCUGUGCUGUAAGCAACCUCUAGACUUGUCGCAUGACAAUGCAAAUAGCCAGAUGACUACAUGUCGUUUCCUGACAAUGUACAGUCAAAAAACAAGAAAAUACUUAGUUUUGGUUAGAGAAAAGUUGCGUAAAUUACAGACAACAGGCUGAAAUCAUCGGGAAUGGAUUCUCCAUGUUCAACUUUAUGAAUGAUUUUUAGAAACAUCACUUUCUCAUUUUAUGAUAUAAGAUGAAGUUUGUAUCUAAUUUGACCUGUGGGAUAAAAGCUACACGUUUACAUUAACGGUCUUUUUCAAAUAAUCUUUCAUAAAGAUUAUGAUUAAAACCAUUUAUGCUUUCGAAGUAUAAAGAUCUUACUUGUAAAACCAUUCAUCUUGGAUCCAACACAAUUUAUUAGAUGUUGUGUGAAAGUGGCUAACCUUUCAUUAGACCUGAUUGCUUCUGAUGUCUCUGAAGCACCCUUAUGUAAUAGUCAAACAAAAGUUCAAGUUGAUAGCUACGGAUUCUCCAUUCUGCAGGACACAAGCAUUUAUAUAUCACUGUAAGCCUUUUGCGUGCUUAUAAGUUAGUGGAACGUCAACUAUGUAUCAUGUUUCAAUUGCAAUCACGUUAAAUUUAUUCUAAAAUCCAACUACUUUGUUUAGCCUAUUAAUUAUUUCACUCAAAAGGUCCAUUCAAAAUCCCAUAUUAAGAUACAAUAACUCAUGAAGAAUUCAACAUCAAAUGUCAACUUUAUAAGCAUCCCCAAAUGUAAAUAGAAACAAUAUUUUAAGAUUGCACAAACAUAAUCCAGAAAAUCUUAAAUCAUGUAUCAUCAUUUGAAUAACUUCUCCAACUAGAAACAACGAAUUUGUAAUUGACUAUAUACAGAAAUUAAUCAACAUUUGUAAACAGAAAAUCACAAACCUCCAAUGUUGAGAUUGAGAGUUAACUUUAUGAUGGAGCUAGACCAAGGAAUGUACCCCACAUCAUUCUUUCAUCUUGUGCAUUGUUUAAAAUUUCAAUCUCAUCCCCAUGCGUGUUGCUUUUUGAUGCACCUAGACUAAGGAAUGUACCCCAUGUCUUUUUUUGUUCCUCUUUCUUUAAAUCCUGUUGUUGCAAUGAAGCAUUGAUAUCCUCCUCUUCCUCUGUCUCUGAAACUCCCAUUUCCACCGAUCUUUGCUUUUUUAGAGGAGGCACAAAUUGUGAUAAUGAAGUAUUAUUGCUAUAAGGGUUGAGAUAUUCAUCUAAUUUCAUCUUUCGAAUAUAAGGAUCGAUGAAUACCACAUUCUCCUCCUCCGUGUUGCACUCAGGAAGAAUUUUGAAAUUGUUGUACAUUAAGUCUAGAGAUGUCAUAUUAACACACCACUUGAGAAGUAUUGGGAGACAUUCAUCUGAGAGGUUGCAAUGGCAGAGAGUAAGUUGUGUCACAUUUAAAAACACUAUUGAAUACAUCUUAUCAUUCUGUUUUGGGAACCUCAGCAUUCCAUUUACCACUGAUAACUCAUCAAGUUCACUGAGAUUUUGAAAUGAAAAUGGCAGUUCUCCUAUAGAAGUAUGCUGCAACCAAAUAUUAUCUAUAUUUGUCAUCUUGCAUAAUAAUUCUGGAAAACUAUCGAGACUCUCACAAUAACGGAGAUUCAAUUCUUUAAGAGAUGCUAACCCUAAAGGUGGAAAACGUUUGAACUCCCUGCAACCAAAUGCACUUAACCUUUCAAGUUUAUUUAGGUGGCCAAUCGAAUUGUGAAUCGUAAUUAAAUUAUCACAAUAUUCAAACGAUAACUUUUCUAAAUUUGAAAGGCCUGAGACAUCGGGUAUAUGUGUUAAAUAUUUACAAUGGUCCAAUGUCAAGACUGUCAUAUCCGGGAACUUCUGCAUAAACACAAAGGAAGAAACUAUAAAUAAAUUAAAAAGCAAACACUAUACUUUCAUAGUGAUUUCUUUUAUGUUGUCGAAAAAGAAAUCAUUGUACAUUAUAAAUAUAUACAGUUAUAAAAUGAAGUUAUUUCACUUGCCUUGCUUAAAAUACUAGACGAUAGAGACUUUGAUAAACAUCCUUCCCAUUUCAAUGCUUUCAAACUGCUUGGAAGAUACUUGAGACCUUUAGAACAAUGGCCAUUUUCAAUGAUAAGUGUUUUCAAUCUUGUCAUCUUCUUGAAGGCCAUUCCUUUUUGGUCUAUUAUGGAUUCCAUGGAGUGAAAAUUCAUAUACAUCAUUUGAAUUUUACUAGUUCCCUUUUAUAAAAAAUAAAAAUAAAUAAAUAAAUAAAUAACAUGAAUCAGCCACAACAAAUAUAAGAUAUAGAGAAACUUACUUCGAAUUAAGUAAUAAAAAAUACUAGUAUGAGAUGGUCAUAUUUAGUCCAAAAAGAGCAAAGUCAUAUUAAAACUAAAUAACAAAAUGAUCAUAGAUAUCAAUCUUACUCACAGUGUUUUCUUUUAAGACAUUAACUAUAUCAUCAUGGCAGCAUAACCUACUUCUUUCUCCAGGCUCUUUAAUUGAUUCUUGUCGGACGACUUCUUUACCCAUAUCCUCUAUCAAGUUAUGUAAUGUCACAUAACAAUAAUUUGUGUCUAUGAGUGACUUUUCAGCCAACACUCGUAGAUGAUGUGUUAUACAAUGGUCAUAAUGAGAAUGAAGUAUAUUUUCAACCUCUGUCAAUCUAUACCCUUUUAAGCAACAAGCAAUGUCAAGAAAGACACUCUGCUCCUCUUCUUCCAAAGCAUCAUAGCUCACUCUAAGUAUCUUUUGGAUCUCUUUAUUGGGAAUCCUGUCAUACCCAUCUAAUGUAUUCUUCCAUUCUUCUAUGUUCUUGCCAAACAAGUUAGAACCCAUUACUUCUAAAACUAACGGAAGGCCAGAAGCAUAUGCAACUGCACGGUUUAAAAUGUCUUCAUAACCUGAAGGAACGUUGUCAUUUUUAAAAGCCAUCCACCUCAACAAUUCAAGAGCAUCUAUCCCAUUCAACCCUUCUACUGGAUAUGUUUUUUCUAUCCUAUGAGAGGCUAGUAAGUGUUUAUUUCGAGUGGUGAUGAUAACUCUGCUUCCAGGGCCAAACCAAUCAACACUACUAAAAAAACAAAAAUUAGUGAGGGAAAUUUUGUGAGGGAAAACGUGAAAUCCCUCUCUAAUUCCGUCACUAAAUUUUGCGACCAUGGAAUUUGUGAGGAAUUUCAUUUUUUCCGUAACUAAUUUUGCUUUUUCUACUAGUGCAAGUCCCCCAGCCAAAGCAUGCAGUUGCUUCCUAUCGUCAACAUCAUCGAGAAUCAAAAGAAUCUUCUUUCUACACAGCCUUUCCUUUAUGAAUGGAAUCCCCUCACAAACAUGAUCUAACUUUAUUUUCGAUCCAGUUGUUUUUAGAAGAAGCUUCUCUUGGAGAUGUUUCAAGUCAUUUUGAGCUGAAUUCUCUCUCACAUCAUGAAGAAAACAUAAACCUUCAAAUUGAUCAGCAACAAAAUUAUAAAUUGCUCUUGCAAGUGUUGAUUUACCCAAGCCUCCAAUGCCAAAAAUUCCAACCAUAUGGACCCCAUCAUCAGGUCCCUCAUCAAGAAGUGAUUUCACUUGUUGUACUCGAGACUGCAAUCCAACAGGGUAAGUGGCAACAUGUAAGGGAUGUCGACUGAUCUUGUUGGAGAUGUAUUUGACUAUCUUUCCAAUAAGCUUGUAUUCAUAUCUAUUCAUGUGCAAUAAGAUAAGUUAGUGUCUAACAACAUCCCAAUCACAUCCAUGUACUAAGAAUGUAUUAUUCAUUUCUAACUAUUUCGACAUAUAAAUAACUAAUAGUACUUGUUUAAAACUGUAUAUAAAAAAGGUAUUUCCCUUUAAACUUUAAGAUGAGAUUAUUGUGAAAUUGAAGUUGAAGAAAUAAAAUAGAAAAGGGAAAAAUAGGAUUUAAGUAAAGUUGGGUACCCAGGAGGACUAUCAUGGUAGCCGGACAAGUUAGCAGCCUGGCUCAGAGCCUCUUUCCAUCCCUGCAACCUCUCCAUGUUUUUCGGAUCAUUUUGAAACCUCUUUUCAUGCUCAGCCAAUGCUUCACCAUAACUACCUUUACGAUGUCGCACAAUAGUAGGUUCUACACCAAAUAAAACAGGCAGAACGAGGCGACCCUUUGUCUUGUAGCAGUGAAUGAUGUGGACAAGUUCGUCCAAACAAAAUGAAGAAGAGGCAUAGGUGAUAGAAAACACAGGAAUAAAAAUCCUAGACUCUUCAAUGGCCUUGAGAAGUGAUGGUGUGAUUUCAUCCCUUCUUUGAAGUUCAUGAUUGUCAAUGAAGGUGUGGAUUCCCUUGUCAUCAAAAGCCUUGUAGAGAUUGCCUGUGAAACCGUACCGAGUGUCACCUCCUCUGAAACUGAGGAAUACUUGGUAUUUGUACUCAUAGGAAAUUGAAGUGGAAGAGAAAGGUGAUUGCAUAGCCAUGAGAUUUUAGAGAAAUUAGAUGAAAAAAGAGUUUGAGAAUAUGAAUGAGAAGUUUUUGUGGUCUGUGAAGUCUUUGAUAAGUAACUUUAUAACUUAUGAGAAAAGUUAUGACAGAAAUGGUAUGUGAAACUUCCUAUAGCCGUGUGGACCAAUCAUUGUACUACCACCUCUUCUUCUUGCUAAUUUCUUCCAUGUUGUUACUGUUACUGUUCAUCUUUUGGACAAAUCUUAUUCUUCUGCUGCAUUUAAUUUUUCACUUUGUUACUUAAUUAAUCAGUGUGUUAAAUUACAUGAGCUUAAAAUAAAUACAAGCUAUGCCAUUCAAACAUACAAUUAGUAGGCAUGUCACAAAUUUUGGCAUCUUUUCCAUUACACCAUCAGGAUACAUUUUGGUUACUUCUAACCAAAGAAAAACAAAAAGGAAAAUUUGCAUUUCAAAUAUCAUCAAAUGACAUGUUAAUUGAGUCUCACAUUUGAUUUAACUUGUGCUUCCAACAGUAGUAGUAUCAACAGGACCCGGAUUCCGUGCAUUAAUAAAAGUCCAUAGUUUCAACUUUCAUGCAAUCGUUAAACUCCACCCUUUGUGAUCGGAUGGUUCAGAUUACAGAUACACUAAUUCGGUUUUCAACCAUCUCAACUGUAUUGUGAUCGGAUGGUUCAGAUUACAGAUACACUAAUUCGGUUUUCAACCAUCUCAACCGUAUAUUUAAAUCAGACUAAAUUGGUGCAGUUACUACUGGGAAUCCAUUUCCAUAUCAACUCCAUGAAAAACACUAAUAAAUAGACUAAAAGAUUGUUCACUAAUGCAUUUCAUAUGCAAAGAAACUUUAAAAAUUAAUUUCUUACCUGAUUCCUCUCAUAAAGCAUAUGAUUUUUUGUGAAGUACUUAUAGGUAUCCCGUCCUUUUGCUAGCAUACUUUGACCAAUUGGACCGAUGAUCCCGAUUACCCUAGCAAGUAAUGUUGCCGGGGAAUCAUUUUGAAAUAAGACCUACAAUACAACAAGCAUAGUUGAAUAUCAAUAGGGAAAGAAAAAUUUAUGGGUGUAUUUAACACAAGAGAAACCAAAUAAAGCACUGUACUAUAACAGAUACAGAUUCAAUAUCCGCUUUCACAGUUUCACCCAAAAAAGAAUAAUAAUCCUACAACUGCAAAGAGCAUACAACAAAAAAGAAAUUCACUGAGCCUGAUACGUCACCAAUCAUUUUUACGUCUACAAGAUACUUUGUCAAGUUAUUUAAGUCAUCAUCGUUUCACACACAUAAUAGAUUAAGAUAACAUGUCCUGUUCUACUGUCCAUAUAGUUCCACUAAAACAACACAGAAACUAACUUGUUUUCCCAAUCAUAGAUAGCAGAAAAUAGUGGUUUGUUCAAAUUCUGCUAUUCAACAGUUCUAUAGCACCACUACAGCGAUAAUGCAUAACAAUGGUGAUUUCGUUCAAAUUCCACAUCAUUUUCACAUGUAAAAUACACUUCAUCAGUUCAUUUGAGUGGAACACAAAUGGAAUGAAAUGGGACAGCUUGUUUUGGUUCAACAUUUUUAUUUUAUAUCAUUUUAUGUUCUACUUUUUACAUGCCUGAAACACGUAGAAUAUAAAUUAUUCUAUCCUACUCUAACCUGUCUACCAGAUACCUACUCUAACCUGUCUACCAGAUACUUCCUAAGAGUGAUUCAACAAAAGUUGGUAUCUAAACAAUGCCAUCACCAGGGGAGAAAAUGAAAUUUCAACGAUCAACAGUCAAUUUCAGUCUAAAUUAGACCUAAUGUAUUAGAGAAGAAAACUUGAGCAUUUUUAUGUACCUCCAACACGAAUUUGACAUGAAUCUUAACAUGCUUAAGUUUGAAAACUAUAUAUUAUACUUACAUUGCCAGUACAAAGUUCUGCCAAGAUGCAUCCAAGGGACCAGAUAUCAAUCUUCUUGUCGUAUGAAAGCCCGAGAAUAACCUCGGGAGCACUAUAGGACCUAGACUGAACAUAUGAGCAAAGGUGAUCUGUCUCAAAACAACUACUUCCAAGAUCAAUGACCUUCACCUCACAUCGGCUGUAGCUUUUAACCAAAAUAUUCUCCGGCUUCAAGUCACAAUGUAUUAGUCCAAGGUUAUGUAAAUACUGAAGUGCUUCCAAACAUUGAAUGGUAAUUGACUGCAAAAACAAAUCAAGACAAGUUUAUAAUGUUUUUAGUGUGACAGGAGUAGAAUCUAUGUAUACCUGUACAUAAAGAGAAUACUAAAGUUUGCUGUAGCUUUUUCUUCCAAUUUCACCCUUCAUUUAAACUCUUCUUUGUACAUUUUUACCCUUCAAAUUUGAUCUAAUCUAAUCCUAAUUAAAUUUUAAAUCAAAUCUAAUAAAAUCCUUAAAUCAAUCUAAAAAAUCAAAUCUAAACCAACCUUAAUUCAAUUUUGAAUUAAAAAUAUCUUAAUCAAAAUAAAAAUAACAAUACUAAAUAAUAAAAUUUCGUGCAGGGCAACAACAGAAAGAAAUGAAAGGUGGUAAGUCAGAUGAUUAAGUGAAUCGAUAUAUCUCAACAUCACUUUGUACAUAGCUUAACGUUUAGUCCUCGUAAUGUAAUUCAAUUCUUUCAAAAAUAUGACACCAGUGUGAAAAAUUAUAUUUUAUAACAAAUCCUGGAAUGUAUUGAAAAAUACCAUAGCCACAAACACAUUAAGUGGCUAUAGAAGAAGUAAAAAGUAAAUAUCAAUACCACAGCAACAACCUUUAUUCAGUUAUAUUAAAGAAGAAAGUCAACGUCAAGUCAGAACAAAUAAAUAUUUAGUCAUCUAUAUAUCUCGUUAUCAAAUUAAUGUUAAAAUUGCCUAGGAAGGACAGUAUCUAAUGUUGCACUAAUAGAUGAGACGUAAAAUGUAAUAGUAUUAACAAGAUCAAUAGCACAUGCAAAAUCACUUACUCUAUAAUAGAAAUAAUCAUAUAACCGCAAAAUGUGAUACUUGUCUCCAGGAUCAUGCUUAUUGACAUACUUGAGGAGUUUGAUCUCAUCAAGGCUUUGAUCAAAGAAAUCCUUGUUGUUCUUUAUAAUUUUAGUACAAACAUCCACGCCUGUGUGCAGGUCAUGAGCUUGUAUAGCUUCACUAAAUGCAGCAGAUCCCAGAUACUCGGUGACAUGAUAGCGACCAGCUAUUACAGAAUUUAAAACAACAUGGAAAUUCUUGUCCUCUUCAAAGCCAGUUCUGAACAACAAAACAUAGUUUUAGAUAGCAUGUCAAAGCCAAAAGGAGAAACACCAUGGAACAAUGACAAGAAUAUCCAUUGUGCAACAUAACAAAAGUAUCUACAUAGACGAGUUCAUUGAGCCUUCUGACAUGGCAUAAAGUACAAGUGCACAAUAUUUAUAAUGAAAAAUAAUUAAUUUUAUUCAUCUCAAAUCAUUAAUAUACUCGGAUUUGUAUUUUAACAAAGCAAGGGAUUUUUUACGGAUCAAGAAUGAAAUAGAAACUCUGCUGCCAUCUUAGUUUCACUUUAUUUUCAUCAUUAAUACAACCAAAAAAUUCACAAAAUGUUGUUUGUGCUUGCUAGUGUGGAUUGAAUUAAUGCCUGUUAUCAACUGAUUAUUGUAUCAUAAAUUUAAAUGUAAAGAGAUUGAAGGUUUCAAGUUCCUCCUCCUGAGCCUUUAUUUGCCUUACCUGCUCUUGCACAGCAGCAAUCUCUUCAUCCUCUUGUGAAACACCUAAAUCAUCUUCCCUUGUAAUGUCAACUUCUUCAUCAUCCUUUUCUAGCUUGACAUGCUCUUUAUCAGCGUACCCGUAAUUAUCGACAGUAGUUGGAGACGAGUUCGAAGAUCUAACCGCGUGAGCAUUAUUCUCAUCCCUAGAACUUUUCUCGGGUGAAGAAUCACUACUCUUCUGCCUCCACGAAGAAAGCAUUUCAUCAGAUCCUUCAAAAGCAUUCAUACAGUCAUCGGUUUCAUCCGCAUUACAAUUAUUUAACCAUGGCGACUUACUGGAACCACCACCCUGAAUCAUCUGGCUAUCUAUAAGAGACUGAGGAAAUGAAAAGUUGCCUUCAGUAUGUGUUUUUCUUUGUGAGUGUCCAUCUUUAUGACCUCCAAAGACAUAUUUAUUCGACUCAAUCUCGUCAUUUUUCUUCUUAUUUUUAAAUGAUUUGUCCAUAGAAUUCUUUCCGAAAUCAUGAUGAGAGUGUUUAUAAUCCCCCAAGUCCACUAUCACGAUCACGGAAAUAUUCUAAAUCCCCUUCACUGCUACCACCAAUAAAACUUCCAUGCACUUCACUGCCGAUAUCGGCAGCAUCACUGUUGAAACCCACCCCGAUUGACCUAACUGAACCGUGUUGAUCAUCUUCCAUUUGCUCGAGUCGUGAUCUUCCACUAUGAUUCAUAACUAUUCCAUCUCCCAACAUGAUCAGGUCGUUUGUCUGAGGGAAAAAUCCCUGCAUAACAGGUUCCGCGUGCAUCAGAUUGCAUUCCUCUACGUCCAUCAAUUCCCUGUCAUAUUGAGCCAUUAAAUCAUUACCAUUAGCCCUUCCAUACAUAUUAGUAACUGUUAUACAGAUAGGAUCAUCUGACCCUAUGACUGGCUCAACAUUCUUUGCUUGAAGAUAUUGCUCUCCCGAGAAAUAAGAAUCCUCUUCAGCGAAACAUUGAUCAUCAUCAUCCUCUUUGGCAGGACCUCUUUCCUGAGGAUCUAGAACGCUUCCAUGCCCAGUUCCCUUUUCAUUUUCACUAGGGUAAUCAAUUUCGUGCGCCAAAAACCAGGCUUAAUACUCAAUAGGUUUUCUCAUGUACCAGGGGAAACUCUGCAAAAUCUGUCAAAGAACAUGUUCCAGGGGAAAUCCUGGAACCAAAACAGGAUGUUACUGAAGUAAAAGCACAAGUUGAUGCCAUAUGGGAACAAAUGAAUAAAGGCCUGUCCAAUAACGUUAUUAACAGUUUUAAAAGCAAGCCUAAAUCUUCUGCUGUGGAUGUUGUCCUUGUACAAAUCAAGAAGAAAACAGAACCUGAAAUUUUUGUAGGUUAUAGCUCAUCUUCAAAAGUCUAUAGAAUCUAUCUUCCACAAAGCAACAAAGUAAUUGUUAGCAUAGAUGUCAAAUUUCUUGAGUCAGAUAGUUGGAAUUGGGAAGAUUGUGAGAAGUUUGAAUUUCAGGAGGAGAAUGAAGAUGUUGAUGAUGAACCUAUUAAAGGAACUAGAUCACUUUCAGACAUGUACCAAAGGUGCAACGUCGUUGUCAUGGAACUAGAAGGAUAUGAUAAAGCUAGAUAUGAAUUCUUGACACAAAUGCUUGGUGUAUGCAGUUUCAGAGUCAAGGAGGAGUGUAGACUGGAUGACUAUGAAACUACUGUUUUAAGUUCCUAAAUUUUAGGAUCUAUUAUCUUUUUAUGUUAUUAUUAGGCACUCUCUGAUAUGCUCUAUUUGUUACCAGUUUUUUAGGCAUUUAGUUUUCAAAUAGUAGUUUCUUUAUGCAUUAUUUUAGGCUUUUCUUUAUGUAUAAAUAUGAUGGUUAUCAUUCAAUAAAAAUAUUCCUUUUAUGCUGUUCACAUAACAUAUUUUUUCCACGUUAAACCUUUCUAUAUCCAACAUGGUUUCCCAAAUUUACAAGUACUUCUACAAUACUGUUGAUUUUACAAGUGAUAAGCACGGUUGUAAACUUAAGUAAAUAAAAACAGAAAAUUCCAGAGAAAAAAACUCACCACUCUUGCAAAAGGAUCUCAUAAAUGUUGGUUCUUAGAUUUAGUUUUUAUCAUGCAUUACUUCCUCUAAAUCAGAAAGCUUCCAGUAAGGACAGACUUUAGACUGAGAAAUCCAUCCAACCAUAUCAGUUUUGAUCUUGUACGCAAAAAGCAAAUAUGUCGAGCUGCAUAAGGAUCAUGUGCAAUGUUCAAUUCAUAUCCCAUGUAGCAAUGCCACAGUACAACUGAAUUGCAAAGCAUAUCAUUACUCAGUGCCAUUUCAAACAAGCCACGGAUUCUGUGGUUUGAGCCACCUAUAGACAUCUCGUAUGACAAUGCAAAAAGCCAGACAACUAUAGAUGGUUUUUUGUCAAUGUACAAUAAAAGAAGAAAUGGAUGCUUAGUUAAUAGUUAGAGAAAAGUUGCUAAAAUUACUGACAGAACAGUCUGAAAUAGCCAUACACACCAUUAUGCAGAAAACCAAAAACCUAGCUUGCUACAAUUGUAAAAAGAAAAUGUGCAUUCAGAAUGAGAACAAAUAAGAUUCAUUACAUCGGAUAAAAGUAAAUUAAUUUUUCAGCAAAAAGACUUCGAUUCUAUUAAGUUAUAGAAUUUCAUUUCUCUUUUUGAUGUACAAAACUAAAACAUUAUGAGACAUGAUAUAAGAUGAAGUUUCAAUCUGGUAAGGGUGUUCAAAUGAAGAUCUAUUACUUUGCCUUUUAAAGCUUAUCAACCUAUCUUGGAACUCUGCAAAAGCUAACCAAACGUUUUCAUCAUGUGGGCGAUCCCUUGUCAGUUUGGUGAUGAAAUUUUAGAGUCGGAUUCUCUUUCAAACAACUCCAAGAAAUGCACCAACAUCUGAUAACGGUAUAAACUCAUCUUCUCCUGUAUGAGGAUCCAAUUUUGGACCAACAAGACGAAGGUGCUUGAAGCUGUUAUGUCGUUCUAAAGCCAAAUUCAUGUAUGAUUUAUUGUCCUUUGCAUCCUCUCUAACUGAUGUCAAUAAGUUAUCAAUUUCUUAGAACCAAAUAAUGUCAUGGCAUGAUUCAAGUUCUAAUAUAUAAGCUAUUGAUAUAUCAAAAGAUAAAAUAAAGUCAAAUUCUUUUCAUAUAAGCUACAUUGCAUUCAAAUCACAAAUAAGUCGAUUUCAUAAGCUAAUAAUCCUGACAAACAUAAUUAUAAAAGUAAAUUCCCCUGACAAACAUACAUUUGGAGUUUUUAUUUUCUUCUUUUGUUUGAUGUGGAAAUUGCCAUUUAGAAUUUGGCUAAACUUGGUAUCAAAUGCCAUAUACAUUGAAAUACAAAAUGUCAUGUUAUCAUAGUUAAUAAUCAAACACUAAUUAAUUUGAGAAAUGGAUCAUUGGACAGUGAUUUGGUUGAAACAUCUGUCGGUAUCACAAUAUGUACAUACUCUUGUAUUAUUAAAAGCAAAUUAAUCAUACAUACAUAUGUUGUUGCUGCUACACAAGUUCUGUCUCAGAAAACUGAUUUGGCAGAGAAGUGUUUUUACACAAGAAUAACUUAAUAAUCACAAGAGACAUACAGUGUUGUUGCUGCUACACAAGUUCUACUCCUUCUAUAAGAAUUGGUGAAUACCGCAUCCUCUCUCAUGCUUCCUUUCUUGUUGAACACGUAGAUUCCAAAUUGUGUACUAAGAUUGAAAUUCUCAAAGCACUCCAACUGAGCUGCAAAGCAUAUCAUUACUCGCUGCCCUUUCGAACAACCAACGGAUUCUGCGCUGUAAGCAACCUCUAGACUUGUCGCAUGACAAUGCAAAUAGCCAGAUGACUACAUGUGGUUUCCUGACAAUGUACAGUCAAAGAACAAGAAAAUACUUAGUUUUGGUUAGAGAAAAGUUGCGUAAAUUAUGAUUAAAACCAUUUAAGCUUUCGAAGUAUAAGGAUCUUAUUUGUAACACCAUUCAUCUUGGAUCUGGCACUAUUUAUUAUAAGUUGUGUGAAAGUGGCCAACCUUUCAUUAGACCCGAUUCCUUCUGAUGUCUCUGAAGCACCCUUAUGUAAUAGUUAAACAAAAAUUCAAGUUGAUAGAUAUGGCUUCUCCUUUCUGCAGGGCACAAGCAUUCAAGUAGAUGUGAUAAGUAACAUAAUAUACAGUUAUGCUGCAACAGAGAUGACCGAUAUAUAUAAGCUAAGAAAUUAUAUCGAUAUAAGCAAAGUAUUUAGAUCACUGUAAACCUUUUGCGUGCUUAUAAGUUAGUGGAAUGUCAAUUAUGUAUCAUGUUUCAAAUUUCAAUUGCAAUGACGUUAAAUUUCAUUCAUAAAAAGUUAAAAAUCCAAGUACUUAGUUUAGGCUAUUAACCAUUUCACUGAAAAGGUCCAUUCAAAAUUUGACAUUAAGAUACAAUAACUCGUGAAGAAUUCAACAUCAAAUGUCAACUUUAUAAGCUUAAAGUGGCUAAAAUUUAAAAUAAGGUAGUCUACUUGUUGAACUUUGUUGCAAACUCUUUCAGAACCUUCAUUUCGACAUUUUCUACCGUUAGGAAAGGGAGGAAAAUUUAAAAAAAUGUUUUCAGAAAAUGUGAUGAUAAAGUGUUGCAAUAAUUGAGAUGUUCCACAUGCCUUGCAUCAUUAUUAUAAACCACUGAGAUCUCAAUGGUUUAUAAUAAUGAUAAUGACGUAAACAGCAAAGCACAAACCUGUAUUCUUGAGAUUGAGAGAAUAACAAGAAGACGAUUAACUUUUUGUUCCUCUUUCGUCAAAUCCUGCUGUUGCAAUGAAGCAUUGAUAUCCUCCUCUGUCUCUGAAACUCCCACUUCCACCAAUCUUUGCUUUUUUAGAGGAGGCUCAAAUUGUGAUAAUGAAGUAUUAUUGCUAAUUUAGAUAAGGAUCUUUGAAUACCACAUUCUCCUCCUCCGUGUUGCUUUUCUCAUUCCACACGUGGACUCCCAUUUGUGUAUAAACACUAUUCUCGUGAUCCUUCAACUUAAACUCCACAUGGAUCCAUUCACUUUUCAAAAGUCCUUUGUCCAUAUUAUACUCAUAUUGUCUUUUACCUAGUUCAUACAAUUUCAUAUGAAUCAAAGUUGUAUCCUUCGAGCUCACAUACUGGUAACAAUAAUCUAUCUCAAUUUUAUAUCCAUUCACAUAUAAACCGACAUUUGAGCCCCAAGCGCAUUCCGGAAAAAUAAUUAUACAAGUUAUAGAAGGGAUUUCUUUACGAAACCAGAAAGAAAUUGUGGGUCCCCUGCUUUGGUGCUCAAACCAAUCUGGUAUCCCAUCUGUUCCGUUUGGGAAUUUAAUAUAGGUGCAUCCAGCCUGAUGUAGUUUCUGUUUGUUUAUACAAAAUAAUAAUAAUAAUUACACUAUGAAUUACAAAUUAAAUAUUAUAUAUAAAAUACUGUGCUAUAUAAAACAACAACUAACCUGACUCAUUAAUAUUCUUUUACUUGAGGAACUCAAUGAUUGACAUCCUUGUGCAUUAAUCUCUUUUAGAUUUGGUGGAAUCCCUCUAAUUUCCUCAAGGGACUCGCAGUACCCCACAUUAAUUUCAACAAGAUGGUGACAUUCACUAAGGCACUCAGGAAGAAUUUUGAAAUUGCUAUAUAAUAAGUUUAGAGAUGUCAUAUUAACACACCACUUGAGAACUCUUCGGAGACAUUCAUCUGAGAGGUUGCAAUGGUAGAGAGUAAGCUGUGUCACAUUUGAAAACACUAUUGAAUACAUCUUAUCAUUCUGUUUUGGGAACCUCAGCAUUCCAUAUGUCACUGAUAACUUAUGAAGUUCACUAAGAUUUUGAAAUGAAAAUGGCAGUUCUCCUAUGGAAGUAUUACACAACCAAAUAUUGUCUAUAUUUGUCAUCUUGCAUAAUAAUUCUGGAAAACUCUUGAGACUCCUGCAAGAACUGAGAUUCAAUUCCUUAAGAGAUGCCAAACCUAAAGGUGGAAAAUGUUCGACCUUAUUGCAACCAUAUGCACUUAACCUUUCAAGUUUAUUAAGGUGUCCAAUCGAAUUGUGAAUUGUAAUUAAAUUAUAACAUCUUUCAAACGAUAACUUUUCUAAAUUUGAAAGGCCUGAGACAUCGGGUAUAUGUGUUAAAUAUUUACAUCGGUCCAAUAUCAAGACUUUCAUAUCCUGGAACUUCUGCAUAAACACAAGAAAGAAACAAUAAAUAAACUAAAAAUCAAAGACUAAUAUUACUUUCAUACUGAUUUUUUUGUUGACGGAAACAAAAUCAUUGUGAAGUUAUUUCACUUGCCUUGUUUAAAAUCCUAGAUGACAGACACUUCGAUAAACAUCCUUUCCAUUUCAAUACACUCAAACUGCUUGGAAGAUACUUGAGACCUUUAGAACAAUGGCCAUUUUCAAUGAUAAGUGUUUUCAGUUUUGUCAUCUUCUUGAAGGCCUUUCCUUUCUUGUCUAUCACGGAUUCCAUGGAGUGGAGAUUCAUAUAUAUCAUUUCAAUUUUACUAGUUCCCUUUUAACAAAGAUAAAAACAUGAAUCAACCACAAUAAAAAUAAGAUAUAGAAAUAUUAACAUGUAAUUGAGUGAAAAGAAAUGCUCGUUUUAGAUGAUCAUAUUUAGUUCAAAAAGAGCAAAGUUGUAUUAAAACUAAAUAACAAAAUGAUCAUAGAUAUCAAUCUUACUCACAGUGUUUUCUCUUAAAACACGAACUAUAUCAUCCUGACAGCAUAACCUACUUCUUUCUCCAGGCUCUUUAAUUGAUUCUUGUCGGACGACUUCUUUACCCAUGUCCUCUAUCAAGUCAUGUAACAUCACAUAAUCGUCAUAUUCCCGUAAUUUCUUUAUGAGAGAUUUUUCAACCAACACUCCUAGAUGAUGUGUUAUGCAAUGGCCAUAAUGAGAAUUAAGUAUAUAUUUGGCAUCUUCCCAUUUACAUCUUUUGAAGCAACAAGCAAUGUCUAGAAAGACACUUUGCUGCUCUUCCUCCAAAGCAUCAUAACUUACUUUAAGUAUCUUUUGGAUCUCUUUAUUGGGAAUCCUGUCAUACCCAUCUAAUGUAUUCUUCCAUUCCUCUAUGUUCUUUCCAGAUAAGUUAGAACCCACUAUUUCUAUAACUAACGGAAGGCCAGAAGCAUAUGCAACUGCACGGUUUAAAAUCUCUUCGUAACCUGAAGGAACAUUGUCACUUUUAAAAGCCAUCCACCUCAACAAUUCAAGAGCUUCUGUCCCAUACAACCCUUCUACUUCAUGCAUACUUUUUAUCCCAUGACAGGUUAGUAAGUGUUUGUCUCGAGUGGUAAUGAUGACUUUGCUUCCACGGCCGAACCAAUCAGGUCCUCCAGCCAAAGCAUGUAGUUGCUUCAUAUUGUCAACAUCAUCAAGAAUCAAAAGAACCU